UUUUUUUGCUGAAGAGAAAGAGCAGGUUCUUACAUGUUUCCCAUGAUGUUUCUUAUAGGGCACCGGUGGCAUCACUAUCAAGAAGACGGGCAUGGCCCUGAUUCUCGGUAUCUACGAUGAGCCCAUGACUCCUGGCCAGUGCAAUUUGGUCGUGGAGAGGCUUGGCGACUACCUGGUCGAGCAGGGUUUCUAAGCCCGCCCUGAUAUGCUGUUAUUUUGGUCGUCUGGGACUAAGUUUGCUCUACUGUGGGCUUUGCAUCCAUCUGCUUGGCGUACCGCAUGAUAUAUGCAGUGAAUAAUUUUAGCUUGGGGUUUGUCGGUUGAUGAUGUGUCGAAGGGAAAAAAUGGAUUUACUAUGUUUUUCUUUUUAAUGUUUGGCAUCGCGUCGUAUCAAACUCAGCCGCUCUUUCGCUGAGUAAUGUACAUUUGCCUGGUCGUGGUAACUUGUGGGUUCUGCUGCUGCUUUAUUGAAGAUGAUUGCAAUUUUACUGACGUGCUUGCCUGGUCAUGGUACUUUGUCAUUGCAUUACUGUUGUCUGUGGGCUAGCGUUAGAUGGUUGAUGCUAAUAAUUGGUGCAAAAUUCAAUCACCACCCCGCCACGUAACAUUACAAUUCCAUUUGUCAACUCGUAAAUUGCGCAUCUAUGCAGCCAUGAUUCAACUAUUUGUUAACUCGUUUCAGUCCAUAUUUGUUCACUUAUUUCAGUUCAUGUUGAAAUAUCCAAACCAUCUUAUAAUUCAGGAUGGAGGUAGUACUUCUGAAUUUCUGAUACACUCACCUAUGUGAUAUGUUGCCCAUACCGUAGUAAUAGCUAGGGUUGAAAAUUUCCACAGCUAGUCGUUUUAAAAAAAUUACCGGAGCUACUCCCUCCAUUCACAAAUAUAAGAUGUUUUCAAUAUUUUAGACCAUAUAUGGAUUGAAAUGAGUGAAUAAAUACACUAAAAUGCGUAUAUAUACAACAGAAUCAGAAAAAAGGUUGGAACAUCCAAUGUUUUAAGGCGGUAAGGCGUGGCAAGGUGCCUCACCACCUAAAUGGUAAGGCAUAAGUCAAGGUGGAUGCCUUAGAGAGUUCUAAGCAACAGAAUGAAGUAGAAUUUGGUAGGCAACUAUGCGUAUACACUACACAUCUUGCACUUAGUGUUCAUAUAGCAUCCGUCCUCUCUUCUCCCCAACGGUAAUCAUGCAUUAUUCUAACCAUCCAGGCUGAAAAGCAGCAAGCAAUGAACAACUAAACAUGGAAUAAGCAGAGCAGAGGAGGGUGGGGGAGAAGGGGGAGGGAGAGGAGUAGAUGGGCUCCUUGUUGUUGCCUGUUGCUGGUUGUUGCUGUACUGAAGAGGAGGAUGAGGAGCCUGUUGCUGGUUGCUGCUGUACUGAAGAGGAGGAUGAGGAGCUGCUGAAGAGGAGGGGAGGAGGAGCUGCUGGAGAGGAGCUGCUGCAUAGGAGGGAGCAAAUCUGCUGGAGGAGAGGAGCCAGAGAAGGAGGAGAUGCGUGUGGGUUGGGGGCUGUUUCUCUCUCUCUUUCCCCCCUCUUACCUGUUGGUGCUAACAACAUCUCUAUUUCCCACCAAGAUUGUUUCCCGCCUAAAACUGCUUUCCUUCCUGGCUGGCAGGCUCAAGGCGUCCAACAUGGACUAGGGCACCUACCUGGAUGCCUUAGCACCGCUUCAGACGCCUUAAAGCUUAAGGCAGACGCCUUACUCAGGUACCUAAGGCAAGCUGGACCCCUUGAGCUUGCGGGGUGCCCUGACGCCUAUGCGUCGUCUAGGCGACACCUUAUGGACACUUUAAAAACAAUGAGAACAUCUUAUAAUAGUGAAUGAGGGAGUAGUUAUUUUCAUCAGGUCAGAGAUACAAGCGAAGUUUGUCGCAUUUUGCAAGUUGUACUAAACUGAAGGCACAUGGCAAGUUUAUGUACCGUCAGUGUAGUUACCUGAAAAGAUUGAUUAGUAUGGCCAAUUUUGCACACACAACCUUUUGUGUUUUGAAAGGUUCGUCACACUUCUGUUUUUAAAUUCUCACACUAUCAUACUACUCUGUCAUAAUACAGUGCAUAAUAGUUUUGUUUCAAGUCAAACUUUGUAAACAACUGCCAAAUCCUUAGAAUUUUUUAACUGAAAUAUCAAAUUAAUACCGUUAAAUUCAUUAUAAAGUACAUUAUCAGAUUGUACAUAUUUGCUAUUUAAAUGUUCGUAUAAUAUUUUUACAAACUUGGUCAAAAUUUACAACGUUUGACUUAGGAUAAAUUUAAAUGACUAUAUUUUGACAUAGAGGGCACAAUGUAUUUUUUAAGAGUACUUUGUGCGUACCAUAUUUUUAUAGAAGAGUAGAAAAUGUCUACAAUAGUCACUAGAAUAAUCACAGUCUGAUAGUAGGGCCACACCAUACCAGAAAUACAUGGGCACUGUAUGAAUUAUCGUAUUUUGUUGGAAAAUUCACAAGAUGUAUUGGACACCCAAUAGUGUUGUCCCUAUUAUUGGAUUAUCUAGCAGUAGAUGUAAUUAUCCUUUGGAUUUGCCGUGCAAAAUAAUAAUUUCUCUGGAGUUAGCCACUCUUGGAGACAUCCACUGGGUAACGAUGGAUGCAGCUAGCCCAGGGUCCAUCCAUACGUGAAGAUGGUUGUAUACACACCCAACCAACGGUGUUGCACUCGUACCCUGCACCGAAUCCGAUCAUCCACACCCUAUUGCCUUUCUUCAUCCGGCCUUUGGCCUCGAUGUAUGAUAACUCAUACCACACCGAUGAUGUCGAUUGGUUUCCAAAUCGAUGCAGCGUCAUCUUCGAUGGCUCAACAUGCUUGUCUGAUAGAUUAAGACCACGUUGUACCGAGGUGAUAACCGCCGGUCCGCCAACAUGGAUGCAGAAAUGCUCAAAUGCAACACAAAAGUUGGGGAUGUAUGGUCUAAUCUUCCACCAACGGAGCACCUUUUUCGCCACAUAGAAGAACAAAAACUUGAGAAGCUCUGAUGCGGGUAGGACAAGAGGCCCGGUUGUCAUGAUAUUUUCCUUGAGUGCGUUCCCAGCGACAUCCAUAAGGUCUUUAGAGAGAGCAAUCCCUAGGUUGCCCUUGUCAUCUUCCUCUUGAUAAACACAUCGGUAAGCAGCGUUGUUUGCCGCAGUGAUCGUCCGCGUGAAAUGUCCAAGACGAAACCGGGCCUUUGACUUAGAAGUCGAUAACAAUUUGGCAGCACCGCCUAUGCGGAACAAGACGUUAACCAACUGCAUAGAACGCUUAUUCCCCGCAUAGUAGAAUGGCCCAAUGGUCUCCGUCGACACCACCAACACAUGUGACCCCCAAGGCAUCACUUGCAACAUGUUGCUUGCGAGCCCCACUGCGGUCACUGAUGCAGAACACGCCAUCCCAGAGAGGUUAAUGACACGGAGAUCACCUCGUAACUUGUACCUGUUUACAAUCAUGUCAGCCAUAGAUGGUACCGGACUAAAUGUACUACAGUUGGUGAUAAGAGCACCAAUUGUGCCGUGGUUGAUGCACGUCUUGGCGAAAAGGUCAUCCAUCACAGAGAAGACCACCAACUCUGCUUCGGCACGUCCUUCGUCAAGCCCACAAUGUGGCUCUAUAUAGUGAUGUGCAUGCGGGACAUGUGUCUCAUCGCUCAUGCCCGAGCGCUCAAGAACAGUAGCUAUGAAGUUGACAGUAGAAUUAUCAAACAAAGGCGAGACAUGUGCAUGCUCCAGGAAGGCUGCCUUUGGGAUUCUUAAGUUGGAGCUCGGCCGGAAGCAAGCAUAGUCAACAAGGUAUACAGUUCUACGGCGGAGUGCAAGGUAGAUGGUAGCCGCGACGAUCGGUAGAACGACGGCAAGGAGUAGAUGGAUGGGAUAGAUGGCACUGAGUUGGGGCAUAGUCUCAAGUGAAGCAGGUAGCCAUGGUGCAACUCUCUUGAGGACGCCAGGUGCGAGUGUCAACGUGGUGACAAUUCGCAGGAGGAAGGUGCUGGCAGCGCGGUGGUAUAGAAAUACGAGGCUCUUGAGAUGAGACAGCAAACCCAUGGUGUUGGGUGGUUUGGUGUACGUGCAUGUAGAGGUGGCCGAUCGAGGAGGAUAUAUAGGAGGGAACAGCAAGGGCAUAUGCUAUACUUUGUAAUGUUGUACUACUUCAAAACAUUUGCAAAACUAAAACCUCCAACCGUGCAAGUGUCAACUGCCCGUGUCCAGCAUUUCUUUCCACUCAAAAUAUUUCUUAACAAAAACGUGGGAGAAAUACCUAACGUCAUAGGCUAAUAGGGAAUCUAGAUUAUUGCUCAAUAGUGCAUGAACGAUGAUAGUACGCUGUAGGAUGGCUCAUUAAUUGCGUGCCAGAUAAACCAUUUCACAGAAUAUUAUCAUGUGCACAUUUGUGUAGCCCAUGUUUUUCACAUCGCGCUGCAGGAACGCACUCUCAUUUCAGAUUUGACGUACGGAAAUAAUAUUCAAGAGGCAUAAUCUCUACUCUUAAUGGAGCAGUUGAUAGGAUUGGUAGCCUGGUAUGGUUUAUUCUCAUCCGGUUUAUGCUCAUCCGAUCCCAGGAGGCCGCUGCAGAUCAUGCACUUACAGGACACUCCUGUUUCUCGCCGUCGUCGCGGAACCCCAGGGAUGCCUCCGUCGCCGCCGAUCCGUGGGAGGCCGCCGCACAACACCACGCACGCAUUCGCCUCCGCCGAUCUCACGAAGGCCGCCGCGGAUCAGGUCCAAAUCUCGGUCUUGGCCUCCUCCUAUCCUCGCGCCGCCCCUCCUCUACCAUUGCAUGGGCAGCCCUCAAGCCACCUCGCUACCACCGCGGCCGGUGUCCUCCACCAUCGGAUGAGCAGCCCUGAAGCCGCCACGUUGCCGCUGCGGCCGAUUACAGUUAGAUCGGACUGCUGUGGAUGGCAGCGGUAUGCACUAUAGACCUUCCCCUCAUGUCGUCACGUUGCCACCAUCCUUGUUGCAAACGGCCGAGUCGAGGUAAGGAGCCUCACAACUGGUUUGUCCUAUUGCUUGCCUUUCAGAUUACAUCUUGUUUCUAUGUCUCCUCUCGCCGCUACGUCAGGUGACACUCAUCUUUGGUGAACAAAUUAGCAUCACCUGCGUGCUUGCUUGUGUUCGUUUCUAGUAGCCGGCAAGAAUCAAUCGAGUCUUCCUCUAUGUGUGCAACCUUGCCAUCAUGUGAUUGAAUCAAGGCAAGGGCAGCCAACAUUAAGGAUGUGCGAGUCUUGCCGGGAUCCGAUCUAUCAACUCAUUCAGCCAGCUAUAUAUGUUGUGUACAUUGUACAUGCAGAAACCACCAGCUGAGUCAAGGCUCCACCGGCCCUGUGCCAACAACUCAAUUAUGGAAGCAGAAGAACGGAUUAUGUGAAUUGAAUAUGUUUUCCCAUGUCUUGGUGGUAUCCAAGAGUGCAUGUCAUUCGUGUUUUUGAAACCAUCUUCCAUCACUUCUGAUAUUUUUGUUUUUCAUAGUUGUAAUUGUUCAGCAUUUGACUGGCAUAUGAAUGGUAUUUGUAAUAUCUUUCUUUUGUCCAUAUUACCAGGAAAUAUGUCGAAACACCAAAUGUAUUCCAUUUGUGGUGGACUAACAAAACAACACAACACAUAAACUGAGGAAUGUAAGUGCAAACAUUUAUUUCUCUUUAAAUUCUUGAGUAUGAUGCCAUUUUUGUUACAAGUGUUGAUUCAGUUCUAACAUUUCGAGGUUACUAAUCCAUUCCAAGUUAUCAUUGCUUAACAGCAAUGUUAUCCAAAGCUCAUGUGACUUGAUUGGUAUCUCCUUCUGUUUUAUGUCAUACCAAUAACUUGCAAUGUUGAAAUUAUGUUUUUUGGCGCCCACAUUUUCUAUAUAACUUGGAAAACUAUUGAAUACGCUAUCAGUAUGACGUCUGAAUAGCACUGCUUUGUCAGAUAUAUAGUCACCUUCAAGUCCAUCCAUAUUUUGUUUGGGUGAUAUAAAUAGCUUUGAAGGAGACAUCUACUAGCAGUUGAAUGAAGCAUCCUUAUAGUAACUCUGUGUGAAAGACUUGAUAUCAAGAAAACUACAAAUCUAGAAGAUGUAGAAGGUAGAACCAUAGAGAGAUGUGCAUGUUUAAUUGACAUAUAUUCAGGAGUACAUUUGUGAAGCUGAGAUAUCUUUAUUUUACAGGACAUGGUUGCUCUUGCUUCAUCUAAACAGUCUGUAUGGAAUUCCAUGGGACCGAGAUUGGUGUAGGAAAUCUUCAAAGCUAUUACAUUGGUGUAGAAAUAGACAUAAAAUGUUUUCCCAAUUUUGCACCUCAGAAGUCGUAAAAUGAGCUUGAGUUAAAAUUAAUCAGGGGAGACAAGUUCUUGUUUACCAUCACAAAUAUGUACUGUAAAUUAGGCAUGACACACUGAUUGUCUUGUUUGGAUUUAAUUUGCAACAAGCUAUAUGUUUGUGUUUCUAUAGUCAUGAAGAGGAAGACAAUGCUUUCCUUUUUGUAAACUAAUAAUAUAAAUGUAAUUUCUUUGCAUUGUUUAUUGACCAUAUGGUCUGUACUUAACCAUCAAAAGUAACUAUUGCCCACCUGCACACCGGGCACAUAUCCUUACUCACCGCCGGCGUAUGGAAGAACUACGGCGUCGGCGUGCUUUACCUGGAGAGGAUAUGCAGCAGUGUGUGGCGUUGUACUCCUACAUAGUUGUGCCUCAGGUAACCUCAAGUUCACUUGGCCUGGUUGCCUAAUCAUGUGAACACAUAAAAACAUUAGGUGAAAGUGUUGGGUUGUCUCUCAACAAGCGCUUUUUUAAUGGAUUUUAGCUAGGCAUGAUAAGUUCAAUGAUGCUCGCAUAAAAGAUAAGGAUUGAAACACAAAAGGAGAGCAUCAUGAAGCAUAUGACUAGCACAUUUAAUUCUAACCCACUUCCUAUGCUAGGGAUUUUGUGAGCAAACAAUUUAUGGGAGCAAAAUAAUCAACUAGUAUAGGAAGGCAAAACAAGUAUAACUUCAAAAAUUUGAACACAUAGAGAGGAAACGUGAUAUUAUUGCAAUUCCUACAAGCAUAUGUUCCUCCCUCAUAAUAAUUUUCAGUAGUAUCAUGAAUGAAUUCAACAAUAUAACUAUCAAAUAAAGCAUUCUUUUCAUGCUGCAUAAGCAUAGAAAUUUUAUUACUCUCCACAUAAGCAAAUUUGUUCUCAUGAAUAGUAGUGGGAGCAAAGUCAACAAAAUAACUAUCAUGUGAGUGAAAAUUAAUAUCAUGAUGACAAGUUUCAUACUGAACUAAAACCACGACGAGUAAAUCGGAGCGGAGGGAGUAGUUAUCAUUAUACUUUAUGCAUAAAUGUCAUCUUCAUAAUCAUCAUAGAUGACAGCUUUUUUAUCAUAGUCAAUUGAAACCUUUUCGAAGUAGUGGAUCCAUCAUUAAAUGAAUUCUUGACCUCUCCAAAUCCACUUUCAUAAUUAUAAUCAUCAUAAAUAGAAGGCAUGCAAUCAUUAUAACAAAUUUGCACAUCAAAUCCUGGGGGAAUAAAAAUAUCAUCUUCAUCAAACAUAGCAUCCCCAAGCUUAUGGCUUUGCAUAUCAUUAGCAUCAUGGAUAUUCAAAGAAUUCAUAAUAAAAACAUUGUAAUCAUACUCAUCAUUUAUACCAAACAUUCUAUUGAAUUCUUCUUCUAUAAAUUGAGCACAAUUUUCCUUUCCAUCAUUUUCACGAAAGACAUUAUAAAGAUGAACAAUAUGAGGCAACCUCAAUUACAUUUUCUGUAGUUUUAUUUUUAUAAACCAAACUAGUGAUAAAAUAAGAAACUAAAAGAUUCAAUUGCAAGAUCUAAAGAUAUACCUUUAAACACUCACCUGCUCGGCAACGGCGCCAGAAAAGAGCUCGAUAUCUACUACACAACUUGUUCUUGUAGACUCGUGUUGGGCCUUCAAGCAUAGAGUUUUGUAGGACAGUGGCAAAUUUCACUCAAAUGGAUGACCUAAGGUUUAUCAAUCCAUGGGAGGCGUAGGAUGAAGAUGAUCUCUCUCAAAUAACCGUGCAACCAAAUAAUAAAAAGUCUUGGGUCCCCAACACACCAAAUACAAUGGUAAUUUGUAUAGGUGCACUAGUUCGGCGAAGAGAUGGUAAUAAAAGCUUAGUAAUGACAGUAGAUAUUGGCUUUUGUAAUAAGAACAAUGAAAACAUCAAGGUUGCAAUUGAUAAAACGGAGUACAAACGGUAUUGCAAUGCUUCAAAAUGAGGCCUGGGUCCGUACUUUCGCCAGUGCAAUCUCUCAACAAUACUAAUGUAACUGGAUCACAUAACUAUCCCUCAACGUGCGAUGAAGAAUCACUCCAAAGUUCUUAUCUAGCGGAGAACAUAAGAAUAAAUUGUUUGUAGGGUACAAAACCACCUCAAAGCUAUUCUUUCCGAUCGAUCUAUACAAGAGUUCAUACUAAAAUAAUACUAAAGCAAAUUCAGAUUCGUAAUACUAAAUCCAACACAAAGAACCUCAAAGAGUGCCCCAAGAUUUCUACCGGAGAAACAAAGACAAGAACGUGCAUAAAUCCCUAUGCAUAGAUUACCCCAAUGUCACCUCGGGAAUCCGCGAGUUGAGUGCCAAAACAUAUAUCAAGUGAAUCAAUAUAAUACCCCAUUGUCACCACAGGUAUCCAUACGCAAGACAUAUAUCAAGUGCUCUCAAAUUCAUAAAAGUAUUCAAUCGGAUAAAAUGAAAUCUCAAAGGGAAAACUCAGUUCAUCACAAGAUAGAGAGGGAAAAACACCAUAUGAUCCGACUAUAUUAACAAAGCCCACGAUACAUCAAGAUCGUGACAUCUCAAGAACAAGAGAGAGAGAGAGAGAGAGAGAGAGAGAGAGAGAGAGAGAGAUUAAACACAUAGCUACUGGUACAAACCCUCGGCCCGGAGGGUGGACUACUCCCUCCUCGUCAUGCUGGCGCCGGGAUGAUGAAGAUGGCCACCGGUAAUGAUCUCCCCCUCCGGCAGGGUGCUGGAACGGGGGUCUAGAUUGGUUUUCAUGGAUACAGAGGCUUGCGGCAGCGGAACUUCUGAUCUAGGGUCUCCGCGAGGGUUUGUGGAAUAUUUGACGAUUUAUAGGGUGAAGAGGGGGUGCGGGAGGCCACCAAGGUGGGCACCCCUAGGUGCUGCUCUGGCCCAUUGGAUGUCUUCUGGUCCAUAAAAAAUCAACAAAAAGUUUUGCGGUGUUUGGACUCCGUUUGAUAUUGAUUUCCUGCGAUGUAAAAAACAAGCAAAAAACAACAACUAGCACUGGGCACUGGGUGAAUAAGUUAGUCCGAAAAAUGAUAUAAAGUUGCUAUAAAAUGAUUGUAAAACAUCCAAAAACGAUAAUAUAACAGUAUGAAUACUUCAUAAAUUAUAGAUACGUUGGAGACGUAUCAAGAUGCAGCUUAUAAAGUUUCAUACUUCCGCUCCAGUACUUCUUAAAAAAAUUCAAAGUGUGCAUAUGUUUAUUGUUCUGUGUUGUAUUCCUGGACUUUGUGUGGUCCGAGCCGCUGAAUUUUUUGGAUUUGGUUUCGCUGUACCUGCAGAAAUUUUGGCAUGUUUAGCACUUUAGUUAUGCUUCUCGAGUAGCAUUGGAAUUGUUCUCAGACUACUUUCUCUUGUGAUAGCUUUAGCGAUGAUGGAAAUUGGAGUGCAGCUUGAUUGUUAACACCUCAUUCUAUGGCAGGCUUGGCAAAAAGGCGGCAGCUGACGAAAGGAGGUCACCACCAAGAUGAGCGAGACCGUUUUGACGGACUCAGGUGUGUGCUCUCGUUGGUGGUUUCAGUUUGGUAAUUCUCGUUACACCUAGCUUCUGUUCUCUCAAUUUCUGGGAAUUUUGUGUGCCAUUGCAUUAUUGAAUACAUGCCAGCAGGAUGGAAAGCAGUGAGCAGCGGCGCAUCAUCCAGAGGCGGCUAGCAUGAGGCUAAACCUGCCUUUCCUCCACGUUGAUGAAUAGCAGGACCUAGGAUAGCUAAGGUGUGCAUGUAGAUAGAGGCGCUCCUGCAAGAGAUGAGGGAGCAGUUGGUGGUCCGGACGGCGAAGAUCAGGUCAACGUCGGCUGCUUUGCUGUGCCAUUGCCACACUUCGGCUGGUACACGCUCGGACGGCCAUGGCGCCGGCGUCACUUCGUCAUCUUCUCUGGAGCCACACCAUUUCUGCGGGAUAAGCGAGUUGGAGGAAGAUGGGAGAGAUGAGUCGCUUACUCAUUGACAGAAAAUCAUUUGGGCGGAACCUCCUUUUCACGAGGGAUGAUUGAUUGUUCCUCCGCCUUCGCUUUUGUGACCUGUGCGUUGCAUGUGAACCACUGUUGUUUAGGUUGUUGGUCAUGUAAACUAUAAGGACAUAUUAAUACAAGGGUCUGUUUAGGACACAUCUAGAUGUGACAUAGUUAUAUCACAUCUAAGUUGAUGUCCAUCUGUUUGUGGUCUUUCUUUUUGUCCUAUUUUUUUUUUUUUUGAGAAUCACCGGGGGAGGAGUUCCUCCACCUGAAUAUAUUACUCAAAGUGGACAAAUGCCAGAGGAGUGAUCCAGUUUAUAAGGAAAACCGAAUCGAAAACCUUAACAAAUUGACCCAUUUAUAAGGAAAACCAGGCCAAAAACCAUACAAGACACAACCAAGCUAGUGGACAUAAGACCAUCACCACGAGAGACACAAGUAGAUGUGGGGUGUCGUCGGGAGAUCACAAUACCAAGACUUUGCAAACAGCCAAACGCAUCGGCAAGCAUACCGGCCCCCAUGGCACAACUCAGGAGCAUCCACAAUCAAUGAGUGUCAUCCCAGACACGAACCUUGACUGGGACUCCGCCACAGGAAAUCGGAGCGAUAGCAAUUUUGAGAGGCAUCUUGCACCGACCUUGAGCAAAGAUGAGCUGAGACAACACUAAGAGCACGACGCUCGCCGCAACACAAUGGGAACCAUGAGAGGGUCUUGAGCAACCAUCCAACUGAGCCGCACGAGAACACCACCACCGUAGACGAAGAACUCCAAUCAACCGAGACCAUACAUGGUGCCUCAAGGCUAUUGGCGCAACCCAAGGGCAACGAGAGACCGAGUCCACACCCGGACGAAGAGUCACACGCAGUUGAGGCUACAUCACAACAGCGGCACCGCCAGCGAAGAAGAAGGGCAUCAAGGGGCUGAGUCUACAUCCGGAUCGCUUCACCGUGCAUACCAGCGCAAGCCGGCCGCGCCACCACCACCGCAUCACACACCACCAUCGACCCCUGCCGGCCGCAUAAACACACCACCAGCAUCUCCGCUGCACCACGACCAACAUUCCAGCAGCAAGCAACACCCACACAACAACCAUAUUGACCCCAAAGAUGACGCCUUCAAGAAGGGCCACGAUGCUGGUUGCGCCGCCAUCAUCCGUACAGGAUGACCUGGACUAGGGGUUUCCCCGGGGGUCUCCACAAGGGGGGUGCAGACAACAAAUACAAUGACGCCUCCAAGGAGGUUAGCGGCGCCCACGGGCGUCGCCGCCGCCGUGUGAUGCCCACGAUUCAAUCGUACACUAAUCAUGCACGCAAACGUGUACGAUCAAGAUCAGGGACUCACGGGAAGAUAUCACAACACAACUCUAAAAACAUAAAUAAGUCAUACAAGCAUCAUAAUACAAGCCAGGGGCCUCGAGGGCUCGAAUACAAGUGCUCGAUCAUAGACGAGUCAGCGGAAGCAACAAUAUCUGAGUACAGACAUAAGUUAAACAAGUUUGCCUUAAGAAGGCUAGCAUAAACUGGGAUACAGAUCGAAAGAGGCGCAGGCCUCCUGCCUGGGAUCCUCCUAAACUACUCCUGGUCGUCGUCAGCAGCCUGCAUGUAGUAGUAGGCACCUCCAGUGUAGUAGUCGUCGUCGACGGUGGCGUCCGGCUCCUGGGCUCCAGCAUCUGGUUGCGACAACCAGAAAGAAAGGAAAGGGGGAAAAGGGGGGAGAAAGCAACCGUGAGUACUCAUCCAAAGUACUCGCAAGCAAGGAGCUACACUACAUAUGCAUGGGUAUAUGUGUAAAGGGCCAUAUCAGUGGACUGAACUGCAGAAUGCCAGAAUAAGAGGGGGAUAGCUAGUCCUAUCGAAGACUACGCUUCUGGCAGCCUCCGUCUUGCAGCAUGUAGAAGAGAGUAGAGUGAAGUCCUCCAAGUAGCAUCUCCAAGUAGCAUCUCCAAGUAGCAUCUCCAGUAGCAUCGCAUAGCAUAAUCCUACCCGGCGAUCCUCCCCUCGUCGCCCUGUGGAAAAGCGAUCACCGGGUUGUCUGUGGAACUUGGAAGGGUGUGUUUUAUUAAGUAUCCGAUUCUAGUUGUCAUAAGGUCAAGUUACAACUCCGGGUCGUCCUUUUACCGAGGGACACGGCUAUUCGAAUAGAUAAACUUCCCUGCAGGGGUGCACCACAUUACCCAACACGCUCGAUCCCAUUUGGCCGGACACACUUUCCUGGGUCAUGCCCGGCCUCGGAAGAUCAACACGUCGCAGCCCCACCUAGGCACAACAGAGAGGUCAGCCCGCCGGUCUAAAUCCUAUGCACGCAGGGGUCUGGGCCCAUCGCCCAUUGCACACCUGCACGUUGCGAGGGCGGCCGGAAACAGACCUAGCAACCUCCAUUACAAAGGAAGUUGCGUUAACGCAGUCCAAUCCGGCGCGCGCCGCUCCGUCGCUGACGUCAAGAAGGCUUCGGCUGAUACCACGACGCCGGGAUACCCAUAACUACUCCCGCAUAGAUGGUUAGUGCGUAUAGACCAAAUGGCCAGACUCAGAUCAAAUACCCAGAUCUCGUUAAGCGUGUUAAGUAUCCGCGAACGCCGAACAGGGCCAGGCCCACCUGUCUCCUAGGUGGUCUCAACCUGCCCUGUCGCUCCGCCACAAAGUAACAGUCGGGGGCCGUCGGGAACCCAGGCCCACCUCUACCGGGAUGGAGCCACCUGUCCUUUCAGCCCCCUCAUCAGAAUCACUUGCGGGUACUCAACGAGAUGACCCGACUUUAGUCACCAUCUGCAUAGUAUGUAUGUAUGUAUAGUGUAUACCCGUGAUCACCUCCCAAGUGACCACAGCCCGAUAGUAUAGCAAGGCAGACUGACAAGAAUGUAGGGCCAAUGAUGAUAAACUAGAAUCCUAUACUAAGUAUUUAGGAUUGCAGGUAAGGUAUCAACAGAUGUAGCAACAAUGUCAGGCUAUGCAUCAGAAUAGGAUUAACGAAAAGCAGUAACAUGCUACACUACUCUAAUGCAAGCAGUAUAGAGGAGAAUAGGCGAUAUCUGGUGAUCAAGGGGGGGGGCUUGCCUGGUUGCUCAGACAAGGAGGAGGGGUCGUCGGUGACAUAGUCGACCACAGGGGCAUCAGCAUCGUCACGGGGUCUACCGGAGAGAAGAGGGGGGAGAAACAGUAAAUACAUAGCAAGCAAGUGCAUAACAGGACAACAAGCAGAGCUAGACGUGUUCUAUCGCGGUAUGAGGUGAUACCGGUGAAGGGGGAAAACAUCCGGGAAAGUAUCCCCGGUGUUCCGUGUUUUCGGACAGAUGAACCGGAGGUGAAAUGUUGCAGGUUCACUAUGCUAGGGACGCGUGGCGGAUGAACGAGCUGCGUAUCCGGAUCCGUCUCAUCGUUCCGAGCAACUUUCAUGUUGAAAAUAAUUUAAUCCGAGUUACGGAUUAAAAGAUAUGAUUUUCUAAAGAUUUUAAUAAUUUCUGGAAUUUAAUUAAUUAUUUAAUUUAAUUCGAAAAUGUAUUUAUGACAUCAGCAUGAUGUCAUGCUGACAUCAGCAGUCAACAGGGUUGACUGGGUCAAACUGACAUGUGGGGUCCGCAUGUCAUAGACUGAACAGGCUAAUCAGGUUUUAAUUAAGUUAACUAGUGAUUAGAUUAAUUUAAUCAGGAUUAAUUAAGUUAAUUAAUUAACGAAUUAAUAUUUUAUUUAUUAUAUAUAUAUAUAUAUAUAAUUUUAUUAAGUCCUCCUUUUUUUGUUCUCAGGGGCGUGGGCCCCGUUUGUCAUUGGCCUAGAGGCCAUAGCGGGCACGAGCGCUAACGGGCAUAGCCCGAACGGGCGCUAACCCGCGGGGGCACACCCGACCAGGCAACAAGGGGCGGCUGGUGGGCGCGGGCGCCAGCACGCCGGCGUUGAGCUCCGGCGGCUGCGACCGGGCGGAGCAUGGGGAGGGCCGCGGCUGCCGACAUGCAGCAGGGCGGCCAGAGGCGGACGACAUGAGCGCGAGGCCACGACGAGAGGGGCGGAGGCUCCUCGGUGCAACACAGGGCGAGCGGGGAGGAGCAACGCGUGCGGGCGCGGCGAACUGGUGCGGGGGCUCGCACCCGACGCCAUGAGAGGCGAGGGUGAGCGCGCCUGGGGGCCUCGAUGGUCGCGAGCGGAGGCGGCCGGGGACGUGCCGGCCACGGCAGACGUGGUGCGCGGGAGCAACGGCCGUCAGGGCGGUGCGUGUGGUGAGCGCGGACGGGGCGAGGAGCAAAGGGUCGGCGCGGCGACNNNNNNNNNNNNNNNNNNNNNNNNNNNNNNNNNNNNNNNNNNNNNNNNNNNNNNNNNNNNNNNNNNNNNNNNNNNNNNNNNNNNNNNNNNNNNNNNNNNNNNNNNNNNNNNNNNNNNNNNNNNNNNNNNNNNNNNNNNNNNNNNNNNNNNNNNNNNNNNNNNNNNNNNNNNNNNNNNNNNNNNNNNNNNNNNNNNNNNNNNNNNNNNNNNNNNNNNNNNNNNNNNNNNNNNNNNNNNNNNNNNNNNNNNNNNNNNNNNNNNNNNNNNNNNNNNNNNNNNNNNNNNNNNNNNNNNNNNNNNNNNNNNNNNNNNNNNNNNNNNNNNNNNNNNNNNNNNNNNNNNNNNNNNNNNNNNNNNNNNNNNNNNNNNNNNNNNNNNNNNNNNNNNNNNNNNNNNNNNNNNNNNNNNNNNNNNNNNNNNNNNNNNNNNNNNNNNNNNNNNNNNNNNNNNNNNNNNNNNNNNNNNNNNNNNNNNNNNNNNNNNNNNNNNNNNNNNNNNNNNNNNNNNNNNNNNNNNNNNNNNNNNNNNNNNNNNNNNNNNNNNNNNNNNNNNNNNNNNNNNNNNNNNNNNNNNNNNNNNNNNNNNNNNNNNNNNNNNNNNNNNNNNNNNNNNNNNNNNNNNNNNNNNGUUAGGGUUUGGGGGAGGGAGUGGAUAAGGAGGGGGUAGUGGAUAAGGAGGGGGGUAGUGGGCCGGCCGGCUGGGCCAAGUGGGCGAAUGGGCCGGCCCGCUGGGUCUGCUGGCCCGGGGGGGGGGUCUUUCUCUCUCCUUUUCUUCUAGUUUUAGUGUUUAGUUUUUCUGCUUUGUUUUUAAUUAUUUUCUUUUCUGUUUUAAAUCACUUUAAAUUAUUUAGACAUUUUAUAAAAAUGUGUUUGCUGCACCAUAAUUACCCUUGUAAUAUUUGGCAACCACCGAGCAUUUUUGUUUCAAGUUCUGAAAACUUUUAUUAUCAACAAUAAUUUUAAAUUCGAAUUUGACGCGGUUGAACUAACAGACAUUUAGCAAAAGUAAUCGGGAUGACAUGGCAUCACUAGCAGAGGAUCACUGUAGCUUAAUUACCCGGGCGUCACAAUUCUCCUCCACUACAAGAAAUCUCGUCCCGAGAUUUAAGAGGGUCUAAGGGGGAAACGUUUGUUUACGAAAUUCUAACGAAUCUUCUCGGUCUUGGUUGCUCCUCUCAAAGUGGUCGAUCCAUUAUAUUGAUGUCUUCAUUUUUCUGCUUCAGGUCAUCAAGAUGAAGUCGACAUCCUUUCCUUGGGGGUUCCAUCGUACUUACGACAGAAUAAGGGGGUUAUUCCGGGAGAACGAACCUCUACAAGGUUGACUAUCUGGUCGAUAACAUCGGGGAAGGUGGCGGAAAGUAACUCUUGAAUUGAAACUUAAGUAAAUAUCGAGAGCAAGUAAUGAGGUUUCAUGGGAAGUUUCGAGUGAGCAGGCAACAGUUCGCUGCCUGAACAGGGCUUGAAAAGGGCUCAAAGCAAUCGGGACUAAGUAUUGCGUCCGGUAACAGAUUUGAUGAUCUCUCGGAAGGUGGCUCGUGAAUUACAUACGAGGCCACACGCGAGGAAGAACCUUGGGAACAGGGGGUGCAGGAGAGUCAAGUUUCGAUCCUGGGAACUAUGGGUUAUGGGCCCACCAUGUGGGUUAAAGGUAGGAAGGGGGGCUGACAUCUUACAUGGUCACAAUAGCAAGGCAUGCCAGAGGGUAGCCUAUUAGUUAUGUCGGCAACAACAUCGAUACCAAGGGUGAGGGACGAAGAGAACCAUUUUCCUGCUCGCUGAACGAGGCGGACCAAUAGGGAAAGUUCCCGUCCAUCGGUGGUUACCGAAAUGUCAUCAACAAUAGUAACAGGGUCUGACUGAUAAGGUAGUACGCCGAGGUGUUUUCGUAAGCAGGAAAAUAUUAGUGCUUAGAUCUUAUAGAUCACUAGAAAGGUUAAACCAAACAAUGGAAAUGAUUAUAUCAUUAUCAGAUUAGAUAGAACAAUGGAAAGGAAAACGUGUUAGAACACAUAUCCCCUGGGUAUAUCCUUCCCACGGACAAGUAAGGCAUGAUAUGCAAGACAGGAUACAAAGCAGAAAACCCUUUAGGUAAGGGGAGAGAAACUUCAUGACAUUACCCAUACAACAGUGUCUGGAUAAUUGAGUAAGAAACAUUUAGCAUUGGGCUCCGAUGGAAUCAUCGGCAAUUCAUCGAGAUUUAACAAAAGAUGGAUUUCCACAAUUAUGUGAACAAGGAGAUAACAUUUGUCAGAUCAAAUGGUAUAAUGAUGUAUGCUCGAGGAAAACAUACACAAUUAAACAUUGGAUGAAAGGUGCACCCGAAUAUGGGCUGGGUUGCACAACCAAUGUCGGAAUGGUGAUUCAAUAAUCAAUAGGCUAAGGAUGAACGGUCAACCAUUAACUUCAAAGCAAGAGGGUUGCUAGAAGGGCAGAAUCCAAACAACACCGUUCACUUGUGGGUACCCCGGUUGGAAUCAACACGAGGACCAAGAAAGAAUGGUGAGGGUGAGAAGUUAUCACAAUACCAAGAACUCUCAAGACGUGGUGAAAUUCUCACGACAUUCUUGACAUAAAAGAAGGUAAUACUCCAAGGUAAAGAAGAACAAAUGCUGGGGAGCAAGGAUCUCAAGGUAUACACAAAACACGAAAAAGUUUGUGUUGAACGGAAGGCAAUAAAGUGGUCGAUGAUAACACAAAUCAUCGAGGGAAGGAUGGUAUUUCCCAUCAUGAAUUCGAUUGGUAUCCUGGAAGGAGUUAAAAUGUUGAUCAUGAUCACGACACAUUUGUCGAGAGAUUUCAUGAAGAUGUAAUCGAUUGGCGAUAACAUCAAGUCAAAGGAUUUAUGAAGCAAAAGGUUAUUGGAACCAUGCGUACGACACAAACUCAAAAUCAAGCUUGUUGUCCAAAGCGAAAUGAUAUGAUGAGGAAGAUCGACGUAAGCUUAGCUCAUUGUCAAAAAUUAUGCUCUGGGAAGAGGACCAGGUAGCACAGUUAAAAUCGGCACGACAAGGAUAUAGCUAAACAUGCUAGGAAUGACGUGAUUGAGUUCAAACUCGUAAGUAAUGAAGGUUACCAAGAGUUGCUUAAUCGCGAUGCGGACUCGAGUCCGUUAUCGGUGUCUUUGAGUGUUAAAUAACUCAGAGCCCGUGAAAAAUUGGAAUCAAUGAGAAUGUAGCACUUGAUGAAGAACUCAUAAGAAGUUAUGCAGUUCCGUGAUAAUCUUGAGAUACCAGGGGGUAAUACUCGACGACAAAUCAAAGUAGAGGUUGGACUGGGGUAUUACUCUGUAGAAGACAAGUGCUUAAACUUGCACGAGAAAUGGUAUUUAAAGGAGAACAUGGUCGGAACCACGAUUGCAUAAGACCAGAUCCCAGAUAUAAGAUGAACUUAUACCAAAGGAAUAAUUAAUUUAAGAGAAGCUUCAAUGAUACGAUCUACAUCAUGUCCAUGGGCAUAAACACAAAGUUCAAGGUCGACUCCCACUUCUCCAAUGCAUAACCUUUCAUUCCCUUCUCACUUUCAAAGAAGUUGUAGUGUUGGAAUUUUAUCUGGCAAAAUACCAGAAGAGUAUGACUCGUGAAAACUUCCGAGUUCACACAUAUUAAGGAAGGCAUAGGUUCAACCCAUCGGGUUAUCUUAUAAACAUAUGCCACCAGCUACAAGAGUAAAUGUCACCAGCUCCAAGCAGAGCAGGGUUGGCCAAAUCAGAGAAUAGGAUUUAUUAAUGGCAUUAGGUAUCAGGGAAAGAACUUCUCGAGGUUUUCGUAUACAACGGACUCUGUCGGAUGAUAAUUCAACAAAUGACCUGAUGGUCCGUAACGGAGCUGAUGUGAGUAUCGCCACACAACCGGCGAAAGAAACAAUACAAAGGCAUUGGAUUAUAGAAGCAACUGACUAUUUCAAAGCACAAUUGCAAAGGAAUUAUGAUUUCUAAUUCAAGGGAUCAAAAGCAACGCUCUGAUUAGGGAUGGAUAACUUGAAUAGCCUUAGGGGUACAAUCAACGAUAAUUUGAUUGGUCGAGAACCAGCUCAUGUUCAAAAAUGACGUCUGAGCCGGAAGGACGAACUCUAAUUGCGACUGACGAUUGUGAACAUCUGCAACAUAUUGAAUCAACGGUCUCAAAAUGAUAGUGCAAAGGAUGUCAAUGAAUAAUGCUAGGCAUUUGGAUUUAACCAUAAUGCAGGCAGACAAGAAUUUCUAGAGCCAUAGGCUGCAAAGGAUUCUCGAAAAAUCGGAUAAUAUUUCGAAGAAUUUUGUGAAACACCUGAACAACUGGGGGAAUGAGCGGAUACUCGAUAAGGGCAAGAAAUUAUCCGUAGGGGUAUUCAUAUGGCAAAGAACUGCAAGGCAGUAGGCACAAAAUAUCCUAGGAACAAUAGAGAGGAUUUCAGGGUAUCUUGUAAUAAUAAGAUCAACUAGGAAUAGAAGUAAGAAUGAGAAGUGUAUGCAAUUUUCAUAGGGGUUGACGGUGGAAGGAAAUCGCAAAUGCGAUGGCACAAAGACUUGAGAGAACAUUGUAGAGUAACUUCGACAUCUUCUAGUGCAGCAGGCGAUCUGAAUUGAGGGGCUCUCCGGGAGAAAGUAUUUUCGAGAACCUAAAGUUAGUUUUGUUUUUGGCAAAAUCAUUUAACCCGAAUAGAAGAGAGAUCAGAGUCCCAGAGUAUAGGUCGAGGAAUAAAAGAUCCUAAUACCACCCAAUGGCGACGUGGGCCCAUGGGCUGCACAGCCAUGUUAGUAAAACAGUUUUCAUCGACUAGACUCAACUUCGGCCAAGGAGUUGGAAAGUGGAUUCCUACAGGCAGUCGGCUCUGAUACCAACUUGUUACGCCCCCGAUUCAAUCAUACAUUAAUCAUGCACGCAAACGUGUACGAUCAAGAUCAGGGACUCACGGGAAGAUAUCACAACACAACUCUAAAAACAUAAAUAAGUCAUACAAGCAUCAUAAUACAAGCCAGGGGCCUCGAGGGCUCGAAUACAAGUGCUCGAUCAUAGACGAGUCAGCGGAAGCAACAAUAUCUGAGUACAGACAUAAGUUAAACAAGUUUUCCUUAAGAAGGCUAGCAUAAACUGGGAUACAGAUCGAAAGAGGCGCAUGCCUCCUGCCUGGGAUCCUCCUAAACUACUCCUGGUCGUCGUCAGCAGCCUGCACGUAGUAGUAGGCACCUCCAGUGUAGUAGUCGUCGUCGACGGUGGCGUCCGGCUCCUGGGCUCCAGCAUCUGGUUGCGACAACCAGAAAGAAAGGAAAGGAGGAAAAGGGGGGAGAAAGCAACCGUGAGUACUCAUCCAAAGUACUCGCAAGCAAGGAGCUACACUACAUAUGCAUGGGUAUAUGUGUAAAGGGCCAUAUCAGUGGACUGAACUGCAGAAUGCCAGAAUAAGAGGGGGAUAGCUAGUCCUAUCGAAGACUACGCUUCUGGCAGCCUUCGUCUUGCAGCAUGUAGAAGAGAGUAGAGUGAAGUCCUCCAAGUAGCAUCUCCAAGUAGCAUCUCCAGUAGCAUCGCAUAGCAUAAUGCUACCCGGCGAUCCUCCCCUCGUCGCCCUGUGGAAAAGCGAUCACCGGGUUGUCUGUGGAACUUGGAAGGGUGUGUUUUAUUAAGUAUCCGGUUCUAGUUGUCAUAAGGUCAAGGUACAACUCCGGGUCGUCCUUUUACCGAGGGACACGGCUAUUCGAAUAGAUAAACUUCCCUGCAGGGGUGCACCACGUAACCCAACAUGCUCGAUCCCAUUUGGCCGGACACACUUUCCUGGGUCAUGCCCGGCUUCGGAAGAUCAACACGUCGCAUCCCCACCUAGGCACAACAGAGAGGUCAGCCCGCCGGUCUAAAUCCUAUGCGCGCAGGGGUCUGGGCCCAUCGCCCAUUGCACACCUGCACGUUGCAAGGGCGGCCGGAAACAGACCUAGCAACCUCCAUUACAAAGGAAGUUGCGUUAACGCAGUCCAAUCCGGCGCGCGCCGCUCCGUCGCUGACGUCAAGAAGGCUUCGGCUGAUACCACGACGCCGGGAUACCCAUAACUACUCCCGCGUAGAUGGUUAGUGCGUAUAGACCAAAUGGCCAGACUCAGAUCAAAUACCCAGAUCUCGUUAAGCGUGUUAAGUAUCCGCGAACGCCGAACAGGGCCAGGCCCACCUGUCUCCUAGGUGGUCUCAACCUGCCCUGUCGCUCCGCCGCAAAGUAACAGUCGGGGGCCGUCGGGAACCCAGGCCCACCUCUACCGGGAUGGAGCCACCUGUCCUUUCAGCCCCCUCAUCAGAAUCACUUGCGGGUACUCAACGAGCUGACCCGACUUUAGUCACCAUCUGUAUAGUAUGUAUGUAUGUAUAGUGUAUACCCGUGAUCACCUCCCAAGUGACCACAGCCCGAUAGUAUAGCAAGGCAGACUGACAAGAAUGUAGGGCCAAUGAUGAUAAACUAGCAUCCUAUACUAAGUAUUUAGGACUGUAGGUAAGGUAUCAACAGAUGUAGCAACAAUGUCGGGCUAUGCAUCAGAAUAGGAUUAACGAAAAGCAGUAACAUGCUACACUACUCUAAUGCAAGCAGUAUAGAGGAGAAUAGCCGAUNNNNNNNNNNNNNNNNNNNNNNNNNNNNNNNNNNNNNNNNNNNNNNNNNNNNNNNNNNNNNNNNNNNNNNNNNNNNNNNNNNNNNNNNNNNNNNNNNNNNNNNNNNNNNNNNNNNNNNNNNNNNNNNNNNNNNNNNNNNNNNNNNNNNNNNNNNNNNNNNNNNNNNNNNNNNNNNNNNNNNNNNNNNNNNNNNNNNNNNNNNNNNNNNNNNNNNNNNNGUCGGUGACGUAGUCGACCACAGGGGCAUCAGCAUCGUCACGGGGUCUACCGGAGAGAAGAGGGGGAGAAACAGUAAAUACAUAGCAAGCAAGUGCAUAACAGGACAACAAGCAGAGCUAGACGUGUUCUAUCGCGGUAUGAGGUGAUACCGGUGAAGGGGGGAAACAUCCGGGAAAGUAUCCCCGGUGUUCCGUGCUUUCGGACAGAUGAACCGGAGGUGAAAUGUUGCAGGUUCACUAUGCUAGGGACGCGUGGCGGAUGAAAGGGCUGCGUAUCCGGAUCCGUCUCGUCGUUCUGAGCAACUUUCAUGUUGAAAAUAAUUUAAUCCGAGUUACGGAUUAAAAGAUAUGAUUUUCUAAAGAUUUUAAUAAUUUCUGGAAUUUAAUUAAUUAUUUAAUUUAAUUCGAAAAUGUAUUUAUGACAUCAGCAUGAUGUCAUGCUGACGUCAGCAGUCAACAGGGUUGACUGGGUCAAACUGACAUGUGGGGUCCGCAUGUCAUAGACUGAACAGGCUAAUCAGGUUUUAAUUAAGUUAACUAGUGAUUAGAUUAAUUUAAUCAGGAUUAUUUAAGUUAAUUAAUUCUUUAAUUAAUUAACUAAUUAAUAUUUUAUUUAUUAUAUAUAUAUAUAUAAUUUUAUUAAAUCCUCCUUUUUUUGUUCUUAGGGGCGUGGGCCCCGUUUGUCAUUGGCCCAGAGGCCAUAGCGGGCACGAGCGCUAACGGGCACAGCCCGAACGGGCGCUAGCCCGCGGGGGCGCACCCGACCAGGCAACAAGGGGCGGCUGGUGGGCGCGGGCGCCAGCACGCCGGCGUUGAGCUCCGGCGGCUGCGACCGGGCGGAGCAUGGGGAGGGCCGCGGCUGCCGACAUGCAGCAGGGCGGCCAGAGGCGGAUGACGUGAGUGCGAGGCCGCGACGAGAGGGGCGGAGGCUCCUCGGUGCGACACAGGGCGAGCGGGGAGGAGCAACGCGUGCGGGCGCGGCGAACUGGUGCUGGGGCUCGCACCCGACGUCAUGAGAGGCGAGGGUGAGCGCGCCUGGGGGCCUCGGUGGUCGCGAGCGGAGGCGGCCGGGGACNNNNNNNNNNCGAAUGGGCCGGCCCGCUGGGUCUGCUGGCCUGGGGGGGGGUCUUUCUCUCUCCUUUUCUUCUAGUUUUAGGUUUUAGUUUUUCUGUUUUGUUUUUAAUUAUUUUCUUUUCUGUUUUAAAUCACUUUAAAUUAUUUAGACAUUUUAUAAAAAUGUGUUUGCUGCACCAUAAUUACCCUUGUAAUAUUUGGCAACCACCGAACAUUUUUGUUUCAAGUUCUGAAAACUUUUAUUAUCAACAAUAAUUUUAAAUUCGAAUUUGACGCGGUUGAACUAACGGACAUUUAGUAAAAGUAAUCGGGAUGACAUGGCAUCACUAGCAGAGGAUCACUGUAGCUUAAUUACCCGGGCGUCACACGCCGGCUCCAGGUGGAGCAAAGCUUUCGCCCAAAGUUGAUCUGACACACUCCCGUCGACCGGUUGAGUGAGGAGGGUAGAUUAUCUGCACAAGCACAAGGACCAUGACUGCCCCGAUGCCGCACAUGGUCAGAAUCAAACCUGGGAGGAAGUAGCGCCGCCAAACCCAUCCACCGGCAGGACCACCCGCACCACGCAGAGGCCACCACCCAGGAAGUCCAGCAGCUCAAACCGGCACCACGCCGGCCGAAGCACACCAUAAGAAUCUCACCAGAACGCCGGCCCGGCCGAGCAGCGCCGUCCAGCAGGAGAAGCAGGUUGGGAGCGGCCGCUCCAGAUCCACCCGCAGCCGACCAGAGCCGCCGGCCCCCACCAUGCACAGCCGCCCUGCCGCCCGCGCGGGCCAGAGCUGCCGCAUCUCGCCGACGGCCCGCGACAACCAGAUUUAGGCCCGAAACCCCGAUCCACCACCAAACGGUGCGCCACCAUGCCACUCGACCGCGAGGAUGAGGGGAGGACGACGCAGCCGCUGCCUGGGGCCACCGCCCCAGCACCCAGCGCCACCGCACCACAGAUGUGGCCAGGCGGCUAGAUCCGCCCCGACGCGUAGCCUCGCGAAGCACGCCGCGCCGUCCAGGGCCGGCCACCGCGCGCGACCGAGCGAGGGAGGCCCGCCGCCGCCAGCUGCCGCGCGGGCUUUGCCCGGCGGUGCGGCCCGACGGCGGCGAGGGGGAGCGGGAGGGAAGUGGGGGGUGGCUGCGGCGGUGUUGGGUUUCGCCCGAGCCGCUCCCCUGGAGAGCGACGCGAGCGUGACUGUGGUAUGUAUAUAGAAAUAAAAUCAUUUUUUUUAUUUCUUGUUGAUGCAUUAUAUAUUUGUUGAAGCUUAGACGUGACAUCCUUAAAAAACAUCUAGAUGUGAAUUAGACAAACCGUUAAUAUAAUAUGACUCCUAAACCCUUUAACACUGUGAAGUACAUCCAGCAACGUGGAAGGGGCGUGUCUAACAUGGCACCUCCCAGCUUUCUAUCAGGUGGCUAGUGCACUAAAUAUAUGUUCAUGCUACACUCUCAUGUCGAUAUUAGACAGAAGUCUCUCAUGUACAAAAUUAGACAGAUGUUGGCGAGAAGUGCAUGGAUGAACCCGGGUACAUAUGAACCCACUUUGAAAAACACAUUUCUAAAUUCUAAAAAAAUCUGGAAAAAAAUUGCACGGGUACGUCUCCAUGUUCUAUGUGCGUGCAUAAAGUUUCAUGAAAAAAUAACUUUUUUUGUGACCUGUGCAAAAAAGACAAAAAAUUAUGUCGUGAAACACUAUUUAAAAGCACUGAAAUUUGUCUUUUUUUGCGGAGGCAAAACAAAAAGAUAUUUUUUGAUAAAACUUUGUGCCGCGUACACACAUUUGCGAACAUAUAUGCGUGAUAUUUUCUUUUGAUUUUUUUGACAUUUUAAAACGUGCUUAAAAUGCAUUUUAUGAAAAGUGGGUGCAUAUGCCCAUGGGUUCAGAUGGUGCCCUCUCGAUGUUGGCGGACCAAACUAGCAAUUCCCAUGGGUCGACAUCGGGGGUCUCAUUGGCACAGUGUCAUCCUUUGGUACAAGAAAGCAUAGGUACCUCAUAAUAUCAGUUAGUAGUAGUAGUUAGCAAGAGAACAGUUAGUGCACUAGAACAAUAUCCAGCUUCCCUUUGGUUGCUGCCCUCGCAACUUCACAGUAUAUGUACACCCCUCGAUCGGUUCUCAGGAGGCAAAUUAAGGUCUGCAUCAUCAUCCAGAUAUGGAGCUGCUCGCAGUCCCCGUCCUGCUGGCGGCCAUGGCCAUGGCCUUGACCUAUCUGGCCUGGACGGCCGCCUCCCGUCGUCGGCGUUCACAGUGCUACCUCCUCGAUUACGUCUGCUACAAACCGCCAGACGACCGCAAGGUGACGACGGAUAUGGGGGUCGCACUGGCCGAGCGUAACAAGCGGCUCGGCGCCCCUGAGUUACGCUACCUCUUCCGCCUAACGUCUCGCGCCGGUCUGAGUGAGCAGACCUACCUCCCUUGUGGCAUCUUGGCAGGCCGCGAGAAGUGCCUCACCCACCAGGACGCGCUCGACGAGAUGGACGCCUUCUUCAUCGACGCCGUCGCCGGCCUCUUUGCCAAUACCGGAUUCGGCCCCCGUGACGUGGACGUGCUCGUGGUCAACGUCAACAUGUUCAACCCGGAGCCUUGCCUUGCCUCGCGGAUCGGGCACCACUACGGAAUGCGCGAGGACGUCGCGGCGUACAACGUCUCCGGCAUGGGCUGCAGCGCCACGCUGGUCUCGUUGGAUAUCGUCCAGAACGUCAUGCGGGCACGGUCGCCGCGCCCCGUGCUUGCGCUUGUGCUGUCGACGGAGGUGCUCUCGCCUGGAAACUACCUGGGCACGGACAGGUCCAUGAUGCUGGGACUAUGCCUUUUCCGCUGCGGCGGGGCAGCGGCGCUGCUCACCAGCAACCCCGCGCUCGGUGGACGCGCCAAGAUGAAGCUACGCCGCCUUGUGCGGGCCAACGUCGCCGCCGCCGACGAUGCGUACUCCGCCAUCUUUCAGCGCGAGGACGCAGACAACAUAACAGGGUUCAGCAUCAACAAGACACUCCCAAAGGCUGCCGUCCGAGCGUUCGCCGCCAACCUGGAACGGGUCGUCCCUUACAUCCUCCCUGUCAGGGAGCUCCUCCGACUUGCCACCGACUUGAUACGUCAGAAGAUGUCUCGCCGCCGGCGAUUCAAGAUCGAUGUCAACUUGAAGACUGGGGUCGACCAUUUCUGCCUCCACUCGGGUGGGGUUGCUGUCAUCGACGCUGUGAAGAAGAACUUCGGGCUCACCGAGAGGGACGUGGAGCCGUCGAGGAUGACGCUGCACCGCUGGGGAAACACGUCGGCCAGCAGCGUGUGGUACGUGCUGGCAUACAUGGAGGCCAAGGAGAGGCUCAAGAGAGGGGACAGAGUGCUUAUGGUGACCUUCGGAUCGGGCUUCAAGUGCAACAGUUGCAUGUGGGAUGUGAAUCGCGAUCUGGCGGACAAGGGUCCGUGGGCCGACUGCAUUGAUGAGUACCCGGUGCAGAGCACAGCCAACCCGUGCUUGGACAAGUAUAGCUGGAUGAUGAAUGACAACACUGAUGACGAUUCCACAUUCCCUCUGUUGUAAAACACGUGGACGGCGCGUACGUCAAUCACGGAUCAGAAGGGCCGCGAAUAAGAGCAUAAGAACUUCUCUUCGUCAGAUUAUAUAUGGGAGUAAAAGUACUUGAAAAACUAGCAUGAUGACACUCACAACUGCGAGGGCAUCAUCUUUAGAGUAUUUAUUGAAUAUGCGUGCGCGUAUAAUAUUUAUGUUUUCAAGAUACUGAGAAUAUAUAUUUCAAAUAUAUAUGGCAGUAUAGCCACCGAAAAUGUUAAAUAAAAUAUGAGAUGGGCAGAAAAUAUUUUGUAUCAUUUUAGUUUGUGGGAUAAUAAUAGCAUACAAGUAAUCCCCCCAAAAAACUGCUAGAUGUGCAGCACCGGCUGCACAACCGCUCAAAAGUCCUGGCUAGUGGCUAGUGAGGAAGCACAUAUUCCACAUACAAAUAUACUAGUAAGGUACACGUGCAUUGUAUCCAUAAGUUUUUGUAACCAAAUUACAAAUGAAUACCACAUUAUAGUAUGUAAAUAUGUAAGUUUUGAGUUAUAUAGGUGUGAUGUGGAUGUUCAUUUAAUUCUUGUAGUAGUUCAUCCCAAUCAAAAUCAAAUUAAUGCUACAAAAUAUCAAACACCAUAGUAUAAUACGAGCACUAGCCAUCAAGGUUCUUGCUAGCCAUAGGAAUUAAACCAAGUUAGUCGUCCGAUCCAGUAGGAAGGAAUCAUGCGUUGAGCUGUCUCUUUCCUCCACUAUGAUUACGUGCUUCUAGUAAAUGAUCCUGUAGCAUGUCCUCUCCGGCCGCUAACCUCUGUCCUCCACUAAUUACGCGUUGAGUUAAUUAAUUGAUCCUUUCCCCGUCAAGGAAGCAUGAUGCAUGACACUGAAUAUUUGCUUCCAGUUUCGUUUCGAAUAUUUGCUUCCGAACCUAUACUAGUAAAAAAAUAUUGUGGGCCAGAAGCAUAUUGUUCCAUCGUCUAGAGAAUUCAUUCAACCUAACAGUGAUUUAGUUCAACUCAAAAAAAAACCAGUGAUUUAGUUCCUUCAAAAAAAAAACAUUUUCCACUUGUUUCAAAAGUAUCAACUUGGUGCUUCCAUCAACUAUAAAAUUGCUUCCAACCAAAUAGUGAUAAAAGUGCAAAGAAAGCAAUCUUUUAGUAUAAAGAAAAAAAUUGCUUCGCAAAGGAAUCAUGUGGAAGCACAACUUGAAUGAUGACGCAUUGUUCGAAAAAAAACUUGUUUUAAAAGCAUCAUUCUCGUGCUUCCAUCAACUACAAAAUUGUUUCCAGCCAAAUACCAAUAAAAUUGCAUGUGAAACGAUCUUUUUUGUAUAAAGAAAAUUUUGCUUGACAAAUAAAUCAUGUGGUAGCACAACAUGAAUGAUGACGCAUUGUUAGAAAAAAACAUAGUUCUGCUUGUUUCAAAAGCAUCAAUCUCGUGCUUCCAUUACCUAUAAAGUUUCUUCCAAUCAAAUAGUAAUAAAAUUGCAAUUGAUACAAUCUUGUUAUAUAAAGAAAAAAUUUACUUCGCAAAUAAAUCAUGCGGAAGCACAAUGAAUGAUGAAAGUAAUCACGUGGAAAUAAUGCUUCCAAACACAAAUCAUGCUUCCUAAUCUAUAGUUCCCCGCUAUGGUCCAUCCAACCGUGUACGAGCUUGACAACCUUCAAUUCUCCCACAAAUCUGCGGGUGUCAACGCCGGUGAGCAUCGACGCCGUUGAGGGGCCAACGAUCUUGACCUUUGGCCACCAAGUGUGUGCCAUGCUGGUUUGCCUCCAUACUCAUCUCACGUUGCGGACCAUGCCUAGUAUUGAUCAUCGUGUUAUGCUCACUGUCAGCAAGGCAUGGUCUUCCGCUGCUGUCGACCCUGCAGAAAUAACAAAAUGAGUUGUUUGAAUUGAAUUCAAACACAACGCCAACAAAACAUUAUGAAGCAUGCAAAUGAAGCAAACUGGACACGGUGUAGGGCUAGAAGCAUAUGUAUGAAAUAUAUGAAGCAACCAUACACGGUGAAGAACUAUAGCUAUGUAUGUAUGAGGCAAAUUGUAUGUCGGGAGGAAGCACACAUAUAAUCAAUAUUUUAAAUAGCACGCUAUUUCGCCGUUAUAACGCGGUUAUAGCAUAUUUGGAAGGGAGACGUUACGUUUUGGCAAAAUCGGACGCUACGGCGCUAAUCGCGUAAUUAGCGCGCUACACACGCUAUAACGUUGUAACGUUGUAACGUUACAACAUGCAGACCAUGCAAAAUUGAAAUAAGCACAGCCCAGCAGGCCUAGCAGGCCAAAACGAACCCACGAGCACUAGCUUUCUCACUCCUUUUAUCAGAUUCUCCCACGAGACCUAACCGGCUAACCCUAGUUCUCACUUCUCAUCCCUUUCUCACUCCUUUUUAUGUGCUGGAUUUGGCCCUUAUGCAUAUAUUGCUUGCUCCUAUGAAAAAUUUAGUUGCUUAAAUACUUUAUUUCUAGAUAUAUUUGAUUUUUUUUGCAAACGCUAUUUUAAAAUAUAGCACGCUAUUAGCGCGCUAUAACUUGUGUAGCAUUUAGAGAAGGGCUUCGCUAUAUUUUGUAGCACGCUAUUUAAAAUAUUGCAUAUAAUACGUACCAAGCAUGGAAAUUUGGAAGGAUAUAUACUCAGUCUCAUACAAUAAAAUAGUAUCUGCAUGGAUGCAACAAAUUCGGCAAAAAAGAACAUCCAAAAGGGACGUGGGCUGAUUCUUAUGGCUUCUGAUACUCCCUGCAUCUGUUUUUUUUUUGCGCAUAACAAAACUUUCAUUACUUAACCAGAGUCAUUACAAUCCUGUUGACAUAAGAUGUCAACCUCAUCAGGGGCACAACGAAGCCAAACAGAAGUUUUGGGCAGUAAACGGCCCAUUUGUGCGAGAGCGUGGCUAGCUUUAUUCUGCUCUCGUUUAAUCACCGCUAUUUCAUGUGGCCGGACAGCUAGGAUCUGCUUGAUGUCGCCAACCAUGGCCGCCACUAGAGCCCUGUUGGUUUCGGUGUCCCUGACCAUGUGAGCCGUCGUCGAGCAGUCCGUCUCCCCUAUCAACCUGUCGAGCUCCGCUCCAUAGCCGGAGUCACUCCCUCCAUGAGCGCCGCCAUCUCUGCCUCGAGGGCGUUCGUACAGUGUGGGAUGAACCGGCAAGAAGCGAAAAUGGCGGCACCUAUAUGAUCACGAAGUAUCAUCCCAGGACCUCCUGUUCCCUCCUAUUACUCCCAUGCACCAUCCACGUUUAGUUUUACCCAGCCAAAUGGAGGUUAGCUCCAGUGCUCACUGCUCAACAGGACGUGAGCAAGUGCUUGGUAUUUGAUGUCGUUCUUUGCCGGACGUGCGGCCACCAUAAGUAAUCACUCCCUUCCCCUUGGCAAUGUCAUCAGAUGGAUUUUGCUGAAUGUACAACAGCGUAUUGAUGUAGCUGGACAGGAAUCUGGUGGAAGCCUCAAGUGGUGGUGCAGGUUUGUGGUGGUAUACUUCAUUACGUACAUACCAGCUCCGCCAAAGUGUCAUCACCACAGGGAGUGUCUCCUCGUUCUUGCAUUGGUCUAGCAGGUGGAUGAUCCACUCUAGCCCAGUGUUGACGACGGUCUCCAGCUUGGGCAUACUCCAUGUACGCGCCACCGCCGUCCAUAGUUGUCGGGCCAACGGGCAACGGCAUAGAGCAUGGUAUGUGUCCUUGCAUUCCAAACACAUAAAGCACAUAUAUUAGACACCUCCAGUGUACGUUUAUGUUUAUUUUCAAGCGUUGCCAGACAGUGCAUCGCAACUCUCCAUGCAAAAACUAGUACCUUAGGGGGAGCAGGGCACCCCCACACUGCUUUCCAGACAGCACGAGUACCGUCCGGUGCCCUGCUCGUGGCGCACGCGGUGGUGCUAGUCCGCUCCUCAAGAGCGGUCUUGUAUGCGCCGCGGACACUGAAAUUGCCCCGCGCGUCCGGCGCCCAUGAUAGGACGUCUUCCAUCCUGCGUGGGCUGGCCUUGAUCGCCAAGAUGCAUUCCACGUCGGGGGCGCUGAAGUGUUGUUCGAGGAGGUCCACCCGCCACCUUCCAUUAGCAUCCAAUAGCUCUGAUACCCGUUUGAGCAGGCAUGUUCGCCGUUGCGUGAUGGGCCUGUAGGAAGUUGGGCGUGGGAUCCACAGGACGCACCAGAUGCGAAUUUGCUCUCCAUUGCCCACGCGCCAUAGGAGCCCGCGUUUGAGUAGCUCGAGACCAUGCUGGAUAGCAUGCCAAGUCGGUGACGCGUUACCUGAAAAAACAGUGUCCUCAAGGGACCCAUUAGGGUAAUAUUUUGCUUUGAGAACCUGGGAGCACAAGGAGUCCGGCCUUGUUAUAAGGCGCCAAGCUUGCCGAGCUAGCAAUGCUUGGUUGAAGAUGCGGAAGUCCCUGAAGCCAAGGCCCCCCUUUCCUUUUGGUUCAAUCAAUUUCUCCCAUGCCUGCCAAUGCGUCUUCCUCUUGCCUUCUUUAGACCCCCACCAAAAGUUUCUGACCAGACGGGUGAAAUCAUCGCACACAGAAUAAGGUAGUUUGAACACUCCCAUUAUGUAAGUGGAGAUAGCUUGCAGGACAUAUUUGAUCAAUGUCUCCUUCCCUGCCUGUGAGAGCCUAUCCCUCCAAGCCAUAAUUCACUUAGUUAAGCUUGCUUGCAGCAUUUGGAAUCUACCUUUAUGCAUGCGCCCAUCCGGGGUAGGUAAACCGAGGUAUUUUCCUUCAUACUCAACAUUGUGUACCUGCAGUACUUGUCUAACUGUUGUUUGUAUCACCAAAGGGCAGUUGUCACCAAACUGAAUAGAGCACUUUUGCGGAUUUAUGAGCUGGCCCGUGGCUACCGCAUAACUUUGAAGGACACCCUUUACAUACUGAGCUUGUUCAAUGCUAGCUUUAAAGAAUAAUACUGUGUCAUCUGCAAACAGGAGAUGCGAUAUUGCCGGCGCCCUAAUACAAAUUUUCACUAGUUGGAAGGCAUGAUCUUGCACUCCAUGUCUCAAUAGAGCAGAUAAUCCAUCAGCCACAAAGAGGAACAAAAAGGGGGAUAAGGGGUCACCUUGCCGAAGCCCUCGUGUCGGUAUAAACUGAUCCAGAAGGGCUCCAUUAAAUUUAACAGGAUAGCUCAUCGUGGUGACACAUGUCAUAAUCCAUUGCACCCACCGGUGAGAGAAACCCAUCCUCUCCAUCGCUUGCUUCAAGAACCCCCAGUCGACCUUCUCAUAGGCCUUUGACAGGUGUAGCUUGUACGCACAGUAGUUAUUUUCUGGAAUUUUCUCAUGCUGAAUAAAAUGGAGGCAUUCGAAGGCAAGUAGUGCAUUAUCUGUGAUUAGCCUACCCGGCACAAAUGCACUCUGAGAAGGUGAUAUGAUCUCAUUAAUAAGUGGCCUGAGCCUGUUCACCAAGCAAUUAGCAACAAUUUUGUAAAUGACAUUACAUAGAAUUAUUGGCCGAAAGUCAGUCUUUUGAACAGGAUCAUCAACCUUAGGAACGAUUACCGUUUCAUUCACACCAUCUAGCAUAACCCCUGUCUGGCAAAAUUCCUGAACAGUCCUGAUAAUUUCGGCCUUCAUAACUAGCCAAUUUUUCUGAAAAAACCUCGCUGGGAAGCCGUCCUUGCCCGGCACCUUCAGGGGUCCCAUCUUGAAUAAACUGUCAGAUAUUUCUUUCUCGCUGAAUUCAGCACACAGACGGUCAUUCAUCUCCGAAGUAACUCUCUCAUCAUACAAGUCCAAGAGAUGGUGUUGUACAAGUGAGUCAUCGCGGGUGAAGAGGUUUUGAAAAUAUGAGCUAACCAUGUUGGCCAUUACCUCAUGCUCCCCGUGGUAGACACCACUAUCAUCAACUAGCCUUUUCACUUUAUUAUUCCUUGCUCUUCAUACUGCUCGCCUAUGAAAAAAGUUUGUGUUAUGGUCUCCCUCAGGAAGCCAGUCAAUACGACUUCGUUGCAUCCAUAGCAUCUCCUCUCGGUACAACAAUUCCUGCGUAUGGUCGGACUCUUUCCAUAUCUCAUUCCGAUUUGCAUUCAUGCUCAUUAGUUCCUCCAGCCUGGUUCUAGAUUUUUCAAGUUCAUUUGUAAUAUUAUCAAAAUUCUUUUUACUCCAUGCAUGUAGCUCAGUCAUGAGCUUAGCAAGGCCUGAACGAAUAUCUCCAAGGCUAAAUUUCUGUCCUGCACUCCUCCAUGCUUCUGCCACACGUUCAGGGACGCUCUCAUCCCUUUCCCAGAAAGUUCCGUACCUUUUAAAAUUAGUACGUACAUGAUUAGUCUCCUCUUUAACACACUGUAGCAUAAGCGGGCAAUGAUCUGAGCAUGGUGACACUUUAUGUACCACUCGUGCCUCCCUAAAUAUAUCCCGCCACCGGUUAUCCGCAACCGCCAGGUCCAGACGUACCCUCACAUUCUUUCUGCCUCUCUGCUUAUUGUCAUAAGUGAACGGUAAGCCAGAGAAUCCAAGAUCCACAAGUUCACAUACCUCUAGUGUUUCUCUGAAUGCAAGCAUCUGGCUCUCAGUGCGAGGUGUCACCGAAAAAUGCUCAAAGGAUCACAUGGCCUCAUUAAAAUCACCCAUAACACACCAAGGGAGAUCAGAUUGUUGUUUAAGGCUUGUCAUGAGAGUCCACAUCAGAUGUAGAUUUUCAGUGCAUGGUUCCCCAUACACACAUGUCAACCGCCACAAAGGAUCAUGCUCAGACAGCCGCACAUAUCUGCCAUUCGAUGAUUGAACUUCAACAUGCAGACUAUCACACCAGAAAAGAGCAAGGCCACCACUCAACCCAUUACUACUGACACCUGAGAAACCUCUAACGCCUAACCUAGUACGAAAUCUUUUUAUUUUUUCUAAACUCUGUCUAGUCUCACAUAAAAACAAAAUUUUUGUCUGUGUUGCCUUCACCAUGCCAACUAAGUCGUGAACUGUCAGUUUGUUGCCCCCCCGACAGUUCCAACUCAUGCAAUUCAUUGCUCCUGACGGAGCACCACACUUGGCUCCGUCAGUUGACCAGCGGCCCUUGGGCUGGUUGCCUCCAUGAUACUAUCCACUCCAGCCGCACCUCCCUGCAACAUCUCCUGUGUGUACAUCUCCUCCAUGACCAGCUUCUGUUUCUUUGGUGUGCCAUCCAGGACAUGCAGUUCAGCAUGUACAAGCAUGAUCACCUUCCAUGGUCGUUCAGGUUCCUCUGUGACACCCACUUCCUUUAGGUACAACUCUGUCAGCACCACUUCCUCAUCAAGGUCCUCUCCUUUCACGAAGUCUUCAGGUCCUGUGAUCAUCGGCCGAUCCGCCGCCGGCCUCGAUCCACCAAUUACCGGCCGGACCAUGCUUUGUCCGCCUCCUGUGAUGGCAUUCGCGGCUGCGGAGCUCUCUGGAAGGGCAGCCUUGGAUCCACCAUUGGCCGGCUUCGGGCGGGUAGCGUCCGCUAUGGGAGCCCCAUGAUCUCCCCCACCGUCUGUUGGUUUCACCUCCACUGCACCCGCCAAAAGAUCACUAAUGACAGCGGCUUCAACGACACCCCAGUAGGAGGUGGAUGAUGGAGUCACGUACCUAGGGUAGGGUCACAGACCUGAUCUAAGUACCCUACCCGAGGACACCCUUAGAAGAGAUCACCUUCCAGUCGACCUACGAGGGACUCACUCGACUGACUUGAAGGACUCGACCACGAAGACUCACUCGACCACCAGAAGGUCAAGAGACACUCUGCUCUGCAACGGUCUGUAAUUAAGUAGACUUUAUGAUAGUAAAGACACUUUAUGUGGGGCGUUACCAGUAACGCCCCGGUCUUAAUGUACCUUAAACCCUUCAUUACGUGGGUUGGCUGGGGACCUGGCGCACUCUAUAUAAGCCACCCCACCCCACAGGCAGAAGGGUUCGGCACCCUGUAACUCAUAUACACGUAAUCCACUCGACCGCCUCCGGGCUCCGAGAUGUAGGGCUUUAACUUCCUCCAAGAAGGGCCUGAACUCGUACAUCUCUUGUGUUUACAACCUCUCCAUAGCUAGGACCUUGCCUCUCCAUACCUACCCCCACUCUACUAUCAGGCUUAGAACCACGACAGUUGGCGCCCACCGUGGGGCUGGUGUUUUAGCGAUUUUGUGGAGAAGUUGCGAUUCUUCCGAGUACUUUCAUCAUGGUGGCUGCUGGAGUUUUGGUCGAGGGUCGAGAGAUCCGUCUCGGUGCUCUCACCUUCGUCGCCGACGACUCCGCCUGGCUCCAGGAGGCUCCACUCGACGUCGAUGCGCUCCCCGUCCGCGGUGCGACGCAUUUUCGUGCAUGUGUCCGCGGCGUUCUGCUGCGGCAACCGUCGACCCCGUAUCGGUCGACUCCCCCAUCGGCCACCCUCCCGGUUCCCGCCAGCGCAAGCGCUCGGGCCGGUCGAGGCUUCAGCGGUGGGUGAGGCACGCGGUGGCUCGCCAGACGGCCACCACCCAAGUUGCGGCAAUCGAGCCCGACGAAUCCCUCUACGGCCUGUUCGAUCUGUCGACUGGCUCCGUAGAGACUGCAUCCGAGUGCGAUAGCAGUGAUCCAGCGGCGGAAAUCCUGAUGGUCGACGGGCCCCGCAGUCCCCCUGGCUUCGCCCGUGAUGGUGGGGCAGGCGACGGAGGCGACCCCGCAUGAGACCACGAAGAGUACCAGCCCGAGCCACUCGACUCUCUGCAAAGAGAGGAACUUCGCCACAGGAACGUGGAUGCCCUGCAUACUCCCAUCGCAGGAGAAACCCCCGAGGCUCGCGCCUUAGAGGAGGCACGUUUGGAGAAUCUUCAGCGAGCACUCGACGAGCGCGCGCGGCAACGAGUUCCCGACGCCAGUCGACUUCAACUCUUCCUGCCGACUCAGGUAUAUCGAACCCCAAUCCAGAAUUUAGCAGCUGCGACCCGUAUAGCAGAGUCCAUCCAGCCCUCUCAGUCGGAAGCUGGCAGAGGCUUGAUGCAGAUCAGGGAUCUGCUCCGGGCAGCAGGAGAUCAGAAUUCAGCCGUGUUGCAGUCAGAAUUCACAGUCGAUCCGUCGCUGCGAAUACGGUUCAGUCGGCUCACAGUCCCAGAUCGCCUCCGCGGCGUGAAGGACGCGAGAAUCGGCGAGACCAAUAUGGAGACUGACACGACCGAGAUGAUAGGCGUCGAGUGCCCACUUCCCCUCCGAGGGGUGGGUCCUACGCUCCUCGUCAGCAAGAUGAUAGACGUCAGCUCAGUGCAGGGCGAAGAGUUCCAGUCGACCCCAGAGAACCAGGCUUCGACGCGUGAUCCAUUAUUGUGCAAGGCUUGGUCGACCGGAACAGAGCCCAUCGAGGUGGACCCGACAGAGAUGCGCCCACGAGCAGUCGAGUGCAUGUUUCUGGUCCGGAAUGUUUCAGCAGAGCUAUCAGAGCCGCAGUGAUCCCUCCCAAUUUCAGGUUGGCAACAGGAGUCAGCAAGUUCACUAGUGAGUCUAAGCCUGAAACUUGGCUUGAGGACUACCGAGUGGCGGUUCAGAUUGGUGGUGGGAAUGACGAGGUGGCCAUGAAGCAUUUACCCCUCAUGUUGGAAGGUUCUGCCAGAGCAUGGUUGACUCAGUUACCUCCUAGCAGCAUUUACACUUGGGAAGAUCUGUCCCGAGUGUUCGUCAGAACAUUUGAAGGAACUUGCAAGCGACCAGCUGGAUUGACGGAGCUGCAAGUCUGCGUGCAGAAGACCAAUGAGACUCUCAGGGAGUAUAUUCAGAGGUGGAUCACUUUGCACCAUACUGUGGAGAAUGUGUCUGAUCAUCAGGCAGUCUGCGCCUUCAAGGAUGGUGUCAAGAACAGAGAAUUGAGUUUGAAAUUUGGUCGAACCGGUGACAUGACCUUGAGUCGGAUGAUGGAAAUUGCUACCAAGUAUGCCAACGGCGAAGAAGAAGACCGACUCCGAAGCGGCAAGCACAAGCCGAGUCAGUCGGAGAAGGGAAACACCAGUCGGAAACAGAAGCGGAAGGCUGAACCGGCAGCUCCUGGAGAGGCUCUGGCCGUGACUCAGGGAAAGUUUAAAGGGAAACCAAAAGGAUCCUGGAACCCUAAGAAGGUAAAGGAUAAAGAAGGGAAUGACGUGAUGGAUAUGCCGUGUCACAUCCACACGAAGAAAGACGAAGAGGGGAAUAUCAUUUACCCAAAGCAUACCACUCGCCAAUGUCGACUCCUGAUCCAGCAGUUUCAAGGAAAACAGUCUAAAGACAAGGAAAAGGAGUCAGGCAAGGCCGAAGACAAGGAGGACAGUGAGGAAGGAUAUCCGCAUAUCAACUCCACUCUGAUGAUCUUUGCAGAUGCGGAAAGCAAGAGUCGACUGAAAGUCAUUAACCGUGAGGUGAACAUGGUUAGCCCAGCAAAAGCAAAUUAUUUGAGAUUGUCCCAAACACCCAUCACAUUCGACCAAUCUGAUCACCCGACUCAUAUUGCCACCCCUGGGAGGCAAGCUUUGGUGGUCGAUCCAGUUGUCGAAGGCACUCGACUGACAAAAGUGCUGAUGGACGGUGGUAGUGGGCUGAAUUUGUUGUAUGCAGACACACUGAAAGGAAUGGGCAUUCCGAUGUCCCAACUGAGCACCAGUAACAUGAGCUUUCAUGGAGUUAUACCAGGGAAGAAAGCCGAGUCACUCGGCCAAAUAGCUCUGGACGUGGUGUUUGGUGAUUCGAAACAUUUUCGCAAAGAGAAGUUGACGUUUGAGGUCGUGGAUUUUCAGAGUGCAUAUCAUGCCAUUUUGGGGAGACCAGCUUAUGCACGGUUCAUGGCUCGACCAUGUUACGUGUACCUCAAAUUGAAGAUGCCCGGCCCCAAAGGAGUGAUCACUGUCACCGGUGAUCGGAAAAAGGCAGAAGAGUGCUUUCAGAAGGGCUCAAAGAUUGCCGAUUCCCAGGUGAUAGCGGUCGAGUUUGAAGAAUACAAGCAAAAUGCAGAUCCGAGUGAUUUGCUGCGAUCCAAGAAACCUGCCACAGAAUCUGCAUUUCAGUCAUCCGGUGAGACGAAGUCUGUUCACAUUCACCCGACCGACCCCGAUGCAGCCCCGACCCACAUCUCCACAACACUCGACCCGAAAUAGGAAGAAGCGCUCAUCCAGUUCCUCCGUGAGAACUGGGACAUUUUUGCAUGGAAGCCCGCUGACAUGCCAGGUGUUCCCAGGGGACUGGCUGAGCAUCGCCUAAGAGUCGACUCAUCAGCUAAACCAGUCAAAGAGCAUCUUCGGCGGUCCGCCGUCCAGAAGAGAAAAGCCAUUGGUGAGGAAGUGGCUCGAUUGUUGGCGGCAGGAUUUAUCCGAGAGAUAUACCACUCCGAGUGGCUCGCUAAUGUCGUCAUGGUCCCUAAGAAGGGCAAAUCACUCCGAAUGUGCAUUGAUUUCAAGCACAUCAAUCGGGCCUGCCCGAAAGAUCAUUUUCCUCUCCCUCGCAUAGAUCAAAUUGUUGACUCGACCGCGAGAUGCGAGAGAUUGUCUUUUCUAGACGCCUACUCCGGGUACCACCAGAUCCGUCUGUACGGACCCGACGAGGUAAAAACAACUUUCAUCACUCCAUUCGGGUGCUUCUGCUAUAUCACCAUGCCAUUCGGCCUCAAGAAUGCCGGAGCCACAUUUAUGCGAAUGAUUCAGAAGUGUCUACUCACUCAAAUCAGUCAGAAUGUGGAAGCGUAUAUGGAUGAUAUCGUCGUCAAGUCACGAAAAGGUUCCGACCUGCUCGCUGACCUCGCCGAAACAUUUGCCAACCUGAGAAGGUAUGAUAUCAAGCUCAAUCGAUCAAAAUGCACAUUCGGAGUUCCUGGUGGCAAGUUACUCGGUUUUCUCGUUUCCGAGCGAGGGAUCGACGCUAAUCCAGAAAAGAUGGACACUAUUCUCCGAAUGAAACGCCCUGUGCGAGUUCACGAUGUCCAGAAGCUUACUGGAUGCUUGGCCGCAUUAAGUCGAUUCAUCUCACGACUCGGUGAAAAGGCAUUGCCUCUUUACCGACUGAUGAAGAAGGCAGACAAGUUCGAGUGGACUCCAGAAGCUGAUGCAGCGUUUGCCGAGCUAAAAGCUCUGCUCUCCACCCAGCCGGUGCUUGCUGCUCUAAUCAGCAAAGAGCCUCUGUUGCUUUAUAUUGCAGCCACAGGACAAGUCGUCAGUACAGUGCUUACGGUCGAGCGGGAAGAAGAAGGAAAAGCUUUCAAAGUUCAGCAUCCAGUGUAUUAUUUGUCUGAAGUCUUGACUCCAUCCAAGCAGAGAUAUCCUCAUUAUCAGAAGCUUGUGUAUGGAAUAUACAUGACCACAAAGAAGGUUGCUCAUUAUUUCUCUGAUCAUUCCAUCACAGUCGUCAGCGACGCUCCACUAUCAGAGAUUUUGCACAACAGAGAUGCAACUGGUCGAGUGGCGAAAUGGGCGAUUGAACUUCUUCCCCUUGAUAUCAAGUUUGAGGCAAAGAAGGCCAUUAAGUCCCAGGCAAUAGCAGAUUUCCUCGCCGAGUGGAUUGAACAACAGCAGCCGACUGAAGUUCACUCGGAGCAUUGGACCAUGUUUUUUGAUGGCUCUAAGAUGUUGAAUGGUUCCGGUGCUGGGGUUGUCCUGGUUUCCCCCAGAGGAGAUAAGCUCAGAUACGUGCUCCAGAUUCACUUUGAUUCCUCCAACAAUGAGGCAGAGUAUGAGGCCCUCUUAUACGGAUUGCGCAUGGCCAGUUCACUCGGCGUCCGUCGCCUGAUGGUCUAUGGCGAUUCAGAUUUAGUGGUCAACCAAGUGAUGAAGGAGUGGGACGUGAGAAGCCCAGCCAUGACUGGAUACUGCAGUGCAGUGAGGAAGCUGGAAAAGAAGUUCGAGGGGUUGGAGCUCCAUCAUAUACCCCGACUGAAAAAUCAAGCAGCUGAUGAUCUAGCAAAGAUAGGUUCCAAGAGAGGAGCCAUUCCGAGUGGUGUGUUCUUGGAGCAUAUACACACUCCGUCAGUCAAAGAAGAUCCUUUCACCGAAGAAGCUCCAUAGCCCAAGAGUGCCACAGAUCCGACUGAGGUUGAAGUCCUAGCAGUAGUCGACUUGGUCAUGGAGGUCUUGGUGGUCAUUCCCGAUUGGACAGUUCCGUAUAUCGCGUAUAUCCUGAGAAAAGAGCUCCCGGAGGAUGAGGAAGAGGCUCGACAGAUCGUCCGUCGAUCUAAAGCCUUUACCGUAAUCAAAGGACACUUGUAUAGAGAAAGCGCGACUGGAGUUGGUCAGAAGUGCAUAACACCAGAAGAAGGUCGAAUCAUCCUUAAUGAUAUCCACUCGGGAACCUGUGGUCAUCAUGCGUCCUCUCGGACCAUCGUGGCCAAAGCAUACCGAGCCGGAUUUUACUGGCCAAAGGCGAAUGAGAUGGCAAAGGAAAUAGUCGAUAAGUGCGAGGGAUGUCAGUUCUACUCUAAUAUGUCGCAUAAGCCUGCAUCAGCUCUGAAGACCAUUCCACUCGUUUGGCCUUUCGCAGUAUGGGGGUUGGACAUGGUCGGUCCUUUGAGAACAGGGCGAAGUGGCUUCACGCAUGUACUGGUGGCAGUCGACAAGUUCACCAAGUGGACUGAGGCUAAACCAAUCAAGAACCUUGAUGCCGGUGCUGCUGUUAGCUUCAUCAGGGAACUGAUAUUCAGAUAUGGAGUCCCGCACAGCAUCAUUACGGAUAAUGGGUCGAACUUCGACUCGGAAGAAUUCAGGGAUUUCUGCAACUCUCAAGGCACGCGAGUAGACUACGCUUCGGUCGCCCAUCCGCAGACGAAUGGACAAGCAGAGCGAGCCAAUGGCCUGAUUCUCAAGGGAUUGAAACCCCGACUGAUGCAUGAUCUCAAGCAUGCAGCUGGAGCUUGGGUCGACGAACUUCCCUCGGUGCUUUGGGGACUGCGGACCACACCUAAUCGGUCGACCGGAAGAACUCCAUUCUUCUUGGUCUACGGAGCUGAAGCAGUCUUGCCGAGUGAUCUUCUCCACAAUGCUCCUCGAGUUGAAAUCUACAACGAAGCAGAAGCUGAACAAGCGCGGCAGGACGCAGUCGACAUUUUAGAGGAAGAAAGGGAGAUGGCUCUGAUCCGGUCGACCAUCUACCAACAAGAUUUGCGUCGUUUCCACGCCAGAAAUGUGAGGGGUCGAGCCUUCCAGGAAGGAGAUUUAGUUCUCCGAGUGGAUCAGAAGAAACAACACAAGCUUGCUCCUUCUUGGGAAGGACCCUUCAUCGUCACCAAAGUUCUCCACAACGGGGCGUACCGUCUUUACAACGUCGAACAUAAUAUCGACGAGCCCCGAGCUUGGAACGCGGAACUACUCCGCCCAUUUUACACUUAAGUUUAUCACUCGGAUGAGUUGCAAUAAAGUACUUCUGUAGUUCAUGUAUCUCAAAAUAAUAGUGUCAUAGUUCCUCCAUAAUUUUUGUCACUUUUUAUUUUAUCCAAUAAAAUUUUCCCCUCAGUGGGUGACUUAGCCACGAAUCCGUUUCGCCUAAGUUUGUAAAAAUCCUACCGAGUGGUGAGCCAGACUCCCACUCGGAGGCUUAGCUGCGAAUCCAUUUCGCCUAAGUUUGUAAAAAUCCUACCGAGUGGUGAGCCAGACUCCCACUCGGAGGCUUAGCUGCGAAUCCGUUUCGCCUAAGAUUAAAUAAAAUCCUACCGAGUGGUAAGCCAGACUUCUACUCGGAGGCUUAGCUGCAGUCCAAGUACUCGCCUAAGUUAUGAAAAUCCUACCGAGUGGUAAGCCAGACUUCCACUCGGGGGCUUAGCUGCAGUCCAAGUACUCGCCUAAGUUAUGAAAAUCCUACCGAGUGGUAAGCCAGACUUCCACUCGGGGGCUUAGCUGCAGCCCAGCGCUCGCCUAAGUUAUCAAAAUCCUACCGAGUGAAGAGCAAACCUCUCACUCGGGGGCUUAGCUGCAGCCCAGUGCUCGCCUAAGAUAUAGAAAUNNNNNNNNNNGUGAAGAGCAAACCUCUCACUCGGGGGCUUAGCUGCAGCCCAGUGCUCGCCUAAGAUAUAAAAAAUCCUACCGAGUGAAGAGCAAACCUCUCACUCGGGGGCUUAGCUGCAGCCCAGUGCUCGCCUAAGAUAUAAAAAUCCUACCAAGUGAAGAGCAAACCUCUCACUCGGGGGCUUAGCUGCAGCCCAGUGCUCGCCUAAGAUAUAGAAAUCCUACCGAGUGAAGAGCAAACCUCUCACUCGGGAGGCUUAGCUGCAGCCCAGCGCUCGCCUAAGUGGAUUAAGGAAUAAGUUGACUGCAGUCAGCGUCUUGCUUUGAACCUGCAAAAGACAUUUCGAGCCAAAAGCAAUCAUAUUCAAACACCAAAUUCAAGUUCAGAUCGAUACCUAAAGGAACCGAAAGUGCUCAGGCGCUAAGCCUGUUAAGGUUUAUCGGUUACAACUCCACUCGGCAUACCAAGGCAAAUUUAAAGCGUCGAGCUUAGAAGAAGUUUUUUACCCCUCCUGUGGAGGGCUGGAAGGUGCAACAAACUCAUCGAGAUCAAUUCCAUCUGCGAUCCGAGUAGCAGCAGCAAGGAAAGUUUCCAUAAAGGACCUGAAGUCGUGUUUCUUAGUGUUGGCCACUCGGAGGGCAGCCAGCUUGUCUUCUCGCGCAUCUUUGCAGUGGACUCGGGCCAGACACAGAGCAACAUCUGCACCACACCGAGCCGAGGACUUUUUCCACUCCUGCACUCGACCAGGGACAGCGUUCAAACGAGCCAUCAGCGACUCGAGGUCGUUCUGGAGUGUCUCCCCGGGCCAGAGCGUUGAGUCGAUGCGAGAUGUGGCGACCUUCAGCCUUGCAAGAUAGUCCACGACAGCUGCAACACGGGACUCCAGUCGGAAAACAUUCAUGGCAACUUCGUCGUUCACCGGAGAAUUGACGGGGUCAAGGUUUGGUUCCAGUCGGCUAGUCUCUUCUUCAAAGUUUUGACAAAAUUCUGCAAGGACGAUCACGGAGUCAAAGCAAUGGUCGAAUGAAAAAAACCACAGUUGAAAGUGAUUGUUGAAGGUUUACCUUCAAGCAUAAGAAACAGCUUCUUGGCAAGACCACUCAGGAAGGCCUCCAGAUCAUUUUUCUUCUCAAGAGCAGCUUUCAGAUUGGUAUUUUCUUGUUCAAGCUUGGUAACUGAAGCUAANNNNNNNNNNACCGAGUGACGAGCAAACCUCUCACUCGGGGGCUUAGCUGCAGUCCAGUGCUUGCCUAAGUUAUCAAAAUCCUACCGAGUGACGAGCAAACCUCUCACUCGGGGGCUUAGCUGCAGUCCAAGUACUCGCCUAAGUUAUGAAAAUCCUACCGAGUGAAGAGCAAACCUCUCACUCGGGGGCUUAGCUGCAGCCCAGCGCUCGCCUAAGUUAUCAAAAUCCUACCGAGUGACGAGCAAACCUCUCACUCGGGGGCUUAGCUGCAGUCCAAGUACUCGCCUAAGUUAUGAAAAUCCUACCGAGUGAAGAGCAGACCUCUCACUCGGGGGCUUAGCUGCAGCCCAGCGCUCGCCUAAGUUAUCAAAAUCCUACCGAGUGAAGAGCAAACCUCUCACUCGGGAGGCUUAGCUGCAGCCCAGCGCUCGCCUAAGUGGAUUAAGGAAUAAAUCGACUACAGUGAGCGUCUUGCUUUGAACCUGCAAAAGACAUUUCGAGCCAAAAGCAAUCAUAUUCAAACACCAAAUUCAAGUUCAGAUCGAUACCUAAAGGAACCGAAAGUGCUCAGGCGCUAAGCCUGUUAAGGUUUAUCGGUUACAACUCCACUCGGCAUAUCGAGGCAAAUUUAAAGCGUCGAUCUAAGAAGAAGUUUUUUACCCCUCCUGUGGAGGGAUGGAAGGUGCAACAAACUCAUCAAGAUCAAUUCCAUCUGCGAUCCGAGUGGCAGCAGCAAGGAAAGUUUCCAUAAAGGACCUGAAGUCGUGUUUCUUGGUGUUGGCCACUCGGAGGGCAGCCAGCUUGUCUUCUCGCGCAUCUUUGCAGUGGACUCGGGCCAGACACAGAGCAACAUCUGCACCACACCGAGUCGAGGACUUUUUCCACUCCUGCACUCGACCAGGGACAGCGUUCAAACGAGCCAUCAGCGACUCGAGGUCGUUCUGGAGUGUCUCCCCGGGCCAGAGCAUUGAGUCGAUGCGAGAUGUGGCGACCUUCAGCCUUGCAAGAUAGUCCACGGCAGCUGCAACAUGGGACUCCAGUCAGAAAACAUUCAUGGCAACUUCGUCGUUCACCGGAGAAUUGACGGGGUCAAGGUUUGGUUCCAGCCGGCUAGUCUCUUCUUCAAAGUUUUGACAAAAUUCUGCAAGGACGAUCACCGAGUCAAAGCAAUGGUCGAAUGAAAAAACCACAGUUGAAAAUGAUUGUUGAAGGUUUACCUUCAAGCAUAAGAAACAGCUUCUUGGCAAGACCACUCAGGAAGACCUCCAGAUCAUUUUUCUUACCAAGAACAGCUUUCAAAGUAGCAUUUUCUUGCUCAAGCUUUGUGACUGAAGCUAACUUCUCGUCAACAAGCUUGAUCUUCUCAGCUAGUUCAAGGUCUUUUUUCCUUUGGGCCUCCCUCACCUUACCUGCAAGUUACAGCAAGAUCAGAUUUUGAAACAAAUGAAGGGAAAAAGCAGUCGUCGAGGUCUCACCAAACAUACCUUCGGUCUCCUCCUUUGCCUUCGUCAGAUUCUCCUGAACCAGCUUCAAAUUCAGCUCGAGCUAAAUGUGCUUAUUUUCCAGUUCAGUGUAGCGAGCCGCAAGGUCACAGGAGUUCUGCGAAGAACCAAUCGACUAAAUGUCAAAGAUAAUUCACUUCCGAGUGGAAAAGGAAAAAUCAUGCGUUUCUAAGACUAUAGCCGAAUACAAGCAUUCGACCGUAGUCUCGGGGACUACACCCAGUGGGUGCACUCAGCGUGCCCCCACUAAUCCUAGUGAAGACAAAGUCGACCAGUCGACCGAUUUGCGAAAUCCAUUCGCCAUAGUCGAAUGACGGAAAGACUGAAAUUAUAAAGCCUAAGGCCGACUGCCAGCAGUCGACCUUAGCCUUGGGGACUACACCCAGUGGGUGCACUCAGCGUGCCCCCACCGGUUUGCGAAAUCCAUUCGCCAUAGUCGAAUGACGGAAAGACUGAAAUUAUAAAGCCUAAGGCCGACUGCCAGCAGUCGACCUUAGCCUUGGGGACUACACCCAGCGGGUGCACUCAGCGUGCCCCCGCUAACACGGAGUUUAAAUCGACACACCCACUGGGUGACUACUAUAAAUUCUGGAAAGAAAAGUUUUUGAUAGCAUAUCCUAACAGAACAAACGGUGGUCGACUGACCUGAACAUUGCUUUGGAGGGCGGAACUGGCGUCGUAAGCUGCCUGGCUCGCAUCCCGGAUGGUCCUCAACUGCUCCAUCAUGAUCCCUGCCUGGCGUAUCGCCUCCUUCACUGCGCCAGCUUGGUCCUCUGGGACGUGGUGCGUCGUGAAGAGGGAGGGCUGCAGAGCACUCGUCAGUGGAUCUGCGAAGGACACAGUGUGUCGAGUGGUGUUCUCCUCCUCCGCGACCAGAGUCUCAGGCACCGUCACAUCCUGGGGCACCCUGCUGGCAGACGCUUUCCUUCUCAUUCUGUGCUUCAGCGGUUCCUCAUCUUCAUCAUCAUCAGGGAGAGUGAUAACAACAUUGGAUGGAGCUACAGAAAAGAAUCAGAAUUAGAGAUCAUGAGUCAGUCGACUAGAAACGGGUUAAGAGUAUAGUACCAGGUUUUGAGGUUGCUGCGUCCUCCAUCUCAUGAUCGUCAGCCCGGGCUGAGGUCUCAGAAGUAGCAGCACUGCAACUCCAAAGAGUCAGUCGACUAACUCCAGCACCAUCCAGAGAUAAAGUUCACACAAAACAAGAAGACUUAAGCAACAUGAUUACCUUGAUAUGGUGGGGAUGAACACCUUCAUCUUCGGCAGGUGCUUGGUCGGCUUUGACGGGGCCGCCCUGGGCUGCUUCGACGCCUUUUCAGUCGGCGCCGGAGAGGUGGUCCGAGGGCGCUUGGUCGACUGGGUAACAGUCGCAACCCCCUCGCCGCGUUCAGUCGCAGGGUCAUGGACAAGUUUCGACCGCCUUUCCGAGCGCGGUGGUGCGACCUCCUCCUCCUCCUCCUCCUCUUCCUCGUCCUCAUCGUCAUCAUCAUCAUCAUCAUCGUCAUCAUCAUCAUCAUCAGCCUCAGCGGCGUCCGAGUCCCACUCCUCCUCCUGGCUCUCGCCCCCGCUCGCUUCUCCCUCCUCGGUCGGAGCCUGUGCUCCAUUGGGCAUCGAGUACAGCUCAGUGAGGGCCUGAUAGACAUCAAGACAAAGAUCAGUCGACUGAUCGGCAGAGAAAACAGAAAUAAAUGCGACGAGAAUACAAUGACAUACCUUGUUUGGAUCACUGUGGCAGUCGAGUGGAGGAAUCCUUCUGGCUCCGCGAGGGUUAUCCUUGUUCCCAGUAACAGCGGCCAUCCACCUUUCCAGAGUGGCAUCGUCGACUGCUUCUGGAUUGACCCGAGUCACAUCCUCAGUCCCGCAGUACAACCACAUGCAAUUGCUCCGGAACUGAAGAGGCUGGAUACGACGCCUAAGAAAAACCUCCAGGAGAUCCAUACCCGUCACUCCCUCCCGAACCAACUGAACUACACGCUCCAUCAGCAUCUUCACGUCAGCUUUCUCCUCCGGAAUCACCUUCAGAGAGGAGGGCUUGUUCACUCGACCCAUGGUGAACUGAGGGAGUCCACUCGACUGCCCCGGCGUCGACUGAUCCUGGCAGUAGAACCAGGUCGACUGCCAGCCUCUGACUGACUCGGGAAAUGUCAUGGCUGGGAAGGUGCUCUUGUUCCUCACCUGGAUCCCCAAACCCCCACACAUUUGGACAACUCGGGUUUUUUCGUCGCCUGGGCUCGCCUUCUUCACGGUCUGAGAGCGACACGUGAAUAUGUGCUUGAACAAACCCCAAUGCGGUCGACAACCCAGGAACCUCUCACACAUGGACACAAACGCGGCAAGAUAGGCGAUAGAAUUCGGAGUGAAGUGGUGGAGUUGCGCUCCAAAGAAGUUCAAGAAAUCACGGAAGAAAAUGCUCGGCGGCAAAGAGAAUCCGCGGUCAACAUGGGUAUCCAGAAGCACGCACUCACCCUCUUCCGGCUGGGGCUGCCACUCUUUCCCCGGAAGCCUCGCAGCUCCAUGAGGGAUCAGGCCCUUGUUGGCCAUGUCGAGGAGAUCCUUCUCCGUGAUGGUCGACUGGAUCCAAUCACCCUGGACCCAGCCUUUCGGCAGGCGAGAUCUAGACGAAGACCCGCCGCGGCUGGUGGAUCUCCCCUUCGCCUUCUCCGUCGCCGACGCCUUCUUCGCGCGUUCUAGCGCCGCCGUCUUCUCCUUGACCAUGGCUACCGGCGAGGCGCGUGAGGAGAAGUUGUGCGGAGGCGAGAGCGAGCGCGUUGGGCAGAGACGAAGGGAGCAGAGAGAGAAUGCUGAGGCACUGUUCAAAAAACCCUCGCUGGGCGCAUUUAUAAGAUCCCUUCCGAGUGGAUGAUAGGUGGGCCCGGUCGAUCUAAUCAUAUCCUGAAAUAGUUGCGCAAGCGUGAUACGUGGCGAAAAAAGCGGCGCGGGGAUCGAGGCGUCUAUGCCCCGUCCCAUCCAAGCGCCGCGGACCGCUCCGCUUCGCGCGCUCCCCCAAAUUCCGUAUCCCGCGGAAUCCGCGAACGGCAGAUCAGUCUGCCAGACGCGGGAUUUCCUGCGAUCCGUCGCUCGGAAAUCAGCGAAGUCCAAAAGAUCACUCGACGAAGAAAAAGAAUGGAUCGAGUCGACUGAAGAAAAGUUGUUCACUAUCAACAGAGAGAAUUUUUUGGUUCAACACAACGCACGACCAGUAUGCGAAAGCUAAUCGGAAACAACAUCAACUCCUUCAUCACUCAAGCCUCAAUCCAUUCGGGGGCUAAUGAUGGAGUCACGUACCUAGGGUAGGGUCACAGACCUGAUCUAAGUACCCUGCCCGAGGACACCCUUAGAAGAGAUCACCUUCCAGUCGACCUACGAGGGACUCACUCGACGGACUUGAAGGACUCGACCACGAAGACUCACUCGACCACCAGAAGGUCAAGAGACACUCUGCUCUGCAACGGUCUGUAAUUAAGUAGACUUUAUGAUAGUAAAGACACUUUAUGUGGGGCGUUACCAGUAACGCCCCGGUCUUAAUGUACCUUAAACCCUUCAUUACGUGGCUUGGCUGGGGACCUGGCGCACUCUAUAUAAGCCACCCCACCCCACAGGCAGAAGGGUUCGGCACCCUGUAACUCAUAUACACGUAAUCCACUCGACCGCCUCCGGGCUCCGAGACGUAGGGCUUUUACUUCCUCCGAGAAGGGCCUGAACUCGUACAUCUCUUGUGUUUACAACCUCUCCAUAGCUAGGACCUGGCCUCUCCAUACCUACCCCCACUCUACUGUCAGGCUUAGAACCACGACAGUGGACUACUCCCGAGAAUUGGAUCUGGCAGCUUGUUUCGAUCAGGGGGAAGCUUUGUUUGAUGGCACGGUGUUACUUUCCACGUAGUUCCAGCAAGAUAUGAAGCCUGAUCGCCUGGGGAAGCCUUGCGUGAGGAAAUAGGAAUCGUAGCACCGACGGACACGAACCCUAGGCAUACGAGAUCGAUCUGGACUCCGAGAUCGACAGGACUGUUGGCGGACGGGGCCGUAGUGCAGGCAAACCUCACACACGGCAAAUGCGGCAAAGGCCAAGGCCUCACCGGACGGGGGAUGUGGCGUAGCCACCGUCGCCAAGUAUCCGCCUAACCCUAGCAUGACUUGGUCGCUAGGCUCCCUAUGCCUCGGACUUCAUUGUUUCUCCCUGCGGAAAACUACGAGGGAUGGUCAAGUUAGUCCUAAUAUCCUCCCUGCAUCUGUUGAUCCUCUGGGCCACACCAGCGGUCACCCCGGUUGGAGAUGGGCACCGCGGCACGAAUGAAAGGGUGGCGCUCCGGCAUGGUGGAUUGGACGGAAGUGGCCGUGUUGCUCGACGACGAUGAGAGGAGAAGGCACAUGCAUACAAGGCCCGGGGAGAAGUGGAUCUAGGAGGUGUGUGGGUUGCGGCUAGUGGAAUUGGGAGGGAUACGGGGAGAUCAAUUAGGGCAAAGUUGUGUGCGGGAUUUGCGGGUAGUUAGAGCAUCUCCACUCGUUCGCCCCCAGUGCACCAGCCGGCGAUUUUUUGGCCAUUCGGUCGGCGCUUUUUUGGCCCUGGGGGCAAACAAGUUCCCAGCCACGCCCCCAGGUUUCGGCCCCAUGACGCGUAUAAUUCAAAUUUGACAUUUCCUGCUACCAAAAUAACGCCACAAGUUCGGCGAUCAAUGGCGGCCACAUAGUUCGGUGAUCACCAUCCCACAAUUCGGCGAUCAAUCAUACUCGAAAUUUCGGCGUUCAAAAGGAAGACCACGUUGGUAGGCAAUGCAUCAAACUGUGAUGUCCUCCUCCGCCGGCGUCGGACUGGUGAGAGUCGGCGUGCUUGGGCUAGUCGGCGUCGGUGCGGCUUCUGUGCUGGGCGUCGUGGAGGCAUCUUCACUCGGGCUUGGCGGCGGUGUGGGGGUCGGCAAGGGAGUUGGCGCGACCCUCGACGGCAUCUGGUUCAAGAUGAGGCCGCGCUCCGCCAGAUACCACGCCUUGACCUGCUCGUCCAGCAUCGACAUCUCCCCCCUCCCCCAUCAAUAAUGCCAGGUCGGUGUUCCUCUUCUUCGUGGCGAUGUUGGUCCUGAGUAGGUCGAGCUUGACGGCGUUGUUCGUCAUCAACGCCGACCAUCAUGCCUCGGAUUUCUUUGCCCUCUGUGCGGCGUGGUUCUUGGCGUAGGCGAUGCAUUGCUCGAUGGAUGCGUGUAGUCGCUCUGUAGCCGGUGUGGCAUCCUUCACCAUCUUGGCUUGCUUGUUGCCGUCAGGGUGCCCAUCCACCAUCCCCGAUGGUGUGUCUGGCUUGUACGUCUCCUUGGCCUUGGCGAGGGUGCGUCGGACAUCCGCCCACUUCUCGCACCUCUCGAUCCGGGAGAACACAUGGAGGUACUUGAACUCUUUCUCGGUGCCGCUGUCCUGGAGGUACUUGGCGAACAUCCGAACCAUCUGCGCAGAAAAGCAGGUGUCGGUGACGCACACGUCGAAAAGAAGCGAGAUCCAACGUCGGUGCAUACCUGACCCUCGACAUUGGCGCUGCUUUCCGGGCAAGCCGCGAUCUCCUCGAUGAUCCCAUGCCAUUUGUUGUAGGGCAUUUCGAUGAUCUCCCAAUGGUUCGACAUGGCCUUCAAGCCGCGCUUCAUGUGGAUGGUGGCGAAGUAGGGAUCGACCAACUUGUUCUCGUCGAACUCUGACUUGAUGUGCUUCGAGUACGUGUCGGCGUUCUGGUUCGUGCCGGUGAUCGGGUCGAGGCAGACAGUCUUCCAUGCUUGGGCGAGGCGCUCAUAUUCUUUGGACGUCCACUUGACGCACGGCUCACCGGACCUGGCCCCCUGCUUCUUCUUUUUUCCCUUUCCUCGCCGACGCAGGUGCCAACUCCUCCUCUUCCUCCUAUUCCUCCUCCUCGCCGUAGUCGAGCUUGUUGUCCCUGUCGCCGCCGAGGUCCAUUGUGUCGUCUUGCACCUGGAACCCAGGGGAGGCGGCGGCGGUGGCCGAGCCGCUCGCGAUGAUCUCGUCCAUGUCGACUUCCGUCGCGUCGGGGUUGCCGAAAUGUGACGACAAGGCUUGCGAGAAGUUGAGGGUGCCACGACACAGAGGCGGCGUCGGGGAGGCGGUCUAAGCCGGCAGCGAGUAGGUGUACAGGGGGUACUGGACACCGGUGAACGCAGGCGAGCAUGUGCGUUGGUCGAGGUUCAGACCGGAGGGCGAGGCGCGCUGGCCAUGCGGAAAGGUGAUGUUGGGGUUGAAUCAGCCGUGCACAUCGCCAUUGGUGUAGCCAAGAGAGGGUGCGCACCCCCAGGGCUGUGGCGAUGAUGAGAAGCUAGUUGGCGACCCGACGCUCUGCUGGCUCCAGGCAGCUUGCGGCUCGUGGCCGUCGGGUGGAUUCAUCAUCCCCACGCGAGCCACCUUUGCCUGCUCCGCCGCCGCCGCCCUGCCCGGGCCCUCUUGGCGUUGAGCCUGUUGCGCCGGUCGGUGGUGAUAGCCUCCCAACGCUGAACCUCUGCCUUCUAGUCGGCGUUCGACUUACCCGAUGAUUUUGCCGGUGGCGCCCUCGGCUUCCUCUGCUUCGGCUGGGUGGCAUCGGCAACGGCAGCGGUGCGAGGGGCCGUAUACUUCUUCGGCGGAAGGCGGGAUGGCGGCCGGAUGGCAGGAAGAGGGAGGAGAAUGGCGGGAGAAGAGGGGUAGAAUGGCAGGGGGUGGAGGGAAAAUGGAGGGGAAAAGCAGGGGUUCGGCAGGAAAAAGUGUCGUCUCUCGCUGACAAAGCAGACUCACGCGCCUUUUUGCUUCUGCCAGUGCCCCCAAGCGUCCCCUGGGGGCUUGGGUUCGGCUCGGGUUCGCCGGCUAUUACUCCGGCCCAAAUCGGCGACAAAUAAGGUCCUGGGACCUGACUGGGCCGUUUUUUGGCACCGACGCUAAAAAAAGAGCCCUAGGGGGCAUGUUGGGGGGGGGGCAAGUGAAGAUGCUCUUAGUACCUGGCCUGAGUUUUUUUAACAUAUGGAGCCCAAUAUGUAACCGUCAGAUGUCAAUUGAAUCGACGGCCAUCUACUAGUCUUGCUCUGGCUUCCUAUCAGCCUACAGAUAGGAAGUGUUUUCCAUAAUACUACACAGAACUCAUCCACUACAGGAAACAACUAAUUUGCCGUUAGGAGGCGCCUUUGCCGUCAGCUUUUCGUCAGGAAGACGACAAAGAAAGAUUUGCCGUCAUCAGCAGACGACAAAGAAACACAAACGGUGAAAUAGACUUUGCCGUCUGCGAAAAAAACACAGAUGGCAAAGAGCUCACUUUACCGUCUGCAAACCAAAACACAGACGGCAAAGUUUUUUUUUCUACAGAUGGCAAAGUGAGCACUUUGCCGUCCGUAGAAAAAAAUGAAGACAGCAAAGUACUUUGUCGUUUGUAAAACAAAUCCAUGACGACAGAGGGAAAGCACAACACGACGGAUCAACUACACAGAUUGAUGACAUGGCAGCGAUCCAACACCGUCCGCUCCUCAUGUGCAUGAUCCACACCACCCAUUACCCACCUGCGUGCACAACCACCCACCACACCACCUGCCACGCACGGACGCAGUCCACAUCCAUCAACGUGUCGUCUCCCUUAUCCUCUCACACACGCACUAGCCACCAACCACCCACGCACACACAUGCCACCAGCCACUAAGGCUGGUCAUAGUGGGGAGUAACUUAGAGUAGUAACAUGCAUAAGUUACUACUCUAUGUUACUACCCUUAUUGUGGGAAGUGUCAUAUGUGUAGUAACAUACACAUGUUCAUUUAUUGUCAUGUAGACCUAUUUUGCAUUGGAAAGCGCUAUGUGAUGGUAGCAUAUUAGGUUAUUCUAUUUCCCUCUCUCCUCAUUAACUACUUGCCACAUCAACAUUUUUGCUUAUGUGGCAUCUAUAUUACUACCUAUGUUACUCCCACUAUGACCAGCCUAACCACCCACGCACACACAUGCCACGAGCCACCAACCACCCAUGCCCACGAUGCGGAUGGCGACCGGCUGGAGGCGAGCGGAGCGGAGGGAGAUUGGCGCCAGGGAGCACGGCGGCCGGCGCGCUGGAGCAUGGCUUGGCGGCGGCACAGGCUAGGGCAGCAGCGGCGGCGUCGGAGCGUGGCUGGGCUGCGGCGGCCGCGGCGGCGCGCGGCGGGGCCGCAGCGCGGGCGAACGUGGCCGGGCGCCGACACGGCGAGCAGGUCCUGGCGGCCGCGGGAUCCUCUUCCCCCAUCCUGCCGCAGACCUCCCCUCCUCUGCGCUCACGCUCGACGGCCUCGUCUACAUCGUCUAUGGAUGGGCUGUGGCCAUGGCAGGGGAAUGGAGCCAUCCACCUCCCUGGCCCCUUGUGCGCUGGCGGCGCGGAUCUCGACCUCCCCGGCGGCGUGGAGUCAACCACCUCCUGGCGGCGCGUGCGUUUGUUCAGUUCGUCAAAUAGAGUAAUUUUUUAGAAGUUGAAAUAGAGUUUGCUUGUUCGUAGAUGAGUGAGUGAUGAUGGAUAUAUACUGUAAAUGGGCUAGUUCUAUCAUGUAAAAUCCAUUCGUUCGCCAUUGAUUCUUAUAUUGGUUGUUGCAAAAUUGCUACGAAAGAUUUUGCGUACGCCUUCGACCAUGUACGGCCUCUACACCUGCACCGUUGGUUCAUAUAUUUUCUUAAAUAAUAUAAAAUUCUUUGCCGUCUGGGAUAUAUGAUACUGAUGGCAAAGACGUAGUCUAGCUGAGGGCAAGGAUGGUUUUCUUUGCUGUCUGGUGUUACUGGGCUUGACGACAAAGACAGAGUUGGCUGACGGCAAAGUUUUUGCCGUCUUUCCGAUGAAAAGUUGACGGCAAAGUAUUCUUUGCCGACUUAUCUUUGCCGUCUGAGUUUGCCGUCUGCUUCCUGACAGCAAAAUCUUUGCCGUCUAGAUUUAGGUCUUUGCCGUCUAGGAUUCACAGACGGCAAAUUACCUGUUUCCUGUAGUGAUAUGAGUAUAUAUGUAGUACAUUUGUCUCUAGGCAUCUUGUAUUGCACCAUUUUAUUUGUUUUUUUACUAGAGGCGUACCUGUUAUACCACACACCAAUAGUAAUUGGUUCAGUUUUUUUUUUCACUUAUGAAGAGAUUGGUCUGGCUACUAGUGGCGUGUCCUUUACAUGGCACACCACUAAUAAGAUGUAGUUAGUGGGUUCCAUUUGCACGUCAUUGGUAUUUUGCGUAAUUACAAGUGGCGUAUGAAACUAUGGUUGUACCACUAAUAACUUUCACCUAUAAGGGAUUUCCAACUAGUGCCUAUCGGAAUCUAUAGAGAUAUUAAGCUCCCUCGAAUUGAAGCGUUGUGGUGUUUCGAGGAUUGUGGGGUCACUAGGGCCCCACACAUUCUAUUUCUUCUUCUUUUUUUAUUUUAAUUUUAUUUCCAUGUAUUAAUUCAUACUCCCUCCGUCCAGUAAAAAGUGUACAUGUAGCUUCAAAAUUUAUCCACAAAAGGGUGUACUUUUAUCUUCCCAAUGCAUUUUAAGGUAGAAAAAAUACCUUUCUCUCAUCACACGGUAAUUAAGACCAAUAGCAAUCUACACAUGGUCUUCUUAAUUUCUACAUGCAUGUAGCUCAUUGGGGGUUAGGUAAUUAAAGAGGAAAGAGAUCGUGGCUUGCACCUUUCCAAUGCAUUUUUUACUUGACUCCAUAAUUUGUCCUAAAAUUUCUAGAUGUACACUCUUCAUCAGACGGAGGGAGUAAGCACUUAAUAUAAUUUGAGUACACUACUGGAAUCAUCUGGCGGACGGCAAAGGCACAGAUCCUGUACGGCAAAGUCCUUUGCCGUCAGCCAGCGGACGACAAACAGUCCGGCUGAACACGUGCCAGCAAAGGCCUUCUUUGCCGUCCGCUUCGCAGAAACGGACGGCAAAGGAUUGUGCCGUCCGCCAUCCGAGGCCAGCAGGCGACAACGACGAUGGACGACAGCGGUGUGGGGUGAGAGCCGUUAGGGGGUUAACGAUGCUCUUUGCCAUUCGCCAGCGGACGGCUAAGAGGCAAAGCUCUUUGUCGUCCACUGACAGAUGGCAAAGAGCUUAGCUAGGGCAGCACUGGGAAACUUUCACAUGGCCAGCUAUGUCGUCUGCCAGCGGACGACAUAGAUGGCCCUGUUUUCCAUGCCUAUUUGGUCACUUUGCCGUCCGCUUGCAGACGGCAAAAUGACCAAAUAGGCAGCCAGUGUUCCCAGUUUGCACAGGUGACUGCUGAUGACCCACAAGUGUAGGGGAUCUAUCGUAGUCCUUUCGAUAAGUAAGAGUGUCAAACCCAACGAGGAGCAGAAGGAAAUGAUAAGCGGUUUUUAGUAAGGUUUUCUUUGCAAGCACUGAAAAUGUAGAUGAUAGAUAGGUUUGUGAUAAGAUAAAUAGUAACGAGUAACAAGUAAAUAAAGUAAACAAAGUGCAGCAAGGUGGCCCAAUCCUUUAAGUAGCAAAGGAUAAGCCUGGACAAUUUCUAAUAAUGAUAAAGGAGCUCCCAAGGACACAUUGGGAAUUAUCGUCAAGCUAGUUUUCAUCAUGUUCAUAUGAUUCGCGUUCGCUACUUUGAUAAUUUGAUAUGUGGGUGGACCGGUACUUGGGUACUGCCCUAACUUGGACAAGCAUCCAACUUAUGAUUAACCCCUAUUGCAAGCGUCCGCAACUACAAAAGAAGUAUUAAGGUAAACCUAACCACAACAUUAAACAUAUGGAUCCAUAUCAGUCCCUAACGAAGCAACACAUAAAUUAGGGUUUAAGCUUCUAUCACUCUAGCAACCCAUCAUCUACUUAUUACUUCCCCAUGCCUUCCUCUAGGCCCAAAUAAUGGUGAAGUGUCAUGUAGUCGACGUUCACAUAACACCACUAGAGGAAAAGACAACAUACAUCUCAUCAAAAUAUCGAACGAAUACCAAAUUCACAUGACUACUAAUAGCAAGACUUCACCCAUGUCCUCAGGAACAACCGUAACUACUCACAACGCAUAUUCAUGUUCAUAAUCAGAGGAGUAAUGAUAUGCAUAAAGGAUCUGAACAUAUGAUCUUCCACCAAGUAAACCAAUUAGCAUCAACUACAAGGAGUAAUCAACGCUACUAGCAACCCACAGGUACCAAUUUGUGGUUUUGAUACAAGAUUGCAUACAAGAGAUGAACUAGAGUUUUGAUAGGAGAUGGUGCUGGUGAAGAUGUUGAUGGAGAUUGACCCUCUCCUGAUGAGAGGAUCGUUGGUGAUGAUUUCCCCCUCCCGGAGGGAAGUGUCCCCGGCAGAACAGCUCCGCUGAAGCCCUAGAUUGAUUCCGCCAAGCACUACAAGAAAUAUGUCAACUUGUGACCACCACUAUUGGUCACUGAAUGGUCACUGUUUUCAAUUUGUGACCUUUUUAUGACCAAAAACAUAAGGUCAAAAGCUGGUCAUUGCUAAAUGACUAUAGCGACCUUUCUUUUGGAAUGUUCGUAGACGUUUAUGACCAAAAUAUGUCUUGUUUUGGUCACUAGCAACCUCCCCAGACUACGUAGGCAUCCAGCCUGGCAAGCUGAUGUGGCUCAAGAAUCAGCCCGGUCCGAUUCGGCGUUUUACAUGGGCCGAGCCCAUUAAUUCAGCCUUUUUACUGUAUAUUUUUUAUGUGAAUUUUCUCUAGCUACAUGGGCCUGGCCCAACAAUUUAGCCUUUUUUUUAUUUUGGGCCAUGGCCUUUUUAGUUUUUCAGUCUAUAUUUUUCAAUCUGGUCCCACAAGUCAGAUGGGUCCCACUUGUCAUAAUCUCCUAUAUUGGUCCCACAUGUCAACAAUGUGAGCAUUGUUUAGAUUACUUUCACAAAUGGGUCCCACUAAUCUGGUUUCCAUUUCACACAUCUUCAAAUCACACAAAUAAUCAAUAUUUUAAAUAGAACGGAACAAAUGUAGAAUUUCUUAGGCCUGGAGCUCCUGUACAUAGUCUAUUACAAUCUGUGCAUAGUCUAUUACAACCCAGAUAUGCCUACUAUUAUAGUACUACAAUAUUUACAGUUUAUUACAGUCAAACAGAACUAAUCUUUGUUGCGUAGGGGUACACGCCGCUUCGAACUUGAAAUUUCCUAGGCCUGGAGCUCCUGUAAAAGGGUGAACACAAAGGCAUUAGAGUACCAUUUUCAUUACUGGAGUAGAUAUUCAAACCUCCAGGUUUAGUGUAUAGACAAUCUAGAAAAUAUAUAUUUAACAAAAUUUCACAAAAAUGCAGAUUUAUCGAUCGAAUGUAUGAUAAAGCAACAGAUUCAAACAACUUCAAAUAGCUAGAGAUGAUGGCGUUCAAGUCUUACCACAAUGACACAAGUGAGAUGAUGCCCGGUUCGCCUUGCUUCUACCAGCAACACAUAUCCUCGAAGGAACCAGCAGCACUACUUGCUCACUUGGCCCAGCUCCUUACUGCGGAGGACGGCUGGGACUCGGAUGUAGAGAUCCCUGCGCACGACAUAUUGUGUCAAUGCUUGCAGGAACAGAAGGACCUCACAUAUAAUAUAAUUUGCAGCAAGUUCAAAAAUAUGUAAUAGAACCGAUAUAGGAGUAGGAAGCAAAAGGUUAACUAGGGAUUCAUGUCUACAAUUUGCUAAAGAGGAAAAUAACAAGCCAGGAUACAUAUUAUAACUGUCAAAAGAAGGACCGAUAUCAAUCAGACCCUUUAAUUCUACCGAACAUGGUUUCAAUUUGUUCUUUGCAUAUUACAUCAGUAGUUCUGUUGCCAGGUUUCAGUCCCUUGCUCUCCCUCUAGCUUGUAGCCAGCCUACCAGUAGUUUAACAACACUAAUAGAUUUGCAUCUAAUGCUGCCACUUAAUUUCAGCACAUGACAAGACAAAAAGCAUGACAAGACAAAUAGCAUGUGUCGGUGUCAAAACCGGCGGAUCUCGGGUAGGGGGUCCCGAUCUGUGCGUCAAGGCUGAUGGUAACAAGAAGUAAGGGACACAGAUGUUUACCCAGGUUCGGACCCUCUUGAUGGAGGUAAAACCCUACUUCCUGCUUGAUUAAUAUUGAUGAUAUGGGUAGUACAAGAGUACAUCUACCACGAGAUCGUAGAGGCUAAACCCUAGGAGCUACCCUAUGAUGGUAUGAAUGCAAUUGUGAUCGGCCUUCUAAGGACCAACCUCUCCGGUUUACAUAGACAUUGGAGAGGGCUAGGGUUUACAUGGAGUCAGUUACAAGGAAGGAAAUAUAAUAUCCGGAUCGCCAAGCUUGCCUUCCACGCCAAGGAAAGUCCCAUCCGGACACGAGCCGAAUUCUUGAGUCUUGUAUCUUCACACUUCAAUAGUCCGGACGUUGUACACAGUCCGGCUGUCCGGAUACCCCCUUAUCCAUGACUCCCUCAGUCCCACCACUUUCAUCCGGGUUUUUUCGACUGGUUUCUUUUCGUCCCCCUCCCACCACCCACCGGUUUAUUUUCAUCUCAACUCUCGCGCAAUGUGAAAAAAUCUAAACGGAUCAAGACAUUCGAUGGUUUCUUUUCGUCCCCCCUCCCACCACCCCACCGGUUUAUUUUCGCCUCAACUCUCGCACAAUGUGAAAAAAUCUAAACGGAUCAAGACUUUCCAUGUUGACACAAGUUAUUUAGUAAUGCCUUUAAUUAUGUGAGAGAAUCAAUCAUGAUCAAUCUCUAAAGAUCAAAUCUAAAUUAAUUAACCUUACCAUAAAUCGCUCAAUCAGAUUAAUUAAUCUUUUACUUCUAAUCUCUCAAGCUCUACUCGAGCACUUGGUAGCCUGGUAUGGUUUAUUAUCAUCUGGUUUAUGCUGAUCCGAUCUGAUGCGAAGCAUCCCUCGACCAUCACCAUGCAUGUCACACCACCACCGCAAGUACGGAGAAGACCGAUGACAAGAGCACACGCACAUGCCACCGAAACCGAGGUUGACUCCUUCCUCUUCAAACUCCAUUCGGUUUCAUUUGAGAGUCGGUUCCUACCUCAAAUAGAAUUGUUGUGCCUUGUUAGGUACCAAGGAGAUGACCGGGAGGAUGCGAGCACGGAGAUUCAAGCAACCAUGGAGAAGGAGGAGAGAACGAGAAGAGAGAAGAAGGAGAGGCUUAGGACACUCCGGGUGCCCGGGCAUUUUGGCCCCGGAGGCCCGGCCCCCCCUGGCGCUGCUCCCAGCCAGCCCCGGGUGCCCGGCCCAAGGCCCCAAGUGCCCGGCCUCACAUGGCCCAGCCGCCGCCCAGGCCACCCCGGGUGCCUGGCCCCGAGGCCCCGGGUGUCGGUGUCAAAACCGGCGGAUCUCGGGUAGGGGGUCCCGAUCUGUGCGUGAAGGCUGACGGUAACAAGAAGGGACAUAGAUGUUUACCCAGGUUCGGGCCCUCUCGAUGGAGGUAAAACCCUACUUCCUGCUUGAUUAAUAUUGAUGAUAUGGGUAGUACAAGAGUAGAUCUACCACGAGAUCGUAGAGGCUAAACCCUAGGAGCUAGCCUAUGAUGGUAUGAAUGUAAUUGUGAUCGGCCUUUUAAGGACCAACCUCUCCAGUUUAUAUAGACACCGAAGAGGGCUAGGGUUUACAUGGAGUCGGUUACAAGAUAGGAAAUAUAAUAUCCGGAUCGCCAAGCUUGCCUUCUACGCCAAGGAAAGUCCCAUCCAGACACGGGCCGAAGUCUUGAGUCUUGUAUCUUCACGCUUCAAUAGUCCGGACGUUGUACAUAGUCCGGCUGUCUAGAUACCCCCUGAGGGAGUCCCGGACUAGGGGGUGUCCGGAUAGCUGGACUAUCAUCAUCGGCCAGACUCCAAGACUAUGAAGAUACAAGAUUGAAGACUUCGUCCCGUGUCCGGAUGGGACUUUCCUUGGCGUGGAAGGCAAGCUUGGUGAUACGGAUAUGUAGAUCUCCUACCAUUGUAACCGAAUUUGUGUAACCCUAGCCCUCUCCGGUGUCUAUAUAAACCAGAUGGCUUUAGUCCAUAGGACGAACAACAAUCAUACCAUAGGCUAGCUUCUAGGGUUUAGCCUCCUUGAUCUCGUGGUAGAUCCACUCUUGUAACACACAUCAUCAAUAUCAAUCAAGCAGGAUGUAGGGUUUUACCUCCAUCAAGAGGGCCCGAACCUGGGUAAAACAUCGUGUCCCUUGUCUCCUGUUACCAUCCGCCUAGACGCACAGUUCGGGACCCCCUACCCGAGAUUCGCCGGUUUUGACACCGACAUUGGUGCUUUCAUUGAGAGUUCCUCUGUGCCGUCGCCAUCAAGGAGGAUGCCUUUUCCCUUCUUUAAAGACGGCACCGUCGUCAAGGGAGCUUUGGCCGCCGGCCAGACUAUCCGGCUAGGCGGUUUCCUUAUGACCGCCUGUUCGGCCACCGCUCCAACAAAGGCCUCUCAGGUCAUUAAAAGCGAUCUUCACGUCAGCUCGGAAUUUGCCGAGUAGCUAGAUCCAAUUGAGCUCUCAUCCGUAAACGAGCUCUUGGAUCGCAUCGCCGCCCUGGGAGUCGCUACCGGCUACGAUCAGAUUGGGCUUAAAACCGAUCUGAGAGAAAUUAACUCUCCCCAGGUUACCCACCACGUUGUUGUGGUAGAAGAACAAUGCGGCGACUCUUCUUCUAUGUUAAAAACUAACUAUGUCUGGAUUCCCGAUCCCUCCAUGCCGGAUUCCCGCGGAGGGUCGGAUGCUAAUCAAGUACUGAACCUAAAGUCAGGCAUCGGACCAGAUUUGUUGGAAAGCAUCCAGCAAAUCAAACUUCCGAAUCCGGAAGCUUCUUGGCCUUUGAGCCUCAGAUCAGGCGGGGUUCCAAACUUAAUUCCACCCGCCCACCCUAACAUAAGCGAUCUAUCUCAAAUACGGCAAGAGCCCGAUGAAACAGUACAUCAUUACUGGGCCAGAUUCCUCCUGGUUAUGAACAGGAUAAAGGAUUGCCGUGAAGAAAGCGCGAUUUCAAUCUUUUGCAACAAUUGCACGGACAAGGGAAUCAUAAACGCCAUCAGUCGUCGCGAGGUUACACGCUUCGCUGACCUAGCGAACAUUGUGCAAAAAUACUGCGCGAUGGAGAGUGCCUGGAAAACCGAAACCAGGUUUUGGGAUAAUCCGGCCCUGAAUACAACCCCAGUCCGAAAUAAAAGGGUGCGUCAUACCCAAGCACCUAGGUUAAAAACCAAAAAGCAAAAACCCCCUAAAGGGUACGGAACCAUACUGGAGGAAUGGCUCAACGGACCCUGCAAAAUCCACACUACGGAGGGCGCCACUCCAACACAUAGCCUUCGAGCAUGUUGGAUACUACGGCAGGUGGCCAAAAGUGGCAAAGGCUUUUUAGCCCCGGGCAACCAGCCCAGCAGUACCAGUACGGUAUUAACAGUCUUCGAGACUUUCGCAUCAAAUAACAUGCGAAAAUGAACAAUCCGCAGCCUUGCCGAAGUCUAUCAAGUAGCAACAACAAAUGCAUGGAGCGACACGGCUAUCACCUUCAAUGCCAGCGAUGAACCUAAAUUCCGAACAGCUAGAGCACCAGCCGCAUUGGUCCUCAGUCCGAUAGUGGACGGCUUUCGUCUUACCAAGGUACUCAUGGAUUGCGGCAGCGGAUUAAACCUCAUUUACGAGGAAACUCUUCAAAAAAUGGAAAUUGACUGGAGCUGCAUUGAGCGAAGCUGCACAACCUUCAGGGGAAUAAUCCCUAAUCGAGAGGUACGCUGCACAGGAAAUAUCACACUAGAUGUAGUGUUCGGCUCGCCGAACAAUUACAGGUCCGAAGAGGUCACGUUCCAAGUGGCCCCAUUCAGUAGCGGAUAUCACGCCUUGUUUGGGCGAGAGGCAUUCACAAUCUUCCAAGCCAUACCCCAUUACAGGUACAUGAAGCUCAAAAUGCCCGGACCCAAUGGAAUAAUCACUCUCGCCAGUGAUCCAGAUACAUCACUCCGCGCUGAAAACAAGACAGCCGCACUAGCCCUAGAGGCAUUAUCCGAAGCCCUAGCGGCAGAGGAACUAACUGCGCCACGGUGGAUAGGGACGAUGUAAUACUCGAUAAGAGGUCCAAGUCCACUUCUUUUAAACCAGCAGAUGAAAUAGUCAAAUUUCAGGUCCAUCCAACGGACCCCACAAAAACGGCCUCCAUUGGGGCGCAAUUAAAUCCUGAUGUAGAAGCCGCACUACGAGAAUUCCUUCGGAACAAUUGGGACAUUUUUGCCUGGCACCCUUCAGACAUGCCAGGAAUCCCACGCAGGCUGGCAGAGCACAGCCUAAAUAUUCUAAAAGGAUUCAAGCCAGUCAAACAAGCUCUUCGGUGAUUUUCCGAACCCAAGAGACAAGCAAUGGGAGAGGAGCUAGCCAAACUCCUAGAAGCCGGAUUCAUCAGAGAUAUAAAACAUUCGGACUGGCUGGCCAACCUAGUAAUGGUACCAAAAAAGGACAAAUCCUGGCGCCUGUGCGUCGAUUUCAAAGACCUUAACAAGGCCUGUCCAAAGGACCCUUUCCCUCUCCCCCGCAUCGACCAAAUCAUCGAUGCUACCGCAGGGCACAAUUCGUUGUGCUUCCUCGACGCAUACUCCGGAUACCAUCAAAUCAAGAUGGCGGAAAAAGACCAGGCCGCAACAGCGUUCAUUACUCCAUACGGGCCAUUCUGCUUCAACACAAUGCCCUUCGGACUCAAAAACGCCGGCGCAACAUAUCAGCGCAUGAUUCAGACAUGUCUGGCUACCCAGAUAGGCAAAACUGUAGAGGCAUACGUAGACGAUGUGGUCGCCAAGACCAAACACGUCGAAACUCCAGUAGACGACUUGAGGGUGACAUUCGACAACCUCCGAGCAUAUGACAUUAAGCUCAACCCGGAAAAAUGUGUCUUCGGAGUACCAGCUGGAAAGCUUUUGGGCUUCAUUGUAUCCGGUAGAGGAAUUGAAGCAAACCCAGCCAAGAUCCGAGCUCUGUCACAAUUGGAUAUUCCAAAAGACCUCAAGCAAAUACAAAACUCACUGGAUGCAUAGCAGCUCUAAGCCGCUUCAUCUCCCGCUUGGGAAAAAAGGCUCUGCCCCUCUAUCGCCUCCUCCGGUGCAUCGAACACUUCAAAUGGACGGAUGCUGCCACAGCCGGACUCGAAGAAAUCAAGGCCAUUCUGGCAACAAAUCCGGUCCUGGCCGCGCCCAACCUGGGCGAACCUAUGUUGUUAUAUAUCACAGCAACACAUCAAGUUGUCAGCGCAGUACUCGUCGUCGAACGAGAAACAGAAGGGCACAGAUUUCCUCUUCAAAAACCAGUGUACUACGUAGCCACUGUCUUAACUCCAUGCAAGUCCCGGUACCCAGAUUAUCAAAAGAUAGCGUACGCGGUGUUCAUGGCAUCUCGGAAGCUGCGACACUACUUUCAAGAGUGUUCCAUAACGGUGGCCUCCGAAGUACCUCUCAACGAUAUUAUAAACAAUCGCGACGCAAUGGGUAGGAUUGCAAAAUGGGACAUUGAGCUCCUACCAUUUGACAUAACCUACAAACCACGGCGAGCUAUAAAAUCGCAAGUCCUGGCUGACUUCGUCGCCGAAUGGACCGAAGCCGAACUCCCUAAAGAGUACGACGCGUACUCCAGUUGGAUCAUGCAUUUCGACGGAUCCAAAAUGUUGGCUGGCUUGGGGGCUGGCGUCGUCUUGACGUCCCCAACUGGAGACACAAUCCAAUACGUACUACAAAUAAUGUACAUGGACUCCAACAACGCAGCCGAAUACGAGGCCCCUCUACAUGGCCUCCGGAUGGCAAUCUCCAUGGGCAUUCAACGCCUAGAGGUGCGCGGGGAUUCAAACCUCGCAAUAUCCCAAGUAAAUGGAGACUUUGACGCCAAAGAUCCAAAAAUGGCAGCUUACCGCAACGCCGUCCUAAAAAUGUCAGCUCGGUUCGAAGGACUCAAAUUCCACCAUAUAGCCCGGGAUAAUAACUAGGCAGCAGACGUGCUAGCACGCAUCGGCGCAAAACGAGACGCCGUCCCUCCAAACAUCUUCCUAGAACGUCUCUUUAAGCCAUCCGUGCUAUGGGAAGAGGAGUCCAAACAUAACAAUCCGGAGCCAGCUGCAUCACCUAACUCAGACCAUUCUGACACAAUCGGCGGCUCAGCCAAUGAAAUAACACCUUCAGCCCACGAAAUAAUGGCAGUAAUCGCCCCGUGGACGGAACCAUUCCUAGCCUACUUAAUCAGGCAGGAACUUCCCGAAGACCAAAAUGAGGCCCGCUGCAUAGUUCGGCGAUCUAAGGCCUACAAGGUCCAUGAGGGAGAACUUUAUAAGAAAAGCACAACCGGAGUCCUUCAAAGGUGUAUCUCCGAAGAGGAAGGGCGAAAUCUCCUGGCUGAAAUUCAUGCCGGACUCGGCGGGCACCACGCUGCAGCCCGGGCCCUUGUAGGCAAGGCCUUCCGUACAGGAUUUUAUUGGCCGACAGCCCGGGCAGAUGCUCAGGACUUAGUCCAACGAUGCGUCGGUUGCCAGCUCUUUGCUAAUCAGAGCCACAUGCCACCCACCGCCCUAAAAACUAUACCCAUUACCUGGCCGUUCGCGGUCUGGGGGCUUGACAUGGUUGGACCCCUUAAAGGGGGAACCCACAAGCACAAGUACUUAUUGGUCAUGGUGGAUAAAUUCACCAAAUGGAUAGAGGCCAAGCCGGUUAAAACGGCAGAAUCCGGACCGGUGUUAGACUUCAUAUCCGGGGUAGUACACCGUUUUGGCGUCCCCCACAGCAUCAUCACUGAUAACGGCACGAAUUUCACGGCCGACGAGGUUAAACUCUGGUGCAAAAACAUGGGCAUCAAGCUCGACUACGCUUCAGUCUAUCACCCCCAAACUAAUGGUCAAGUCGAGCGAGCAAAUGGUCUCAUCAUGAGCGGCAUCAAGCCCAGACUAGUGCGGUCCCUCAAGAAAUCUAACACGCACUGGGUAGAGGAGCUCGACUCCGUACUCUGGGUACUGCGGACCACGCCAAACCGAACUACCGGAUUCACACCAUUUUUUAUGGUCUACGGCGUAGAGGCAGUUCUUCCUUGUGAUAUAAUUCAUGACUCACCUCGCGUGCGCAUGUACGAAGAAAGAGAAGCCGAGUUGGAUCGGCAGGACAGUUUGGACGCCCUAGAGGAGGAGUGGGACGUGGCAAAAGCUCGUUCCGCAUUUUAUCAGCAGCAGGCUCGAAGAUAUCAAAGCAGAGAAAUACGGGCCAAAACUUACAAUGUUGGCAAACUUGUUCUACGCCUGCCGGACAAGAAAAAGGACAAACUUAAGCCUAGGUGGGAAGGUCCCUUCAUCAUCGACCAAGUCCUGACUGGCGGAGCAUACCGUCUACGUAACGCAUCUGACAACCGACUCGAGCCGAACCCAUGGAACGCAGCCCGUCUUCGAAGAUUCUACGCCUAACGCCGGACUCAGAGUUCGUCUCACUCCUCCGUCCACCUUUUUACAUUUUCACUGCCUCUUGUCCCCCUCCUUCUUCCCAUUUUUUUAAAUACUGAGGGAGUCCUGGAUUAGGGGGUGUCCGGACAGCCGGACUCAUAGUCAGCCGGACUCCAAGACUGUGAAGAUACAAGAUUGAAGACUUCGUCCCGUGUCCGGAUGGGACUUUCCUUGGCGUGGAAGGCAAGCUUGGCGAUACGGAUAUGUAGAUCUCCUACCAUUGUAACCGACUCUGUGUAACCCUAGCCCUCUUCGGUGCCUAUAUAAACCGGAGGGCUUUAGUCCGUAGGACGAACAACCAUUACAACAAUCAUACCAUAGGCUAGCUUCUAGGGUUUAGCCUCCUUGAUCUCGUGGUAGAUCCACUCUUGUAACACACAUCUUGAAUAUUAAUCAAGCAGGACGUAGGGUUUUACCUCCAUCAAGAGGGCCCGAACCUGGGUAAAACAUCGUGUCCCUCGUCUCCUGUUACCAUCCGCCUAGACGCACAGUUCGGGACCCCCUACCCGAGAUCCGCCGGUUUUGACACCGACAUUGGUGCUUUCAUUGAGAGUUCCUCUGUGUCGUCACUGAUAGGCUUGAUGGCUUCUUCAAUCAACAACCACGCUGUCUAGGGUGAGACUUUUCUCCCCGGACAGAUCUUCGUGUUCGGCGGCUUCGCACUGCGGGCCAAUUCACUUGGCCAUCUGGAGAAGAUCAAAAGCUACGCCCCUGGCCAUCAGGUUUGGAAGCCUAAACUUCACGGCUGACAUCCGCGGGGACUUGAUCUUCGAUGGAGUUGAGACACAGCCGCGCGUGCCGCACUGUCACGAUGGGCAUGAUCUAGCUCUGCUGUUGGACAGUACCCUGGAGGCCGCACACAAGUCCGCUCUGACCCAUAGUUCGGAGCCGCCCGCACAGAUCGAGGACAAGUGGCUGGACACUGCCUCGGGAGCUGCAACUUCCACAGUGAUGGAGCCGAAUGCUGACCAUGUGCCUUAUGAAGCUCGUGACUCCGAAGCGCCGGACUCCUUGACGGACUCCGAACCUCCUGCGCCCCUGCCAAUCGAAUCCGAUUGGGCGCCAAUCAUGGAGUUCACCGCCGCGGACAUCUUUCAGCACUCACCCUUUGGCGACAUCCUAAAUUCGCUAAAACAUCUCUCGUUAUCAGGAGAACCCUGGCCGGACUACGGUCAGGAUGGCUGGGAUGCAGACGACGAAGAAAUUCAAAACCCACCCACCACCCACUUUGUAGCCACUGUCGAUGAUCUAACCGACAUGCUAGACUUUGACUCCGAAGACAUCGACGGUAUGGACGACGAUGCCGGAGACGAUCAAGAACCAGCGCCUACAGGGCACUGGAAGACCACCUCGUCGUACGAUAUAUACAUGGUGGACACCCCAAAGGAUGGGGACGGCGAAGAAGCAGCGGAGGUGGAUUCUUCUAAGAAACAGCCCAAGCGCCGACGUCAGCGGCGCCGCUCUAAAUCCCGCCACAGUAAGAAUGGAGAGUCCAGCACCGGAGAUAAUAACACCCCAGAGAGUGCCGAAGACAACCCCCCAACAAGAUUCAGCACAGGAGGACGGAGUAGCCAGCCCUCAGGAGAGAGCGACAGACGAGGAGGACGAAAAUUACAUGCCUCCCUCCAAAGAGGCAAGCCUCAAUGACGACGAAUUCGUCGUGCCCGAGGAUCCCGUCGAACAAGAGCGUUUUAAACGCAGGCUAAUGGCCACGGCGAACAGCCUAAAGAAAAAGCAGCAACAGCUUCAAGCUGAUCAAGACCUGCUGGGCGACAAAUGGACCAAGGUCCUUGCGGCCGAAGAGUAUGAACUCGAACGCCCCUCCAAAAGCUACCCAAAACGCAAGUUGCUCCCCCGACUAGAGGAGGAAGCGUACAAACCUUCAUCACCAGCGCACAAUACGGCAGACCGACCACCCCGUGGUCGCGACAGAGAGGCAUCUAGGCCCUCCAUCAGAACCGUACCCCGGCAUCGCUCGAAAAGUACGAAGCCACGGGGGAAUGCACCGGACUUGCGGGAUAUAUUGGAGGACAAGGCAAGACAAUCCAGAUCUAUCUACGGAUCACGUGGGCACCCCACGACCCACGACGACUACCGUCACGCUAGAUACAGCAACUCUGGCCGGGCCGAACACAGCAGACAACACUCUCUUGAGCUACGUCAUGAUAUUGCUCAAUAUAGAGGCGCCGCACACCCACUAUGCUUCACAGACGAAGUAAUGGAUCAUCAAAUCCCUGAAGGGUUUAAACCCGUGAACAUUGAAUCUUAUGAUGGCACAACAGACCCCGCGGUUUGGAUCGAAGAUUAUCUCCUUCGCAUCCAUAUGGCCCGCGGCGACGAUCUCCACGCUAUCAAGUACCUCACACUCAAGCUUAAAGGACCAGCUCGGCAUUGGCUUAAUAGCUUGCCAGCAGAGUCAAUUGGGUGUUGGGAGGACCUGGAAGCCGCAUUCCUCGACAACUUCCAAGGCACAUAUGUGCGACCACCAGAUGCCGAUGACCUAAGCCACAUAAUUCAGCAGCCAGAUGAAUCGGCCAGACAAUUCUGGACACGGUUCUUAACAAAGAAAAAUCAAAUCGUCGACUGUCCGGAUGCAGAGGCCCUCGCAGCCUUCAAACAUAACAUCCGCGACGAGUGGCUGGCCCGGCACCUAGGACAGGAAAAGCCGAAAUCCAUGGCAGCCCUCACAUCACUCAUGACCCGCUUCUGUGCGGGAGAGGACAACUGGCUAGGUCGCAGCAACAACCUCAGCAAAAAUGCUGGCAGUCCGGAUACUAAGGAGCACAAUGGCAGGUCGCGUCGAAACAAAAAUAAACGCCACGUUAACAGCGAUAACAAUGAAGAUACGACAGUCAACGCCGGAUUCAGAGGCUCUAAACCCGGUCAGCGGAAGAAGCCAUUCAAAAGAACCACUCCGGGUCCGUCCAAUUUGGACCGAAUACUCGAUCGCUCUUGCUAGAUAUAUGGCACCCCCGAAAAGCCAGCUAACCACACCAACAGAGAUUGUUGGGUAUUCAAGCAGGCAGGCAAGUUAAUUGCCGAAAACAAUGACAAGGGGCUGCAUAGAGACGAUGAGGAGGAGACCCGGCCGCCGAACAAUAGAGGACUGAAGGGUUUCCCCCCACAAGUGCGGACGGUAAAUAUGAUAUACGCAACCCACAUACCCAAGAGGGAGUGGAAGCGUGCACUUCGGGACAUAUAUGCGAUGGAGCCAGUCGCCCCGAAGUUCAAUCCAUGGUCCUCUUGCCCGAUCACUUUUGAUCGAAGGGACCACCCCACCAGUAUCCGCCAUGGCAGAUUCGCCACAUUGGUUUUAGACCCAAUCGUCGAUGGAUUUCACCUCACUAGAGUCCUCAUGGACGGCGGUAGCAGCCUGAACCUGCUUUAUCAGGAUACAGUGCACAAGAUGGGCAUAGACCCCUCAAGGAUUAAACCUACAAAGACGACCUUCAAAGGCAUCAUACCAGGUGUCGAGGCCAAUUGUACGGGCUCGGUCACACUGGAAGUGGUCUUCGGAUCCCCGGAUAAUUUCCGAAGCGAGGAGUUAAUCUUCGACAUAGUCCCGUUCCGCAGCGGCUAUCACGCCCUGCUCGGACGAACCGCGUUUGCAAAAGUUCAACACGGUGCCGCAUUAUGCAUACCUCAAGCUCAAGAUGCCAGGCCCUCGUGGAGUCAUCACGGUCAAUGGAAACACUGAACGCUCCCUCCGAACGGAGGAACACACAGCGACUCUCGUGGCAGAAGUUCAGAACAGCCUCUUAAGGCAACUUUCGAGUCCGGCCGUUAAAAGACCGAACGGGAUUAAACGCGCCCAGAGUAACAUACACCAAGACCACCUGGCGCGUUCCGAGCACGCGUAGCAAUGCGGCCCCAACCCCAGCCCUUACAUGACUGUAAGACAAGCUCCCUGCGUACAUCAUUACGCUCUGGAGAUACCUUGGGCAUAGGGGGAGGGACACGACCACUACAGGCCCAGAGUGCGGCUCAACCACACCAGGGGCUCCUAAGUGUGUCGAUCUUUUUCUUUCCCUUUUUUUAUUCUUAUCUUAUCCAUAGGACUCCGUUUACAAGAGGCCCUGUCCGGCAGUAGAUCUGUCGAACCCACGAUGCAACAACCAGGGAGGAACCAGGGCUACGACGAACACUCAGGAGGUCUCCAUUACGAGCAUUAAAUCUGUUUAUUACACCAUUCCGCAGCCUAUCCCUGGAGGGGGGCAUGUCUAAUAGUCCAAACCCUUGCUUACCGCACUAUUUGUAUCAUUCUGCACUCAUAGCAGAACUCCUCGAAUAAACAAUGCAUCAUUUUUCGCUUAUAGUUGCAUUCCCUUUAUUUAUAUAUGUAUGUUCUCUUAUGACAUCUUGCAUCCGUACAAUUCAGUACGGCAGAAUACACCAGGAGCUUAUGUUCCCCGCAUUAUGGUGUGAAGUCCGAACACUUUCACAAGUGCGGCACCCCGAACUUAUAGCACUAUAUGCAUCGGCUCCGAAUCAUGUCUUGGGUCAAUAGUUGGGUUUGCCCGGCUCCCAUGUUUGGCACCUUACGUUCCGUUCCGUCGGCUAAGGUAGCACUGGGAGAACCACUGCGAUUGCGCCCCAGUUGAGCUGGGUUAACGCCUCAGUGGAGAAAGCUAAAACUGACCGUCAUGAUAAGGCGAGAGCUGGUCGCUGUUCGAGAGGUCUUUUCGAGUCCUUAAAGACUUACGCCGCUUAGAGCGAGGAACCGGCUAUGUCCGGCCAAGGCGUGGGUAGCGCCCCGAAUUCGUUCUUCCGAACACUAGAGGCUUCGCCGAAAUUUAAAAUUAUAGAAUUCUAUGGCUAAGUGAGAGUGUUCAAGCAUUAUAAGUCCGGUUGCCUUGUUCGUUGUGUUGAGCGCCUCCCUAGAUGGACCCAAAAAUGGGAACAAGAGCGCUCAAGUGUAUCCCGAACACCCCAGCACUCGUGGCAUGGGGGCUGAAGCCGACGACUUGCCAUCUCUCAGAUUUGAUAAACGGCCGCACAGAAGGUAAUAUUUUAAAUCAAACAAGCGUUGCUUAGCGCAUAUGAACAAAGUUUUCAGCGCACAGGAUAACACAUUGCGAGUCUACUAAAAAAUUACAUCUCUGGGGCACUCAUCUGCAAUCUUGCGGGCACCCUUCAGGACAGUCUUAUAGUACAUUUCGGGCAUACGAUACUCCUUGCCCGCCGGCGGCGCGUCCGUCAGAAGCCUCUCAGCAUCCAGCCUGCCCCAGUGCACCUUUGCGCGGGCAAGGGCCCGACGGGCACCUUCAAUGCAGGCGGAGCGCUUGAUGGCCUCCACCCAAGGGCACGCAUCCACGAGCCGCCACACGAGGCCAAAGUAGCUCCCAGGCAUGGCCCCUCCAGGCCAUAGCCGGACUAUAAGGCCCUUCAUGGCCUGCUCGGCUACCUUGUGGAGCUCGACCAGCUGCUUCAGCUGGUCGCUAGGGGGCACCGGAUGUCCGGCCUCAGCAUACUGAGACCAGAAGACCUUCUCCGUUGAGCUCCCCUCCUCGGCCCGGUAGAAUGCGGCGGCAUCGGACACACUGCGAGGCAGAUCUGCAAACGCCCCUAGAGAGCUCCGAAUUCGGGUAAGUAACAGGUAAUUUACAUUCACAUGCUUGCUUUGCAUGAAAAAUGCCUUACCCGCCGCUAUCUUCUUCAUCGCCUCAAUCUCCUGGAGGGACUUAUGGGACUCGGCCUUGGCGGCUUUGGCACUUUCAAGAGCCGAGGCAAGCUCGGACUCUCGAGUCUUUGAGUCGCGCUCCAAACUCUCAUGCUUUUCCAUGAGAGCCUGGAGCUCUUGCCGCACCUCCGCCACCCGCGCCUCCUGCUUCUCUCGCUCCGCCCGUUCUGCGGCCGCAUUGCGUUCGGCCGCGGACACGGCCUCCUUUAGGGUUGCCACCUUGUUCGUGGCCCCUGUAGUACCCAAGUUAUCCUUGUUAUUUCUAUUGCAACCAAAAUCCUUUUCUGUAAGGUACAAAUUUCAAAGUGGUGUUACUCACCUUCUUUGUCCUCGAGCUGCUUCUUGGCAAGGCCGAGCUCUCGCUCGGACCGCUCGAGGUCCUACUUCAAAGCACCGACCUCCGCAGUCAGUGCGGCAGAGGUCAGCAGCGCAGCCUGCAAACCUAUAUUGACAUAAUUUUUAGCACUCCUGCGUAUAUCUUUUUUAGAUCCUCAGUCCGGUUUUUCUUUCCGAACACUGAACCGAGCAUCAGGGGCUUCUGUCUAUGCGGUAUCACAUUACAUAUUUUAAACUUCUUACCUCGAAGCCUGUUAGAAGGCUGCUGCAAGCUUCGGUCAGCCCGCUCUUGGCAAGAUGAACCUUCUGAAUCACCACACUCAUAAUAGUGCGGUGUUCUUCCUCGAUGGAAGCGCCGUUGAGCGCCUCCAACAAGUUGUCCGGCGCCUCCGGUUGGAUGGAGGCCGCCGGUGUCACGGUCUUGCCCUUCUUGUGAAGGGGCCGCCUGCCGGACUCCGGAACCACUGCGGGUUCCGGCAUGGAGUCCGGCGCGAAAUCCGGGAGGUUACCUUGUGGCACCUCCGGAGCCUCCCCCUCCUGGCGGGUCCCCUCCUGGGAUCCCACCUCGACGUCCUCAGCAUCGCGAGGGGUGGAGGCGGUCGGAAUGGAAUCUACAUCCGACGGGGCCAAGGACCCGCUGGAUGAAGCGGGAAGGUCCUCCUCGGCCGGGCUACAGAUAGUAUGCGGCAUUAGAAGGACACUACAUGGCACAAAAAAGAAAUUACAAAUCACUCAGGAAUCCGGAUACUUACGAUCUUGCCAGGGGCUUGGCCCUUGAGGGCUACUCCUCGUCGCCGUCGUUGGCGUUGGCGGAGCUGUCCGGAGGAAGGGUCCUUCCCCUCUUGGACCCUUCGGCUUCCCCCGUUGGGGAAGCCUUCCUCUUCCUCUCCCCCCCCUCCAGGGGAGAGCCUUCUUUCCCCUCCUCGCCUUCGGGGGAGGAGUCCGCCUCGGAGUCAUCGGACACCUGAAAACGGGAACUCUUUCGAGUACCCGUGGCCUCCUUCUUGGCCUUCUUCUCCGGCACCACAUGCGCUGCCGGGACCAGCAGCCCCGCUAGACGGGCGUCUACUGGGUUUUCUGGCAUGGGAGCCGGACAGAUAAUCUGCUCGGCCUUCUUCAUCCAUCCCUGUCAAAGGAAAGGGGAGAUUAAAUCCCGCGUAAGGUUGAACUAUUAAAAACAACUGUCCCGUAAAGGGGUAGAAUCACUUACCUCGUCAGCUGGACGCUGCGAGCGAAAUCCGUGAUCUUCAGUGGCGGAUGCGGGAGCUUCGACGCCCUUGAAGAGCACCUUCCAGGCAUCUUCGUACCUAGUGUCGAAGAGCCUGCUCAAGGUUUGGUAUUGCGCCGGAUUGAACUCCCACAAUUUAAAUGCCCGUUCUUGGCACAGGAGAAUCCGGUGGAUGAGCAUGACUUGGACCAUGUUGACAAGCUUGAGCUUCUUGUUCACCAGCUUCUGGAUACAGGCUUGGAGUUUGGUCAGCUCCUCCGAAUCGCCCCAGGUCAGGCCACUCUCUUUCCAAGAGGUGAGCCACGUGGGGAUUCCAGAUCUAAAUUCGGGGGCCGCUACCCAUUUAGGGUCACGCGGCUCGGUGAUGUAGAACCACCCCGAUUGCCAUCCCUUGAUGGUUUCCACGAAGGCGCCCUCGAGCCAGACGACGUUGGGUAUCUUACCCACCAUGGUGCCUCCGCACUCUGCCUGAUUCCCCUUUACUACCUUCGGCUUGACAUUGAAGGUCUUUAGCCACAAGCCGAAGUGGGGCUGGAUGCAGAGGAAGGCCUCGCACAUGAUGAUAAAUGCCAAGAUGUUGAGGAUGAAGUUUGGCGCCAGAUCGUGGAAAUCUAGGCCGUAGUAGAACAUGAGCCCCCGGACAAAGGGGUGAAGUGGAAAGCCCAGUCCGCGGAGGAAAUGGGGAAGGAAGACCACCCUCUCAUGGGGCCUGGGGGUGGGGAUGAGCUGCCCCUUGUUGGGGAGACGGUGCGCGAUGUCGCUGGAUAGGUAUCCGGCGUCGCGCAGCCUUUCGAUGUGCCCCUCCAUGAUGGAGGAGGCCAUCCACUUGCCUCCCGCUCCGGACAUGACUGGAGAAGGUUGAGACGAGAUGUACGAACUUGGGCGUUGGAGCUCGAGUGCGCGAAGAUGGAUAAGCAAGGGAGGAAGAAGGCGUAGGUAAAAAGGUGGAUCCUUAUCCCCUUAUAUAUGGGCGGACGAAGACUAUGUGUCCCCACCGGCCUGGUAAAACUCGCUUAUCCCCCAAGCGCCACCAUCAAUGGCGCGGUUGGGUUACCCACAUCCGUAUUGAUGGGAAUCCCGGAAUAAGGGGAACACGAUCUCUGCUUCGACAAGACGUGCCAAGGAAACCGCUUCGCUAAACGCGCUGAGGUGGUAUAAUAAAAAACGAUUCAAGUAAAGGCUUGGUAGUGGUGUGACGUCAUGCCACAAAAUACGUUAGUAGAUUGAACUUGUGUACAUAUUAUUCUCUCUAUGGUGGAAUGUGGAAUUUAUUUUGCAGAGCCGGACACUAUCCUGGUGUUCACAAUCUUCUAUGGAUUAUUUGGAGGAAGAACCCGCCUUGCAAUGCCGAACAAUAUGCGCGCCGGACUCAUCGUCAUUGAAGCCUGGUUCAGGGGCUACUGAGGGAGUCCUGGAUUAGGGGGUGUCCGGACAGCCGGACUCAUCGUCAGCCGGACUCCAAGACUAUGAAGAUACAAGAUUGAAGACUUCGUCCCGUGUCCGGAUGGGACUUUCCUUGACGUGGAAGGCAAGCUUGGCGAUACGGAUAUGUAGAUCUCCUACCAUUGUAACCUACUCUGUGUAACCCUAGCCCUCUCCGGUGCCUAUAUAAACCGGAGGGCUUUAGUCUGUAGGACGAACAACCAUUACAACAAUCAUACCAUAGGCUAGCUUCUAGGGUUUAGCCUCCUUGAUCUCGUGGUAGAUCCACUCUUGUAACACACAUCUUCAAUAUUAAACAAGCAGGACGUAGGGUUUUACCUCCAUCAAGAGGGCCCGAACCUGGGUAAAACAUCAUGUCCCUCGUCUCCUGUUACCAUCCGCCUAGACGCACAGUUCGGGACCCCCUACCCGAGAUCCGCCGGUUUUGACACCGACAAAUACCUUCGAUAAGCUGAUGUGCUUCUAGCACUCAUUAUACCUGGGGGCUUCUUUCACGGAAGCUUAUUUAUACGGGCUUUACGCCCAACACAUGUGUUAUACUUCCGCAUGUACCUUUUAUUCACCAUUAUAUGCAUCGAUAUGACUUAAGUUUUGGCCAAGCUGGGUUGCCUGGCUCCUGUGCUUACCCCUACGUUCCCGAUUGUUCGGCUAGGAGGUAAAGGGAGCACCUCUGCGAUUGUUACUGCUGGGUCAGCUGGAUGUGUACCUCAGACUGGGUGAAGCCGAAAGCUAGCGUUCUUAAGAGAAUAUUCGGUCGGUGAUUUGAAAGAUGAUUUAUUACUUACUUAUUUAUCUGCCCCCAGAUGCUUUUUCUGCUAUUUUCGCAGUAUGGACAUGCACUUUAGGGCAUGCCUCCCAGGGAAAGGAACCCUUAACGGAACUAUUCUCCCUGGAAGAUGUUUCUUACUAACCAUGUAAUAUAACAUAGCUAGUUGGGCACUUGUCUAAUAAAGCAAUUAUGACCCCGACACCUUGUCUCCAUGCAUGCCCUGGUUCUUUUAUAACUGUAAGGGUAUUCGGACACACUCCGGACUGUUGGGUCCCGAGGUUGAAGCGAAAAGGUCCGCAAAGACAAACGAUCUACAAUCCGGCUAGAAGGAAUUUUCACAUGUCAUUUUAAAUUACAUCGUCAAACCGACUGAUUGUACUCCUCUUCAAUCCCAUCUAACAGGCUGUCUAAUUUACAGUCCUGUUGGGAAAAUUUGGCGGCCAGCUCUACUUGGCCGUACAUCAAGCUCACAGGGAUCUCCUUCCCAUCAGGCCCCACCGGUCCGACCUCGGCCAUGUGGUUUGGGUCAGCCUUCGGGUACUGCGUCUUCACCAUGGCCCAGGCCUCCCUGGCGCCUUGACGGCAGUCAGAUAUCUUCCACAGACGGAGACGUCGCCGCACUCCCUGAAGCUUCUCAGCAAGCCCUCCAAGGCCCUCGGGUAGGGAGACGGAAGGCCAUAAGGCCUGCACGACGCCACUCAUCGCCUGCCGAACACGCUCGAGCAGUUGAACCAGCUCGGGAAGUUGAUCACCCGUUGAACCAGGCAUUUCCUCCGCAGGGCGACCUGUGAGCACACCUAAAGACACAUUUAUGUCAAUCGACUUCCUUGCCGAAUUCUUCUUUUCAAAGGAAUUUUCUCAAGCACUUACUAUAAAUGCCGCGACGAAGCCGCUGAUUCUCCUUCACAGAGCCAGACAGCUGGGCCCAAACAUCUUUCAGCUUUUCUCCUAGCUGGAUGUGGGCAUCUUGGAGCUUGUUCCUCUCCUGCUGCACCUUCAUAAGCACCCUCUCGCCGGCCUUUAGCUGACCUAGUAGUUGUUGCUUGUCCGGAUCUAGUCCGGCACCCUCUGCAAUAUUCUUGUCAGAUUAACACACACGCCACACUUUGGUAACUACUUAUCUUUUCAAAGCACAUAUUACCAGCAGGGGUAUCUGUAGCUUCCCCUGUGGUGGCUAGUGCGGCCUCAAGUUGGGCCUUGCACUCUUGGAGCUCCUGGGACAGGUGGGAAUUCUUCUCCGUAAGAUCCUGCAUAAUAAAUGAUCCUUAAAUAAGUUAUUUUAACUAUUUUAAGUCUCGGGGGCUACUGGCAUAUAUAGCUAUUAAAAAUUACUUACUCGUAUGUCUUUCACAUACUGCUCCGUGGCUCUGGUUAAGCCAUUUUGAGCGGCACGGAGGUGCGCGUUCCCCGCAUCAAAGGCAUUUAACGCCUCCAGGGAGAAACACGCGUCACAAAGAACUGUCCGGCGACGCUUGUGAUUCAUGGCGCUCUCCACCUCAGACCGAGUGGCGGACAGCCUGUCGGCGUCCUCUGUUGGAGGAGCGUCCGGCUCAUGCCUUGUGUUCGCCUCCCAUUCCGGACCACGCGAUGGAGCAUGGCUGGCGGAGGCUUGAUUGGCAACCUCUCCGGACUCUGUCCGGCGAGCGCUCUUUCUCCUGAAAAAGUUAUGAGCAUUAAUAUACCUCCUAGGGGUCCUUCCCUUAAAAACAGCGGUACGCUGUACCGUUGUGGCAACGUCUCGAUUCGCGUCGCGCUCCUCUUCCGCCUGCUGGGCCGAACUGACCCUUGCUGGUCAACUGCCGUGGGUUCGGCUUCCCGCCUUAAAGGCACAUCCUGCGAUGCACCGUCAGUAUUGGAUGGUUAGAAUUGAGCAUGGAUCAAAUAAUGGUGUCAAGACCUUGGUCGUAGUCACCUGGGAGGCCGGAAACAAACCGGGGUAGUCGGCCGUAAUGGCGACUAGGGUAUUGUCCAUACUGAGUUGGUGGAACACCCUGUCAAUCAGCUCCACCUUUAUGUCCGGAUCCUCUUCGGAGGACGGAUCAAGGGAUCGUUCUGGAUCUUCGGGUUGUGGAGCUGGGUUCGUAUGCCCUCCACGUCCCGGCGCAGAUCCUGCGUCGAAAUCAUAAAGUAAAAUACUUGACUUUGAAAGUAUGGAUCGGGUAGAUAAACGUCCGCUUACCCAGCUCCGAGGGUUACUCAUGGAGAAUCCGUUCAAUGGAUUCGUACGGAGGAAGUACUCCUCCCCCCCCUUGUACAAGCCGGACAGGAUCUUUGCCAGAUCGGCUGCCGAGCCCGGCCCUUUGCGGCCGUGACGGGUGGCGUCAUCUUCCCCGCUGAAAUCCCACAUUGGGUGGCCCCUGUAUUGGAGUGGCUGCACCCCUCGCAUAAUGCAUGUGGAUAUGAUCCCAAUCAUGGUCAAUUCGGAGUGGUCCAAUAACCUAAUCCGGCCCAUCAGAUAAUGAACGCUCCUAUCAUCCUCUUGUUGAGGGCUCCGCGGGCGCCAACUCAGGCGUUUCUUCAAGGGAGCAUUGCUGAACUCCGGGAGGCCGAUCCGAACUGGAUCUGGCAGAGGGGCGUCCUCCAUGUAGAACCAUUCCGAAGGCCAGUCUUCGGACGCCUUCUUCGGGGUUCCGGAUAGAUAUCCGGUCCCGGCGAUGCGCCAUAUUUCGGCUCCGCUCACUUGAUAUGUCGACCCCUCGUGAGAACGGGGGACGAGGCAAAACAAUCUCUUCCACAGCGCAAAAUGGGGCUCGAUGCCCAAGAACAACUCGCAAAGAGCUACGAAGCCCGCGAUGUGCAAAAUGGAGGCAGGCGUGAGGUGGUGAAGCUGGAGCCCGUAGAACUCCUGGAGCCCCCGGAGAAACGGAUGUAUGGGAAAUCUGAGUCCCCUUAUUAGAUAAGGGACGAAGCAUACCCACUCUCCUUUGGAAGGGUUGGGGACGUUCUCCGCCUGCUUUCCACCCCUGAAGGUGGCCAAUCCGUCUCGAACCGGAACCAUGAAGGCUGGGGGAAGAUAUCCCUCGGUUUGGAGCGUCACUAGCUCGCUGUGUGGAACUGAGCAUUUUCCCCAAUCUCCUGGCUUAGGGCUGGGAGUGCGAGAGGAGGAGCCGCGACGACUGUCCAUGAUAGAACGGGUUUUUGCCAGAAGCGCUUCGAUGAGUACUCGCGGAAGGAGGAUGGUGUGAGUUGGAUCUAGAUCCUCGCCGCUCUUAUAGGCGGCUCGUUCGCACGGCAAGGGGGUAAAAUGUAAACAUACCCUGACUUUUCGCAUUCAUACGACACGUGGAAGAAGGCCAUUACUGGGCGUAGAAGCCAAGGAGCGCAACAUUAUUAAGGAAGCCGGACACUAUUCGGCAGGAACAUAAAGUUUGAAGGAGAACCUGCCUUGCAACGCCGAAGACAACAUGCGCGCCGGACUCGUCGUCACUAAAGCCUGGUUCGGGGGCUACUGAGGGAGUCCCGGACUAGGGGGUGUCCGGAUAGCCGGACUAUCAUCAUCGGCCGGACUCCAAGACUAUGAAGAUACAAGAUUGAAGACUUUGUCCCGUGUCCGGAUGGGACUUUCCUUGGCGUGGAAGGCAAGCUUGGCGAUACGGAUAUGUAGAUCUCCUACCAUUGUAACCGACUUUGUGUAACCCUAGCCCUCUCCCGUGUCUAUAUAAACUGGAUGGCUUUAGUCCAUAGGACGAACAACAAUCAUACCAUAGGCUAGCUUCUAGGGUUUAGCCUCCUUGAUAUCGUGGUAGAUCCACUCUUGUAACACACAUCAUCAAUAUCAAUCAAGCAGGACGUAGGGUUUUACCUCCAUCAAGAGGGCCCGAACCUGGGUAAAACAUCGUGUCCCUUGUCUCCUGUUACCAUCCGCCUAGACGCACAGUUCGGGACCCCCUACCCGAGAUCCGCCGGUUUUGACACCGACACCCCCUUAUCCAGGACUCCCUCAGUAUCCCCUGAACCAGGCUUCAAUGAUGAUGAGUCCGGCGCGCAGUAUUGUCUUCGGCAUUGCAAGGCGGGUUCCUCCUCCGAAUACUCUAAAAUGGUUAUCGAACACGUAGACCGUGUCCGGAUCUGCAGGACGGUCUUUGUAUGGUAUAGAUCUAUUUUGCUGGCAAUCUUCGUGCGCCUCGCCCUUGCAUCAUGGCUCGGUCCAAUGUGAACCGUCGUCUCCUACCCCACAACGACUCAUGUUACGAGGCAGUUUUAUUGGCACGUCCCGUCGGGGCAGAGAUCAUGUCCCUCUUAUUACGGGAUUUUCCAUCAAUAUGAGCGUGCGUGACCCCACGACGGCCGUUGGCAUUACCCCGUGUGUUUUUAGAUAAGCCUCAAAUGGUCACACCAGGGACUCUUGAUAUUCACCCUCUUUAUAAAGGAGUCAAGACUUACGCCUCUUUCUUCACCUUCAUCGCGCCUUCCCGCACCUCGAGUUCUAACACCCAAAACCUAAGCUCCACCCCUUCGGAAUCCGCCAGUAUGUCUGGAUCUGACCCUCAAGGCCGGUGGGUCGCCUCCUUGAUCGAGGAGAAGAACAUUGCGAAGCUCAGGGAGGUCGGAUACCUAACCGCAGAUAUCCAGCACAGGCUUCCCGCUUUGGGGAAAGUUAUCCCCACGCCGGAGCCCAAUGAGUGUGUUGUUUUUGUCCCACACUUCCUCCGUGGUUUGGGUUUCACCCUCCAUGCUUUCGUGAGGGGGCUCAUGUUCUAUUAUGGGCUGGAUUUUCAUGAUCUGGCUCCAGAUGCCAUCCUCCAUAUCUCGUCGUUCAUUAUUGUGUGCGAGGCUUUUCUCCAUGUCACGCCACACUUCGGCUUAUGGCUCAAGACCUUCAAUGUGAAGCCGAAGAUGAUCGAGGGGAUACAUGUGGAGUGAGGAGGUGCCGUAAUAAGUAGAAAUGCCGAUGCCCCAUGGCCGGAGGGUUCUUUCCUGGAAGUAUCUGACGUAUGGCAGCGGAGGUGGUUUUAUGCCAAGGCCCCAAGGGGCACAAACUGGGUAGCCGCCCCUGAGUUCCGCUCAGGCCCUCCGUUGCAGUUGGCGUCCUGGACAGACAUAGGAUGUAAUUGGGGACCCGCAGGCGAUGUACCAAUACUGCAGAACCGCAUCCGAGAGCUUCUCGAGAGGGAUAUCAACCUUGUUAGCGUAAUGCAAGUGAUUUUAUCCGGCGGACGUUGUCGUGCCAACGCUGGCCUCUUCGGAUGUGGGAGUUCAAUCCAAAGGGUCCGCGGACUGUGAAGCACUUCUUCGGCUUAAAGCUCGAAGAGAUCUGCAAAUUAUUCUUCGGUCGGAAGGUAACGUGUCCGGACACCACCGAGGAUGCGGGCCUAAGCUGCAACCGCCUAGAUACUCAAGUAAGUGGCCUUGAUACCGGAGACCCUGUUUUGUAUUUGUCAUACUUGUUUAUUCUGAACAUAUCCGCGUCCAGGAAUGGUUCAGCAAGGUGAAGAGAAUCAGGUGUCCGGUACCACUUCCCGAAGGAUCGCCCGCCCCUACUAUGGCCAAGAUGCUCGACCGGGUACUCAGCCGAAUGCCCUCGGGGAAAGACAAUGGGAAGGAUGAUAAAUCCGAACCCCAUGCACUACGCAUCCAAACUGGGGAUAGUCGGGGAGGAGAGGUCGAGGCCGCCUCCCCACGUGGGAAGAAGAGGGCCGCCUCCGAAGAUUUGGAGGCAGAGAUACCCAAAUUAGGGAAAAAGGGAUCCCCAGGGGUCCUUGCCCCAACAGGCACCCUCACCGCAUCAUGCCUGUCGGUGUCAAAACCGGCGGAUCUCGGGUAGGGGGUCCCGAACUAUGCGUAUAGGCGGAUGGUAACAGGAGACAAGGGACACGAUGUUUUACCCAGGUUCGGGCCCUCUUGAUGGAGGUAAAACCCUACGUCCUGCUUAAUUGAUAUUGAUGAUGUGUGUUACAAGAGUGGAUCUACCACGAGAUCAAGGAGGAUAAACCCUAGAAGCUAGCCUAUGGUAUGAUUGUUGUUCGUCCUAUGGACUAAAGCCAUCCGGUUUAUAUAGACACCAGAGAGGGCUAGGGUUACACAAAGUCGGUUACAAUGGUAGGAGAUCUACAUAUUCGUAUCGCCAAGCUUGCCUUCCACGCCAAGGAAAGUCCCAUCCGGACACGGGACGAAGUCUUCAAUCUUGUAUCUUCAUAGUCUUGGAGUCCGGCCGAUGAUGAUAGUCCGGCUAUCCGGACACCCCCUAGUCCGGGACUCCCUCAGUAGCCCCUGAACCAGGCUUCAAUGACGAUGAGUCCGGCGCGCAUGUUGUCUUCGGCAUUGCAAGGCGGGUUCUUCCUCCGAAUAAUUUAUAGAAGAUUGUGAACACCAGGAUAGUGUCCGGCUCUGCAAAAAUAAAUUCCAUGUAGCACCGUAGAGAGAAUAAUAUUACACAAGUUCAAUCUGCUGACGUAUUUUGUGGCGUGACGUCACGCCACUACCAAGCCUUUACUCGAAUCGUUUUUAUUGUUCCACUUUAGCGCGUUUAGCGAAGCGGUUCCCUUGGCACGUCUUGUCGAAGCAGAGAUUGUGUUCCCCUUAUUCCGGGAUUCCCAUCAAUACGGACGUGGGUAACCCAACCACGCCAUUGAUUGUGACGCUUGGGGGAUAAGCGAGUUUUACCAGGCCGGUGGGGACGCAUGUUUGUGUCUGCCCAUAUAAGGGGAUAAAGAUCCAACCCUUUUUCCUGCGCCUUCUUCCUCCUUGGCUUAUCCAACUCCGCGAACUCGAGCUCCAGCGCCCAAGUCCGCACUUCUCACCUCAACCUUCUCCAACUAUGUCCGGAGCGGGAGGCAAGUGGAUGGCCUCCUCCGUCAUGAAGGAGCAGAUCCAGAAGCUGCGCAACGCCAGAUACUUGUCUAGCGACAUCACGCACCGGCUCCCCGACGAGGGAGAGCUCAUUCCGACCCCCAGGCCCCAUGAGAGGGUAGUAUUUCUUCCCCAUUUCCUCCGUGGACUGGGCUUCCCACUUCAUCCCUUUUUCCGGGGACUCAUGUUCUACUACGGCCUAGAUUUCCUUGAUCUGGCCCCAAAUUUUAUCCUCAACAUCUCGGCGUUCAUAUCGUGUGCGAGGCCUUCCUCUGCAUCCAGCCCCACUUCGGCUUGUGGCUCAAGACCUUCAGUGUCAAGCCGAAGGUUGUGAAGGGCAGGCAGGCGGAGUGCGGAGGCGCCAUGGUGGGCAGGAUGUCCCACGUUACGUGGCUGGAGGGCACUUUCGUGGAAACCAUUAAGGGGUGGCAAUCGGAGUGGUUCUACAUCACCGAACCGCGUGACCCUGAUUGGGCUGUGGCCCCCGAAUUCAGAUCUGGCAUCCCUACAUGGCUCACCUCGUGGAAAGAGAGUGGCCGGAUUUGGGGCGAUUCGGAGGAGCUGACCGGACUCCAAGCCUGUAUCCAAAAGCUUGUGGACAAGAAGCUCAAGCUCGUCAAUGUAGUCCAGGUCAUGCUCAUCCGCCGGAUUCUCUCGUGCCAACGACGGGCUUCAACAUGUGGGAGUUUGAUCCGGCGCAGCACCAGACCCUGAGCGGGCUCUUCGAUACUACAUACGAAGAUGUCUGGAAGGUGUUGUUCAAGGGUGCCGAAGAUCGCGGAUUCUGCUCGCAGCGUCCAGCAGACGAGGUAAGUGAUUCUGCCAUUUGUUUUCCAUAGUUUGACUCUAUGCGGGAUCUAAACUCCCUUUUCCUUUGACAGGACUGGCUGGCGAAGGCCGAAUGGACUAUCUGUCCGGCCCCAUUGCCAGAGGACCCAGCGGACGCCCGCCUAAUGGUUCUGCUGGCUCCGGCACCCCACGUGGUGCCGGAGAAGAAGGCCAAAAAGAAGGCCACGGGCACUCAAAAGAGUUCCCAUUUUCAAGUGCUGUCGGAUGAUGAAUCCGAGGCCGACUCCUCCCACCAAGGCGAGGAGGAUAAGAAGAAAGCCUCUCCCCUGACGGGGGGAGGGAAAAAAGGAAGGCCUCCCCAACGAGGGAGGCCGAAGGGUCCAAGAAGGGAAAAACUCUCCCCCCGGACUGCUCCGCCAACGCCAGUGAUGACGACGAGAAUUGGCCUCCAAGGGCCAGGCCCCUGGCGAGAUCGUAAGUAUCUGGAUUUCCGAAUAACUUCAUGGUUUUUCUUUUCGCCACAUAAUGUCUUUCUAAUGCCGCAUACAACCCUGCAGUCCGCCCAAGGAUGAUCUUCCCGCUUCGUCGAGCGGGUCCUUAGGUGCGUCGGAUAUGGAUUCUCUUCCGACUGCCUCCAGCCCCCGUGCUGUGGACGACGCCGAGGUGGGAUCCCAGGAAGGGACCCGCCAGGAGCAGGAGGCCCCGAAGGUGUCGCAGGACAACCUCCCGGACUUUGCACCGGACUCAGCCCCGGAACCCAUAGUGGCUCCGGAGUCCGGCAGGCGACCCCUUCGUAAGAAGGGAAAGACCAUGACGCCGGUGGCCUCCGUCCAACCGGAGGCGCCGGAUAACUUGCUGGAGGCGCUCAAUGGCGCCUCCAUUGAAGAGGAACACUGCACUGUUAUGAGUGCGGUGAUUCAGAAGGUUCAGCUCGCCAAGAGUGGGCUGACCGAAGCCUGCAGUAGCCUUCUAACAGGCUUUGAGGUAAGAAUUUAAAUAUAUAUAAAAUGGUACCGCAUAGACAGUAGCCCCUGAUGCUCGGUUCGGUGUUCAGAAAGAAAAGCCGGACUAAGGAUCUAAAAAGAUAUACGCAGGAGUCAUAAAAAAUAUGUCAAUAUGGGAUUGCAGGCUGUGCUGCUGACCUCCGCCGCACUGACCGCGGAGGUCAAUACUUUGAAGGAAAGCCUCGAGCGGUCCGAGAACGAGCUCGGCCGUGCCAAGAAGCAGCUCGAGGAAAAAGAAGGUGAGUAAUACCUUAUUAAAAUUGUACCUUACAGAAAAGGGUUUGGUUGCAAGAAUAAUUACAAGGAUAACAUGGGUAUUGUAGGGGCCACUAGCGAGGUGGCGACCCUGAAGGAGGCGGUGCCCGCAGCCGAACAUAAUGCGGCCGCGGAACGCUCCGAGUGAGAGAAGCAGGAGGCGCGGGUGGCGGAGGCACAGCAAGAGCUCCAGGCUCUCAUGGAAAAACAUGAGAGUUUGGAGCGUGACUCGGAAGCUCGAAAGUCCGAGCUUGCAACGACUCUUGAGAGUGCCAAAGCCGCUAAGGCCGAAGCCUAUAAGGCCCUCCAAGAAAUCGAGGAAUUGAAGAAAAUAGCGGCGGGUAAGGCAUUUUUCAUGCAAAGUAAGCAUGUGAGUGUUAAUUACCUGUUACUUACCCGCAUUCGGAGCUCUCCAGGAACGUUCGCAGAUCUUCCUCGCAACGUAUCCGAUGCUGCCGCAUUCUACUGGGUUGAGGAGGGGAGCUCGACGGAGAAGGUCUUCUGGUCAUAGUAUGCUGAGGCCAGACAUCCGGUGCCCCUUAGUGACCAGCUGAAGCAGCUGGUCGAGCUCCACAAGGUGGCCGAACAGGCCAUGAAGGGCCUCAUAGUUCGGCUGUGGCCUAAAGAGGCCAUGCCUGGGAGCUACUUCGGCCUGGUGCGGUGGCUGGUGGAUGCGUGCCCGUGGGUUGAAGUCAUCAAGCACUCUGCUUGUAUUGAGGGUGCCCGUCGGGCCCUUGCCCGUGCAAAGGUGCAGUGGGGCAAGAUGGAUGCCCAGAAGCUUGUGACGGACCCGCCACCGCAGGGCAAGGAGUACCGCACGCCCGAGAUGUAUUAUUAGAGUGUCCUGAAGGGUGCCCGCACUAUUGCGGGUGAGUGCUCCAAAGAUGUAAUAUUUGAGUAGGCUCGCAUUUUGUUAUCCUGUGCGCUUGAAGACUUAGUUCAUAUGCGCUAAGAAACGCUUGUUAAUUUAAAAUAUUACCUUCUGUGCGGCUGUUUAUCAAUUCUUAGAGAUGGCAAGUCGUUGGCUUCAGCCCCCACGCCACGAGUGCUGGGGUGUUUGGGAUAAACUUGAGCACUCUUGUUCCCAUUUUUGGGUCCAUCGAGGGAGGCGCUCAACACAGCGAACAAGGCAACCGGACUUAUAAUGCUUGAACACUCUCACUUAGCCAUAGAAUUCUAUAAUUUUAAAUUUCGGCGAAGCCCCUAAUCUUCGGAAGGCCGAAUUUGGGGCGCUAUCCAUGCUUGGGCCGGACAGAAUCCGGCUCCUCGCACUAAGCGGCAUAAGUCUUUAAGGACUCGCAAAAAACCUCUCGAACAGUGACCGGCUCUCGCCUCAUCAUGACGGUCAGUUUUAGCUUUCUCCACUGAGGCGUUAACCCAGCUCAACUGGGGCGCAAUCGCAGUGGUUCUCCCAGUGCUACCUUAGCUGAUAAAACGGAAUGUAAGGUACCAAAACAUGGGAGCCGGGCAAACCCAACUAUUGACCCAAGACAUGAUUCGGAGACGAUGCAUAUAAUGCUAUAAGUUUGGGGUGCCGCACUUGUGAAAGUGUUCGGACUUAUCACACCAUGAUGCGGGAAACAUAAGCCCCUGGUGUAUUUUAACCGUACCAAAGUGUAUGGAUGCAAUAUGUCGUACAUGAGCAUAUGUAUAUAAAAAGAAAUGCAAUUAUAAGCAAAAGGUGCUGCAUUGUUUUAUUCAAGAAUUACUGCUAUGAAUGCAGAACGAUACGAAUAGUGCGAUAAGCAAAGGACAUGACUGUUAAACAUGUCCCCCUUCAGGGGUAGGCUGCGAAGUUGUUUAUAAAACAGAUUUAAUGCUCGUAAUGGAGGCCACCUGGAUAUUCGUUGUAGCCUUUAUCUUUCCCUGGCUGUUGCAUCGUGAGUUCGGCAGGUCUGCUGCCGGACAGGGCCUCUGACGAACGGAGUCCUGUGAGUAAAAAAUAAAAAAGGAAAAAGAACGACACACUUGAGAGCCCCUGGUGUGGUUGAGCCGCAUUCCGGGCCUAUCGUGGUCGUGCCCCUCUCCCCAUGCCCAUGGUAUCUCCAAAGCGUAAUGGUGUACGCGGAGGACCUGUCUUGACGUUUUGCGAGGGCUGGGGUUGGGGCCGCGCUGCUACGCGUGCUCGGAACGUGCUAGGUAGUCAUGUUGUAGGUUACUCCGGGCGCGCUUAGCUGUGUCCGGCCGCUUACCGGCCGGACUCGGGAAUUGCCUUAAGAGGCUGCAUUGCACUUCUGCCGCGAGAGCCGCUGUAUGUUCCUCCGUUCGGAGAGAACGUUCAGUGUUUCCGUUGACCGUGAUGACUCCUCGAGGGCCUGGCAUCUUGAGCUUGAGGUAUGCGUAGUGCAGCACCGCGUUGAAUUUUGCAAACGUGGUAUGUCUGAGCAGGGCAUGAUAGCCGCUGUGGAACGGGACUAUGUCGAAGAUUAACUCCUUGCUUCGGAAGUUAUCCGGGGAUCCGAAGACCACUUCCAGUGUGACUGAGCCUGUGCAAUUGGCUUCUACACCUGGUAUGACGCCUUUAAAGGUCGUCUUGGUAGGUUUAAUCCUUGAGGGGUCUAUGCCCAUUUUGCGCACUGUAUCCUGAUAAAGCAGGUUCAGGCUGCUACCUCCGUCCAUCAGGACUCUGGUUAGGUGAAACCCGUCGACAAUUGGGUCUAAAACCAAUGCGGUGAAUCCGCCAUGGCGGAUGCUGGUGGGGUGGUCCCUUCGGUCAAAAGUGAUCGGGCAGGAGGACCAUGGAUUGAACUUCGGGGCAACUGGCUCCAUUGCGUAUACAUCCCUUAGCGCACGCUUCUGCUCCCGUUUGGGUAUGUGCGUUGUGUAUAUCAUGUUCACCGUCCGCACCUGUGGGGGGAAACCCUUUUGUCCUCUAUUGUUCAGCGGUCGGGUCUCUUCCUCGUCAUCGCUAUGCAGCCCCUUGUCAUUGUUUUCGGCAAUUAACUUGCCUGCAUGCUUGAAUACCCAACAAUCCCUGUUGGUGUGGUUAGCUGGCUUUUCGGGGGUGCCGUGUAUCUGGCACGAGCGGUCGAGUAUUCGGUCCAAAUUGGACGGACCCGGAGUAGUUCUUUUGAAUGGCUUUUUCCGCUGACCGGGUUUAUAGCCUCUGAAUCCGGCAUUGACUACUGUAUCCUCACUAUUGUCGCUGUUGAUGCGGCAUUUAUUUUUGUGACGACGCGACCUGCCAUUGUGGUCCUUGAAGUCUGGACUGCCAGAAUUUUUGCUGAGGUUGUUGCUGUGUGCUAGCCAGCUAUCCUCACCCGCGCAGAAGCGGGUCAUGAGUGAUGUGAGGGCUGCCAUGGAUUUUGGUUUUUCCUGUCCCAGGUGCCGGGCAAGCCACUCGUUGUGGAUAUUAUGCUUGAAGGCCGCGAGGGCCUCCGCAUCCGGACAAUCGACGAUUUUGUUUUUCUUGGUUAAGAACCGUGUCCAGAAUUGUCUGGCCGAUUCGUCUGGCUGCUGAAUUAUGUGGCUUAGGUCAUCAGCGUCUGGUGGUCGCACAUACGUUCCCUGGAAGUUAUCGAGGAAUGCGGCUUCCAGGUCUUCCCAACUCCCAAUUGACUCUGCUAGCAGACUGUUAAGCCAAUGCCGGGCUGGUCCUUUAAGCUUGAGGGGGAGAUAUUUGAUGGCGUGAAGAUCGUCGCCGCGGGCCAUGUGGAUGUGAAGGAGAUAAUCUUCGAUCCAAACCGCGGGGUCUGUUGUGCCAUCGUAAGAUUCGAUAUUCACGGGUUUAAACCCUUCGGGGAUUUGAUGAUCCAUUACUUCAUCUGUGAAGCAUAGUGGGUGUGCGGCGCCUCUGUACUGGGCGAUAUCCCGACGGAGCUCAAAAGAGCUUUGUCUAUUUUGUUCGGCCCGGCCGGAUUUACUGUGUCCGGCGCGACGGUUGUCGUCACGUAUCGUGGGGCGCCCACGCAAUCCAUAGAUCGAUCUUGAUUGUCUUUCCUUAUCCUCCAAUAUAUCUUGCAAGUCCGGAGCAUUCCCUUGUGGCCUUGUGUUUUUCGGGCGAUGACGGGGUACGGUAUUAGUGAAGGGCCUAGAGGUCUCUCUAUCGCGACCACGGGGUGGUCGGUCAGCCGUAUUGUCUCCUGGUGAUGCGGGUUCAUAUGCCUCCUCCUCUAAUCGGGGAGCAGCUUGCGUUUAGGGUAGCUCUUGGAGGGGCGUUCGAGCUCAUGCUCUUUGGCCAUGAGGACGUUUGUCCAUUUGUCGGCUAGCAGAUCUUGAUCAGCUCUAAGCUGUUGCUGCUUCUUCUUGAGGUUGUUCGCCGUGGCCAUAAGCCUGCGUUUAAAACGCUCUUGUUCGAUGGGAUCCUCAGGCACGACGAAUUCAUCAUCGUCGAGGCUUGCCUCGUCUGCGGAGGGAGGCAUAUAAUCCUCAACCUCUUCUUCUGUCGCUCUCUCAUGAGGGCUGGCGUCUCCGUCCUCCUGCGCUGCAUCUUGCUGGAGUGGGUUGUCUUCGGCACUGUCCGGUGUAUUAUUAUCUCCGGUGCCAGAAUCUUUGUUCUUGCUGUGGCGGGAUUUAGAGCGGCGCCGCUGACGCCGGCGCUUGUGCUGCUUCUUGGAGGGGUCAUCCUCCGCUGUUCCUUCGCCAUUCCCAUCCUUUGGGAUAUCCACCAUAUAUAUGUCAUAUGAUGAGGUGGCUUUCCAGUGCCCCGUGGGCGCUGGUUCUUGGUCGUCUCCGGCAUCGUCGUCCAUACCAUCGAUGUCUUCGGAGUCGUAGUCUAGCAUGUCGGUUAGAUCAUCGACGGAGGCUACCAAGUGGGUGGUGGGUGGGCUUUAAAUUUCUUCGUCGUCCGCAUCCUAACCGUCCUGGCCGCAGUCCGACCAGGGCUCUCCUGAUAACGAGAGACACUUUAGCAAACUCAAGAUGUUGCCGAAAGGUGAGUGUUGAAAGAUGUCCGCUGCGGUGAACUCCAUGAUCGACGCCCAAUCGGAUUCGAUUGGAGGGGGCGCGGGAGGUUCGGAGUCCGGCGAGGAGUCCGGCACCUCGGAGUCACGAGCUUUAUAAGGGACAAGGUCCGUGUUUGGCUCUAUCGCUGUAGAGGUUGUAGCCCCCGAGGCGGUGUCUAGCCAUCCGUCCUCGAUCUGCGCAGCCGGCUCCGAAUUGAAGAUCGGAGCGGGUUCGAGUGCGGCCUCCAGGGUACUGUCCGGCUGCAGAGCUAGAUCAUGCUCGCUGUGAUAGUGCGGCAUGCUCGGCUGUGGCUCGAGUCCAUCGAGGAUCAAGUCCCCGCGGAUGUCAGCCGUGAAGUUGAAACUUCGAAAUCUGACCUGAUGGCCAGGGGCGUAGCUUUCGAUCUGCUCCAGUUGGCCAAGCGAGUUGGCCCGCAGUGCGAAGCCGUCGAAUACAAAGAUCUGUCCGGGGAGGAAGGCCUCACCCUGGAUUGUGUCGUUGAUGACGAUCGAAGAAGCCAUCGAGCCUAUCGGUGACGACAUAGAGGAACUCUCAAUGAAAGCACCAAUGUUCGUGUUAAAACCGGCGGAUCUCGUGUAGGGGGUCCCGAACUAUGCGUCUAGGAGGAUGAUAACAGGAGACAAGGGACACGAUGUUUUACCCAGGUUCGGGCCCUCUUGAUGGAGGUAAAACCCUACGUCCUGCUUGAUUGAUAUUGAUGAUGUGUGUCACAAGAGUGGAUCUACCACGAGAUCAAGGAGGCUAAACCCUAGAAGGUAGCCUAUGUUAUGAUUGUUGUUCAUCCUAUGGACUAAAGCCAUCCGAUUUAUAUAGACACCGGAGAGGGCUAGGGUUACACAAAGUCGGUUACAAUGGUAGGAGAUCUACAUAUCCGUAUCGCCAAGCUUGCCUUCCACGCCAAGGAAAGUCCUAUCCGGACACGGGACGAAGUCUUCAAUCUUGUAUCUUCAUAGUCUUGGAGUCCGGCCGAUGAUGAUAGUCCGGCUAUCCGGACACCCCCUAGUCCGGGACUCCCUCAAUGCCCUCGAGCGGGCCAACCCUCCAAUGAGUCGUGAGUCAAUCAUUAACUUAAAGGUAUACCAUAUUUCUCCUAGAUCAAUGACCAGGACUCAACUUUUUGCAAUCCGGCUGGCAACUCUUCUCAACAGGGAUCGUCUUCGGGCGACCUUCCUCCGGAGAUGAUAGAAAGCGAGACCCCACCUGCCUCUCCGGUUCUUGACGCGGGAGACACCGACGUGUCAUCACGGAGGAGCCCGGAUCCGCCAAGGCCGAAAGCCAAUGCGACAGCCGCCCUAAGUCCGGACAUACUGACGGGCUUACUGGAGCAAGCUGCGCUCUCGGUGGAGCACCGCUCAUUAAUGAGCGCGGUGCUCAAGAAGAUUUCAUCCGCUACAAGCGGUUUGAAUGAAGCAUUCACAAGCCUGCUCAGAGGCUUUGAGGUAUGUAAUGGAAAACUCACUAUUUGUUUGGUUGUAAGGCACGCGCUAGGUGUGCUCCAUAUAGAUAGCAGCCCCUGAGACUCUGGUUGCCCGCUCUAGGCGGCAAACGGGGGAUCAUAAACCAAUGAUAGUUCUGUAAACGUGUGCAGGUACCUGUGGGUCCGGCCGCAGGCUCGUCCGUUAAAGUUGCCGAACUAUCGAGGCAAAUUGGGUCGAUUGAUGCCGAUAUUACUCUAAUGAAUGAGCGGCUGGAUACAUCACAAGGUAUGUGCCCUGUCUCCCAUUGGAUAGGAAAACAUUAAGGUGGCAUGUAUUAAUAUAAUUUGUUCGGACUACAGAUGGUGCUGCCGCCGUGGAGGUCCUAAGGGCUGAACUAGCUCUGACCAAGGAACAAGCUCGGGUGAGCAAUGCGGCUGCCCUAAACGCGGCCGAGGAAUUGAGAGCCGAACAGGCUGCUCAUCGCCGAAGCGAGGAAAAGAUAGCCGAAAUAGCUAUCGAGUUAAAACAUGCCGCUGACCGGUAUGAGCUCCUGAAGAAGGAGCAUGAAGGUAAAUCGUCUGACCUGAGCAAGGCGCUGAAUGCUACCAACGAAAUGCGGACCGAGCUCAGGGGUGCGCGGGAGGAGCUUCAACAUGCCGGAAUAAUCACGGCUGGAGGCUCCUAUUUGUUGCGGACGAAGUUCUUCGAUCCGAAGUACGCACCCCUUGAUGGACGCUGGAGCUCGCCGGACGCAUAUGCGGAUCUGGCGAAGAGUACGGCUGUUGCUAUGGAGUUAUUCAAAGAUCAGGGUGAAAAGGGGGUGGAGAAGCUUUUUUGGUCGCAGUUCCAUGCUUCCGCUCGCCCGCUGCCGUUAAGUGAUAAAAUGGCUGCUGUGGCGGAGCUUCACCGGCUGUCCGGGCUUGCGAUGCGGUCUGUAAUAGAUCAUCUUUGGCCGAAGGCGCCUAAUACGGACAGCUAUUUUGGUUUAGUGCAACAGUUCUUUGGGGCCGUGCCCCGGAUCGAUGCCAUGAGGAGGUCAGCAUGCAUAGAGGGUGCGUGGAUGGCCCUUGCAUGCGUUAAAGCGUAUUGGACGGAUAUGGAUGCCAGUAUGAUAGCAUCUCAGGAUCCGGUAGGGGGUCAAUAUCCGGCCGGGCACUACUUGGCGCAGGUCACGGAGGGUGCCCGCCUGAUAGAGGCGCAGUGCCCGAAGGAUCUCCUCUUCGAGUGAUGAUUCAAAUUAUUGUAAAAACAUUUUGAUUAAAAGGUUAUAUUUAUAAUUUGUGUCUGAAAAUAUGAUUGUGUCCCCUGUGCUGCCGUUUAUAUAUAUAUAUAUAUAUAUAUAUAUAUACGGUCUAUUCUGCUAAUAUUAGCAGAAUAACUAUUCUGCACACCACUUCGGCACUUCACGCUCAACAGAAGCGCACUGCAUCAUUUUGACGACGAGCACUGCAAUAGAGACUAGUGAACUUCUCGUCGGAAAAAACUGCACGCGUUACUUUUUCGGUACUGUUUUCGCUCUAAUUUAUUAACCGUUUAUCGGAAUGAGGCGCGUAAUAUACCAUUGAAAAGCUAUGGAUUAGGCGCAACUUCGACAUGUUGAACACUUUUCGAGAUUCCACACGGUCUAAGAGCAGUUUUGAAAAUAUUGCGGCGGAUGACGAGUGAUAGCGAGCGUUUUUUGGCGAUUUCGUCUAAACCGCUCGUCGGAAUGAAGCAAAUGAUACGUCCUUGGAUAGAUAUCGUUGAGGCGCAUCUUUUUCAUAUAUAAAUGUUUCUCUAAUUCGUUAUGGUUUAAGAGCAGUUUCAAAUUUACUAAAUCGCGGAACUUUGUUUUUCAAAUUUUUUGAAAUUUUCGGUACUGUUUUCACUCCAGUUUCCUAACCGUUUGUCGGAACGAGACGUAUGAUACGCCGUUGGAAAGCUACGGACAAGGCGCAACUUUCAUAUGUUGAAAUGGUUUUGAGUUUCCUGACGGUUUUUAGUUAAUUUUGAAAAUCAUGCGGCUGACUUCGAGAGGUGGCGGCUGUUUUUUCGCACAAAUUUUAUGAACGGCUGGUCGGAAUGAUUCAAAUCAUACGCCGUUGGAAAGAUAUCGACGAGACGCAACUUUUUUCAUAUAGAACACUCUCUCUAAUUCUUUACGGUUUAAGAGCAGUUUUAAUUUUAUCGAAAAGCGGACACUCUGUUUUUCGCGACACCCAAGUGGACGUGGGUACUUCAUCCGACUGAAAACCGCACUGCAACGGAUGAAAAACCGCACUGCAUCAUACGGGUAAGAGAACUGCAUGGUUUCUUUUAUUCAAGCGUAAUUUUUUCAAGGACGAGAAAAUAUAGUGCACUUCACAUCCGGUGUAAAUGAACCACACCACUAUCAAGAAGUGAACCACAUUACUUUUUUUCGCUUCUGUAAAUUUUUUUUGGAUGAACAAUAUCAUACGGCCGACCGCACUACUUCAGAAUGAAAACUGCACAGCAUCGAACGAGCUGCAUAAUUUCUUUUGUCGGACAUUUUUUUUCUCAUACGAGUUUUUGUUGUCUUUUUUUCACUUUUUUUAUGAACGAGUGGACCGCAGAGACUAGGGCAAGUGAACCACAUCAUAUAUCAAAGUGAACCUCAUUAUUAUCAUUGUUGUUGCGCUAAAUUUUCACACUUUCAUGUUGGGCGCAAAUGAACGACAUCAAAUCUCAAAAGUGAACCACAUCUGAGGACAAAACACAUUGCAAUUGUUGCUGUAGUCAACUUAAAUUUGAGACACACGAAACAAAUUGCACUUCAUAUAGUAGGGGUAAUGAGCUGCUAAACAAAUAGAGUGAAAUCCUUUUAUUAUCUCUUCAAACAAAUUUAUUGAAGACAUGGGUAUUGCACUGCGGAUGACAGACUAGCGAACUGCACCAAAACACUCUCGAGUUUUUGACAACACACAAAGAUCACCGAACACAACAAAAGAAUUGCAAAAUAAGAUGCAUCGGGGGGCUACCGAACUGCACGCUGCUAGCUUGUUGAAUCACACGUACGCCGCCAAUGAGCUGCACGGCGUCGCCAUCCAUACUGCAUCUAGUCCAACACACAACACAACACACACAACUUGACUCAAAAGAAAAAGAACUGCACUUGCGCACUAACUGAGUCGCGCUGGAUCUAGCCCGAGCGAGUACUACGCGCUUUGCAGCCCGCAGUGGCGCACGACGCUGGCGAGCAAAGUAGGCUGUGGCGGCUGAUCCAGACUCCAGCAGACCAAACUCCACACAAACUACUAAAAUCGCCUAUAAAUAGCACGAAGAACUGCACGGCGUCGGAGCCCGCACUGCAUGCCGUCGGUGUCAGCAUGCUGGCCACAGGGGAUGGGGCGCCCCGCGCCCGCAUGUGGUAGAGCAGCCGUGGAGAGUGCUGGGCGGCACGGUAGGGAGCCUAGCCGACGGAUCCGGUGCUGAUGGCCACGCCUGGAGCCCGAGGCGGAUGGAUUCGAUGGGAUCCGUUGGGCGGUGGCCGGGUCGUCGUUGUUGCAGUCCACCUCGUCGCGCAGCGAUACUUCCCUCCCUGCUAGGUGGAGUCAAGGCCCCCAUUAACAGCACCGGCUGGCCUUUCCUUUGCUCAGUUGCCCGGAGCUGCACUUGCCUCCUGCCGCCGAUGUGGGAGAACAUGGGGGAGGGCCAGAGACAUGGAUCCGGCGUGCUGUUUACUGAUCCGGACGCGAGAUGGGUUUCUAGAUUGGAGAAGCUGUCAGGUUGGGGAGGAAUAGUGGGGCGAAGAUGGGAGAACAGAGCCGUCGGGAUCCCGCGCUGGGUGGUGGCGCCCCAGCCCGGGGUCGGAGGAGGGAGGCGAAGGUGCGGGCGGCUGAAUCGGGAUGCAGGGAGGCCACGGUGGGGUGGCGGGGGCGGAUCCACGCCAGCAGCAGCGCGGGGCAUCUAGGUGCGGCGCGUCCCGAUCCACACUAACAGCCGCACGAGGAGCCUUGGGGUGGCGCCGCCGGAUCCACGCCAGUAGCCGCACGGUGACGUCGGAGCUAGAGCUGGAUCUGGCGGAUCCCAGGAUGGACGAAUCGGGGGAGGUGGGAAAGGUGGUGCUCAGGGCAAUGUGGCACUCGGGUAGGGUGUUCAGGCGGGUUACGGGCACGGCGGCCGGCGACGGUGUGGCUUUGGUGCAUGGUAGAAGGUGGUUGCAGGGGGCGGCACGCCGUUGGGUGGGUGGGUGGGCGGUCGUGGGGAGGAGAAAGCAUGACCAGGGAGGAGAUUUGACGUGGGUGGGUGGAGGUGCUCCUUUUUCUGCUUGUGUUGCGGCUCGGUUGACUCGAUCGGGGUGUUAGCAGAAUAAGGAUUUGGUGUGCAGAAUAAGACUCUAGAGAGUGUUAUCAUAAUAGACCCACCCUAUAUAUAUAUAUAUAUAUAUAUAUAUAGAAUCCGAAAGAUAGCAGUCGUUGGCUUCAGCCCGCACGCAUACAAUGCGGGGGUGUUCGCAAAAAAAUGUGCCCGAUCACUCUUUAUCCAACGUCUUGGUCCGGCAAGGAGGUGAUCGCACUUCGAACUAGGCAACCGGACUAUAUAGCUGUAACACUUUUGCUUGGCCGCGGGAUUCUAAUAUUGGGGCUACUAUGUAGCCCCUGGUACCAUCGCGUGCAUCCGAAUACGGGCGCGUAUGUACCUGGCCAGGAAAUGGCCCUUUGUUAAGGCAGAGGAAUCCUAGAGAUUCCGGUGAGUCGUCGAGUGGUUGAUCACUCUCUCGUUGUAUCAUGAAGGUCAGUUUUUGGCUUUCUCUACUGAGGUGCUCAUCCGGAAUAACCAGGGCACAAUCGCAGUAGUUCUCCUUUGGCCAUCUUAGCCGAUUAUGACGGAACAUAAGGCGGCAAACCCAGGAGCCAGGCAAUCCCAACAUUUGACCAAAGACAUGAUUCAGAGCUGAUGCAUAUAAGGCCAAACUCGUGACGCCGAACACUCCCGAAGGUAUUCAGACUUUCUAACAGAUGAUGAGCUCAAGAAUGCCCAAUAAUUAUAAACCCUGUAUGUCCAGGUGCGUGCAUUAAUCUGUCGUGGCAUAAUGCCAAAAAUGGCAGUAUCCUCUGUGGGUAUGGAACCCGUGGGAUGAUGAAACAACAAGAGGCAAUAGAAAAGGUUUACACAGGGGCUUAAUCUAAAAAGAAACCUGUUGGACGGGGCCCUGCUACACGUAUGCACCUUUUUCUCCGUUGUGCCGCGUCCUGGAAGGGUAUCGUGCGAACGUUGUCUGCGGAAAAAGGGGAUCUCAUAGAAGAGUGCAACGUAAGUGUGCGAUGGAUAGUAGAAAAUGUAAAAUGUUGGCCUGCCAAUAAGGUUGAGCCGAGAGUGUGGGGCUUUAUUAUUGGCCCCUGGUGUCCGCUAUAGGAUUACAUAUACAAUUGCCGUGGUUUCAUGUGGGCUGUCAGACUCGUCUAACCGUGUCCGUGGUCUUAACGACCUGGUAUAAUUUUGUUUUAGAGGCCGCUUAUAGUCUGGCCGCUAGGGCCAUCGCGUAUUCCUCUACGCGCGAAAGGCGCUCCGUUGUUCCGCUAACGGUGAUGACGCCGCGUGGACCGGGCAUCUUGAGUGUAAGGUAUCCAUAAUGCGGCAAUGCUUUGAAGCGGGCAAAGGCCGUUCUUCCCAGCAAUGAUUGAUAGCUGCUUUGGAAGGGUGCCAUCAUGAAGACUAGGUCUUCGCUUCUGGAGUUGCCUAGAGAGCCGAAUGUUACCUCCAGUAUGAUGGAGCCCUUGCUAUAGGCUUCAGCGUCCGGUAUCACCCCUUCAAUGGUGGUGCAAAUCUUGCUGAUUCUGGAUGAGUCUAUCCCCAUCCUGUGGACAGUGUCCUCAUAUAUCAAACUGAGACUUCUGCCACUGUCCAUGAGGACAUGAGUGAGAUGGUAUCCAUUGAUUAUUGGGUCAAGCACCAAGGCAUUUGAUCCUGCGCGCCAAAUGCUAGUUUGGCCAUCUAGGUGAUUGAAGGUGAUCGAACAAGACAUCCAAUAGUUAGGUGUGGGUACGAUGGGCUCUAUAUCACGUGCGUCUUUAUGGGUGCAUUCGUGCCUUCCCAAGGAUGUACGAGUUGUGUGGAUCAUGUUCACUGUUUUAACCUCUGGAGGGAAUGUUUUCUGUCCCCCAGUGUUCGGUUGGCGAGGUUCAUCCUCAUCUUCACUUGGUGUUUCCCUGCCCUUGUGUUCGGCGUUUAGUUUGCCGGCCUUCUUGAAGACCCAGCACUCUCUAUGCGUGUGGUUCGCAGGUUUGUCGGGGGUGCCAUGAAUUUGGCAUAGUCUGUCUAGAACUCUGUUCAGACUGGACGGUCCUUCUUUACUGCCUUUAGGUUGCUUAUUUUGCUGAUUAGGCCGAGAGCCCCUGAAUCCGGCAUUAACCAUUGUGUUAUCCGGGAUCUCUUCCUAGUUUUGGCGUUUAUUUUUAUUACACCAUGGCUUCCCGUUGUCGUCCCUUAUUUCGGAUGUGCUGGGGCCGCUGGUGCCUUUGCGGGCGAGCCAGCUAUCUUCUCCCGCGCAAAAACGGGUCAUAAGGCUUGUUAGGGCAGCCAUUGUCCUUGGUUUUUCUUGGCCGAGGUGUCUGGCGAGCCACUCUUCACGGAUGCUGUGUUUGAAUGCUGCUAAGGCUUCGGCAUCCGGACAGUCAACAAUUUGAUUCUUCUUAGUGAGGAAUCUGUUCCAAAACAUGCGGGCAGACUCUCCGGGUUGUUGUAUUAUGUGACUUAAAUCGUCAGCAUCUGGAGGCCGGACAUAAGUCCCUUGAAAAUUGGCCCUGAAAGCGUCCUCUAGUUCUUCCCAGCUCCCGAUUGAAUUUUCGGGGAGGCUUUUCAACCAGUGUCGAGCUGGUCCCUUUAAUUUGAGGGGAAGGUAUUUGAUGGCGUGGAGGUCAUCCCCACGAGCCAUGUGUAUGUGCAGGAUAAAGUCCUCGAUCCAGACCCCUGGGUCUGUCGUUCCGUCGUAUGCCUCUAUGUUCACAGGUUUAAAGCCCUGUGGGAAUUCAUGGUCCAGCACUUCAUCCGUAAAGCAUAGGGGGUGAGCAGCCCCUCUGUAUCUGGACGCGCUAUGGCAUGCCGUCGGCUGCUGUUGUGUUCGGUGUUUACUCCGAACUGGUGUUUGGUGGUCAUAAUUGUUUUGACGACCACAGUCCCUCGCCGGGGUGUCUCCUUUAGAUCCGUAGAUGGACCUAGCUGCGCCAGCUUUCUUCUCCAGGUGCUCACGUAGAUCGUGGGUGUCUCCGGCAGCUGAAUUAUUGCAGCUAUGAGGUGGUACUCCUGGUUUCCUAUUCGUGUUGUUCUUCAGUGGAACGGCUUCGUCGUCGAAUUCUGGCAGUAGCUUGCGUUUUGGGUAGCUCUUUGUAUGGCGAUCGUUGCCAUAUCUUUCUUCAGUGUCUAGCACUUUAUUCCAUCCGUGAUUGAUCAUUUCCUGUGCGGCUUUAAGCCGUUGCUUCUGCUUCUUCAGGCUUCUCGCUGUGGCCAUAAGCUUUCUAUGGAGGUUCUCUCGUUCCACGCGUUCUUCCGGGACGAUGAAUGCGUCGUCAUCCGGACUGUCUUCUUGUCCUGAGCCGGAUUGGUGAACUCGUCCCUCUGGAUCGUUUUCUUCGGGCGUAUGACCCGGACUAUGUUCGGCAUGACCUAGUUCGUCCUGCUCCAUCGCUAGUUCUGUUUGGUCGUUAUUGCCAUCGGGGUUGACCGGAGUAUCCAUUCUUCUGGCGCUCUUGCUGAUAUUGUUACUGUUGCCGGAUUUGGAACGGCAUCUGCGCCGUCGCUUUGGUUUUUUCCCAGGGAUGUUAUCUUCUGUAUUGCCACCGUUGCCUUCCUUGGGCGUAUCCACCAUGUAUAUGUUGUGUGGCGAGGCGCGAAUCCAGCACCUCGUAGAUUCUGAGUCCUCUCCUGCAUCGUCGUCCAUACCGUCGAUGCCUUCGGAGUUGAAGUCCAGCACAUCAGUUAAAUCAUCAACCGUGGCUAUGAAGUGGGUGGUGGGUGGGCAACGAAUGUCUUCAUCACCUGCUUCCCACUUGAGCCGGACAUAGUUCGGCCCGAGAUUCUCUGUCAAAGAGAGAGUUUUGAAUGAGUUUAGUAUGUCGCCGAAGGGCGAGUGCUGAAAGAUGUUCGCCGCGGUGAACUUCAUCACCGGAGCCCAACCGAGAUCGGCGGGCCCGGGGACGUAUGGAAUGGAGCCUACAACCGGACACGGGUACAGGGGCCCGGGGUCACCGGUUUCAUCAAAAGUGAGGCCUGUGUUCGGCUCCAUCGCCGAUGUGGGUACAGCCUGCGGGAAGGGGUCCAGCCCUCUGUCUUUAGGCAACACAACCUAUCCCGGAUUUAGGUCUGGGGCUUCUGCUCGGAUGAUAUCCCAAGCAACGUCUGACAGCAGGUCUAAGCCAUGCUCAUCAUGACUGUUCGGCGCUUCUGGCGUUGGCUCGAAUCUGUGGUUCAGGUUUCCGAACCCGAUUUGAGGGCCAGGGGCAUAGCUAUCAAUCUGCUCCGAGUGGCCAAGUGAAUUGGCCCGCAGCGCGAAGCCGCCGAACAGGAAGAUCUGUCCGGGGAGGAAAGUCUCACCCUGGGUGGCGUCGUUAAUGACGAUCGAAGGAGCCAUCGAGCCUGACGGCGACGUCACAGAGGCACUCUCAAUGAAAGCACCAAUGUCGGUGUCAAAACCGGCGGAUCUUGGGUAGGGGGUCCCGAUCUGUGCGUCAAGGCUGAUGGUAACAAGAAGUAAGGGACACAGAUGUUUACCCAGGUUCGGGCCCUCUCGAUGGAGGUAAAACCCUACUUCCUACUUGAUUAAUAUUGAUGAUAUGGGUAGUAAAAGAGUAGAUCUACCACGAGAUCGUAGAGGCUAAACCCUAGGAGCUAGCCUAUGAUGGUAUGAAUGUAAUUGUGAUCAGCCUUCUAAGGACCAACCUCUCCGGUUUAUAUAGACACUGGAGAGGGCUAGGGUUUACAUGGAGUCGGUUACAAGCAAGGAAAUAUAAUAUCCGGAUCGCGAAGAUUGCCUUCCACACCAAGGAAAGUCCCAUACGGACAUGGGCCGAAGUCUUGAGUCUUGUAUUCACGCUUCAAUAGUCCGGACGUUGUACACAGUCCGGCUGUCCAGAUACCCCCUUAUCCAGGACUCCCUCAGCAUGACAAGACAAAUAGCAUCUUCAGUUCAGCAACAGGUUGUACAGACAGUAUGAGAAGCACCAGAAAGUAAAAACAGUGAUCAAAAGCCAAAUUAGUUGCUUGACAUAAUCUGGGAAAGUUAAACAGAUCAAAAUGUGAAGCUAACAUAUGAAGCCGGCAACAGAUCAAAUUACAGUAGUUGCAGCUACACCCAAACUAGAGCAGUUACAGAAUCAUCACAUAUGUAGUUGACAAGAGGAAGAAGCGAAAGAUCGAGGAAAUUGUCUCACCAGCAGCAACAGCGGGCAACGGGCGAAGUUGAGUAGGGUUAGCGGCAGGAGCUGCUCACGAAAGUGGUUGGGGAAGACAGCCGGCAGCAUCAGGUCCGUCGCAUCAUGUGAAUCCAUCCAUUAGCAGAAAUCAUAAUUAAAUCAUCAUCGUUGAGAUGGCAGAAUGGGCGUGCAAAUAAAUUAUUUAUAGGAUAUACAAAGCAACUACAUGUUGACAUAAUUGGAUUGUAUGCAUGGCGGAUUUGUAAUACGAAGUGUGAGUGCUGCUAGUAAAUAAAGAAAUUAUCUAGUUAGGACAGAAAGCACAUCUUAAGAAAUUUGAGGCCCUGUUCAGAGCUGGGAAACAGAUGCUCCCCAGCUCCUCGUAUUUUUAGGAGCUCCAGUGACUCCAAACAGGGCCUGAAUAUCAUCUUACUGUUAUAACUGUGUGUUUGUAAACCACAGGGCAGGCACCUAUCAUUUUGCACAUACACACACCAACAGAAACAAAACAAGCAGAUUGGAAGGCUUGCUGCACAUCCUGUGCAGGGGCAUCACCGUAAACAAAAUUGUAGACUAACUAGGUUGGUGCUAUUCUGUAGCAAACAAAAUAGUUAGAUCCAUACAAAGUAAAGUAAUUAGGCAACCUUGAGGAACCCAAAACCAUGGCUGCUAGAUCGAAUGAAACAAGGAGGGGAGAGGGGGCGGAGGGGAGUUGGGGUCACCUUCACCUUGGGUGGCUGGACGACGGCGUCGUGGAUUUUGAGCUCCAGGUGGAAGAAGCACUUAACGACGACGACCGUUGUGGCUGGGUGCUCCCCUCCUGCUCCUCUUCCUCGAGGAGGACAAGGCCAGCAACUACAAGAAAUAAUAAACAUGUUAAAAGGACAAUACUUUUUAAUAUAAGAUGUAAUAAUAACAUGUUUCCAUUGAACUGACUAUUGAUAAAACUGAAGGGGAAGAAGACUUGUUGUCAUCCAGAUGAUUAAAAUGGAAUAAUACAUUUCAGAGGACACGUGAGCAAUCAUGAAAACUAUUACAUGUUUCUCCUGGUGUAUUGAGAAUGGAGAAGCGCUUAAUUCAGAGAAACUUAUAGAAACCUAUAGCAAUGGUUUCUGGUCAAUGGAUAUAUAGGAACAUUAGAGAGCAUCAAAUUUCAAAAUCAACACCAUAUGUAUUACACUGACUCGUAUAAUACUACUUGUUCAUGUACUUGUACUAGUGCAGGAUUACUCAUUGUCCUACUACUGCCUAUUCCAGUUUCUUUCAAGUUGGGAAAUAACUGAAACUACUCAUCAUUCAUGAACAUACAUCUGUAAUAUUAAUCUAUGAAAUUACCGUAGGAAGAACUACUGUAAUGGACCAUUCAUCAACAUACAUCUAUAAUCUUAAUCUUUUGAUCUUGUGUUGGAAAGAAAGAACUACUGCAGAUUCAUAGUACAACGAAGGAACUGUUGUUGAACUGAAAAUACUGCAGAACCAACACCAAACAGCUAUUGCAGACAACACUGACAAAGAAGGAGAUCGGGGUUGCCCUCGCACUGCGCUAGUGUGUAGACCGGGGUUCAGCAAUAGGAAACAACUGAAUAUGACAUAAGGAUGCAACAAAACUAACAUGACAGGGUAACAUGGCAUUCAGCUACCCCAGACCAUCUAGAGCCAAAAAUCCGGGGCAUUUCCCACUCCCAAAUCGAUGCAUCCUCCAACUUAAAAGGAUGCAAACACUUGACGGUAACUCCAUCCUAGCUAUGUAAUUCAAGUUCAGCAACAGAAAACAAAACCGCUAGAUAUGACAGUAGGAUGCAACAAAAUUAACAUGACACGGCACGGGGACGAAAUAAACAAGUUCUAACUGAGAUGCACAAAUAAGUCUACUGCCUCAACCCAUCUGAACCCCGAAUCCUAGUACCAGCAAUUCAAUCGAGUAGAGAGGAGGAGAGGACGAGCUCACCCGCAGCAAGAGUAAGAUCCAUGGCUGAUGCAUCCCGAGCAGCAGCCAUGGUCGAGCACUCCCUCCCUAGGCGCCAUCCAUCCUUGUUGUCCAGUCUAUCUACAAUCCAUCCUUCCUCCUGCAUACCUACAAUCGAAGAACAGAGCAGAGUUAGAGAGAGAGAGAGGAGGAGAGAAAGAGGAGGGGAUGGAGUCACUAGAGGAGAGCUCGAGUACCCCAUGGCCACCGGGCAGAAUAGCACCAUCCAGGGGCUAAGCCACGUAUGAGGGCGCGACAGAUGCCGGGGAGGAGCCGCCAAAGUCGCCGGAGCCGUGCUGACGAUGGAGGCGCUGCCGCUCGCGAAACCCUAGCCACGGGGCGGGCUACGGGUGAGCGUUUGAGGCUGGGGGAGGCAAAUCCCGCCGGGGUGAAGACCCAGCGGAGAGAGACGAGCUCGUGUUGUGCCGCGCGGUGGAGAGAGCCACCGGAGAUCGCCAGAAUCGUUCGACAUCUCUAGCAGCGCAGAUGUGUCCCAGGAGAGAGGGGUCGCUGGAGAGGGCUCUGCUUGAGGUGGGAGGUAAGCACAGAGGAGAGGAGGUGGGGGAUCCGCUUGAGGUGCAAGGUACAGAGGCGCGGUUUGGGAGGGACGGCGGGUGGGUGGCGGUGGCGAUGCGGGAGACGAGGGGAGAUGUGGGAGACGAGGGGAGAUGGGGACGAGGGGUGCGAUAGGGGGGAUCUGAGCUAGGGUUUGGGCUGCGGGUAGGGUAUCUCUCUUUAUUUUUCUUUUGUUUUUUCUGUAAAUAGAUGAAUGUAUGGUUGUGGGAUGGAGACAUUGAUGGAUGGAUGGGCGCCAUGUCAUCGAUCCGUGGGAAGAGUUCUGUUUGGUUCAGAAAAUCAGUGAUUUAAAAUUGUUUCCAAGUGCUAAAGUUAGAGUUAUUUUGUGAAGCAGCUAUCAACAAUAUUUUGCAAAAGGGCAUCACACAAAUUUUCACUCAAGUUAGACCACAUUUUAUGGAUGAGCACCAAUUUGUAUGCAUUUAUGAUCUUUCUAGCUAUUUUUAAUCAUUUUUCGAGUGCCCGGAAUGAGGUUUUUUUGUGAAGAACCUACCAAAUAAUUAUUGCAAAAUUGGACCAAAUCAUUUUUCUAAAAUACUAGUCCAUAUUUAAUGCACAAUUGACCAAAUGGUUGGGUGUAAAAAGUUUUUAUGCUCGGCUUCUUCACGGUUGGUGUUAUGAUCUUCUUGCCGAUGAUGCCCUUCAGGAUACGGUUCUCCUCCUUGAGCUUAUUGACUUGUUGUUUGAAAUCCAUAAUUUCUUUACGGAGCUUGCCCGUAACGGCCAAAGCUCCUUUUACCCAAGGAUGUUGCAUAGCUUCUGGAGAACAAGUGAAACUCUUUUUCAUAUUUUCAUAAGAAAGAAAUCUAGAGUUGGAAGGGAUGACCGAAGUAGGGACAACCAGGCUAGGUAGUUCCCUCAUAGUGAAUUCUGCUCGGAGACGAGAGGUAACUUCUUGAUCCUCCUCCAUGGCAUCUAUUCUUUUCAAAUCAGCCUCCAUCUCAUCCUCCGUUGAUGGUCCAAAGUGAUAGGCAUUGCUAUUUGCUUCGGGACCCUGCGUUGGGUGAGACACCCGACUCUCCCCGACUUAUUCCUAAGAAGGCAUCUUGCUUUAUUCUGCAAAAGGAACAACUCGAAACAAAAACAGAGGAUAUUUGCGUGAUAAAGUGGUCAAAACUUCGGGAGUAUAUAUAAUGAAUUUUUACCGACCAAAAUACGUAACGUGCAAGAAAACGUAGUCCGGGAGGCACACGAGGUGCCCACGAGACAGGGGGGCGCGCCCUCCACUCUCGUGGGAGCCUCGUGUCCCUUUCGGACUACUUCUUUCUUCCUUAAAUUCUUAAAUAAUCCAGAACUGAUAAAAAUUGCCAUUAGAGUUGUUUUGGAGUCGGUUUACUUACCGUACCACAUACCUAUACCUUUUCGGAGUCUGGAACAUUCUGGAAAGUGUCCCUUAUGUAUUCCUCAGGGGUUACAGUUUCAAUAAUAUUAGUUUCAACAUUGAUGGGAUUACCUGAAAUAUAAUGUUUAAUUCUUUGACCGUUUACCACCCUCGGAUUUGUGCCUUCGAAGUUGUUGAUUUUUAUAUCACCAGAACAAUAGACCUCCUCGAUAACGUAGGGACCUUCCCAUUUUGAGAGAAGUUUUCCUGCAAAAAAUCUUAAAUGAGAGUUGAAUAAUAACACAUAAUCUCCUACGUUAAACUCACGCUUUUGUAUCCUCUUAUCAUGCCAGCGUUUGACUUUUUCUUUGAAAAGCUUGGCAUUCUCAUAGGCUUGGUUUCUCCAUUCAUCAGGUGAGCUAAUAUCAAACAACCUCUUCUCACCGGCAAGUUUGAAGUCAUAAUUGAUCUCUUUGAUAGCCUAAUAUGCCUUAUGUUCAAGUUCAAGAGGUAAAUGACACGCUUUUCCAUAAACCAUCUUAUAUGGAGACAUACCCAUAGGAUUUUUGUAUGCAGUUCUAUAGGCCCAUAAUGCAUCAUCAAGUUUUUUGGACCAAUUCUUUCUACAUCUAUUCACAGUCUUUUGCAAAAUUAAUUUGAGCUCUCUAUUGCUCAACUCUACUUGACCACUAGACUGCAGAUGAUAAGGAGAUGCUAUUCUAUGAUUGACAUCAUACUUAGCAAGCAUCUUACGGAAAGCACCAUGAAUAAAAUGUGAACCACCAUCAGUCAUAAGAUAUCUAGGGACUCCAAACCUUGAAAAAAUAACUUCUUUAGGCAUUUUAAUAGAAGUGUUAUGAUCAGCACUACUAGUUGGAAUAGCUUCUACCCACUUAGUAACGUAAUCAACAACAACUAAAAUAUGUGUAUAACCAUUAGAGGCAGGAAAAGGUCCCAUAUAAUCAAAGCCCCAAACAUCAAAAGGUUCAAUAACAAGGGAAUAAUUCAUAGGCAUUUCUUGACGUCUACUAAUGUUACCUAUUCUUUGACAUUCAUCACAAGAUAAGACAAACUUACGAGCUUCUUUGAAGAGAGUAGGCCAAUAAACAGCAGAUUGUAGUACCUUGUGUGCAGUUCUAUCUCCAGCGUGGUGUCCUCCAUAAGAUUCAGAGUGACACUUACAUAGAAUCUAUUCCUGUUCAUGCUCAGGCACACAACAUCAAAUAACACCAUCUACUCCUUCUUUAUAAAGGUGUGGAUCAUCCCAGAAGUAAUGUCUUAAAGCAUAAAAGAACUUUUUCUUUUGCUGGUAUGUGAAACUACACGGUAUAUAUUUAGUAACAAUGUAAUUAGCAUAAUCAGCAUACAAAGGAGCAGUACGAGAAGCAUUGACGACCGCUAAUUGUUCAUCAGGAAAGCUAUCAUUAAUAGGUAGUGGGUCAUCAAGAACAUUCUCUAACCUAGACAAGUUGUCUGCAACGGGGUUCUCAGCUCCCUUUCUAUCAAUAAUAUGCAAGUCAAAUUCUUAGAGCAAGAGAACCCAUCUAAUGAGUCUAGGUUAGCAUCUUUCUUUUCCAUAAGAUAUUUAAUAGCAGCAUGAUCAGUGUGAAUAGUAACUUUGGAAUCAAUAAUAUAAGGUCUAAACUUAUCACAUGCAAACACAACUGCUAAGAACUCUUUUUCAUUACUAGCAUAAUUUCUCUGGGCAGUAUCAAGAAUCUUACUAGCAUACUGGAUAACAUUCAAUUUCUUAUCGACUCUUUGCCCUAAAACAACACCUAUAGCAUAAUCACUAGCAUCGCACAUAAUUUCAAAAGGUAAAUUCCAAUCAGGCGGCUGAACAAUAGGUGCAGCGAUCAAAGCUUUCUUAAGUACUUCAAAUGCUUCUACACAAUCAUCGUCAAAGACAAAAGGAAUAUCUUUUUGCAAUAAAUUAGUCUGAGGCCUAGAAAUUUUAGAAAAGUCCUUAAUGAACCUCCUAUAAAAACCGGCGUGACCAAGGAAACUUCUUAUACCUUUUAUGUCCUUGGGACAUGUCAUCUUUUCAAUAGCAUCAACUUUGGCUUUACCAACUUCAAUACCUCUCUCGGAGAUCUUGUGCCCCAAGACAAUGCCUUCAUUAACCAUAAAGUGACACUUUUCCCAAUUCAAGACGAGAUUAGUGUCUUCGCAUCUCUACAAAACUCGAUCAAGGUUGCUCAAACAAUCAUCAAAAGAGGAUCCAUAGACUGAGAAGUCACCCAUGAAUACCUCACAAAUCUUUUCACAAAAAUCAGAGAAUAUAGCCAUCAUGCAUCUUUGAAAGGUAGCAGGUGCAUUACAUAAACCAAAAGGCAUACGUCUAUAAGCAAAAGUACCAGAAGGGCAAGUAAAAGUAGUUUUAGAUUGAUCCUUCGCUGACACAGGUAUUUGAGAGAAGCCCAGAAUAACCAUCUAGGAAGCAGAAAUGUGUGUGUUUGUAUAGUCUUUCUAGCAUUUGAUCAAUAAAAGUUAAAGGGUAAUGAUCUUUCUUAGUAGCUUUAUUUAACUUACGGAAAUCAAUUACCAUCCUAUAACCUGUAAUAAUUCUUUGCGGGACCAAUUCAUCUUUAUCAUUAGGAACAACGGUAAUACCUUACUUUUUAGGGACACAAUGGACAGGGCUUACCCAUUCGCUAUCAGCAACGUGAUAAAUAAUACCUGCCUCAAGGAGCUUUAGUAUCUCCUUUCUUACCACUUCUUUCAUCUUGGGAUUUAAUCGUCUUUGACGAUCUCUAACUGGUUUGGCAUCUUUCUCCACUGAAAUUUUGUGUUGGCAUAAUGUGGGACUAAUGCCCUUAAGAUCAUCCAAAGUAUAUCCAAUAGCUGCUUGGUGCUUCUUCAUAGUUUUCAAUAAUCUUUCUUCUUCUUUCUCUGAAAGGUUAGCACUAAUAAUAACAUGAUAUAUUUCUUUUUCAUCAAGAUAAGCAUACUUAAGAUUAUCAGUUAAGGGUUUAAGUUCAAACACGGGAUCACCCUUGGGUGGAGGGGGAUCCCCAAGAAUUUCAACAGGAAGGUUAUGUUUCACCAUAGGUUCCUGUUUAAGGAACACUUCAUCUAUUUCCUCCCUUUCCUUCAUAAACAUGUCUUUUUCAUGGUCUAGCAAAUAUUGUUCUAACGAAUCAGUUGGAGGAACAUCAAUGGAAGCAAGACCAAUAAUUUCAUCCUUACUGGUGGUUCCCUAUCACGAGGUUGUCUACUAAACUUAGCAAAAUUAAACUCACGAGACAUACCAUCUAUGCCAACAGUGAGAAUAUUCUUUUCACAAUUAAUCUUAGCACUAUCAAUAUUCAAGAAGGGUCUACCAAAAAUAAUGGGACAAAAAUCAUCUUGUGGGGAACCAAGAACAAGAAAAUCAGCAGGGUAUGUAACCUUCCCACACAAAACUUCAACAUCUCUAACAAUCCCAAAGGGUUUAAUGGUAUCCCUAUUAGCAAGCUUAAUAGUAACAUCAAUGUCUUCUAAUUUAAUGGGUGCAAUGUCAUGCAUAAUUUCUUGAUAUAAAGUAUAAGGUAUUGCACUAGCACUAGCACCCAUAUCACAUAAGCCAUGAUAACAAUGAUCUCCUAUUUUAACAGAAAUAACAGGCAUGCCUACGACAGGUCUACGUGUCUUAAUAUCAGGUCUAGCAAUAUUGCCAGUCUCGCCAUAGAAAGAAAUAACAUGCCCAUCUAAAUCCUCAUCCAAGAGAUCUUUAACCAUAGCAAUAUAGGUUCAACAUUAAUUUUCUCAGGAGGUGUAUAAGUCCUAGUAUUACUCUUACGAACAAUAGUCGAAGCUUUAGCAUGAUCUUUUAUACUAAUAGGAAAAGGAGGUUUUUCAACAUAAGCAGUAGGAACAAUAGGAUCACUAUAGGUAAUAGUCUUUUCUUCGACUGUAAUAGGUGCAACUACUUUCAGUUCAACGGGAGGAUUAUAUUUAAACCACUUUUCUUUAGGGAGAUCAACGUGAGUAGCAAAAGAUUCACAGAAAGAAGCUACUAUCUCAGAGUCAAGUCCAUACUUAGCGCUAAAUCCACGAAAAGCAUCGGUAUCCAUAAAAAGAUUUAACACAAUCGAACUUAGGUGUCAUACCUGACUCCUUACCAUCGUCGGAACCCCAAUCUUCAGAGUUGCAUUUAAUUCUUUCCAAUAAGUCCCAUUUGAAAUCAAUAGUCUUCAGCAUAUAAGAACCAGCACAGGAAGUAUCGAGCAGGUUGCGAUUAUCAAGAGAAAGCCGAGCAUAAAAAUUCUGAAUAAUCAUUUCCCGAGAGAGCUCAUGAUUGGGGCAUGAAUAUAACAUUGACUUAAGCCUCCCCCAAGCUUGAGCGAUGCUUUCUCGUUCGCGAGGCAAGAAAUUAUAUAUGUAAUUACGAUCACAAUGAACAAGAUGCAUAGGAUAGAACUUCUGGUGAAAUUCCAACUUCAAUCGCUUAUAAUUCCAAGAUCUCGUGUCAUCACGUAGCCUAUACCAUGUCAAUGCAUCUCCCUUAAAAGAUAAAGGGAGGGCCUUCCUUUUGACAACAUCAUCGGGAAUACCUGCAAGCUUAAAUAAUCCACAAACUUCAUCCACAAAGAUAAGGUGUAAAUCGGGAUGCAAUGUUCCAUCUCCUGCAAAUGGAUUAGCUAGCAGUAUCUCUAUCAUACCCGAAGGAAUCUCAAAGUAAAUAUUUUCAUAAAGUUCAGUAGGUUGAGGAGAAACUCUUUGCUCUUCUGGUUGGGGUGAAGAUACCCCAAACAAGCCCCUCAAAGGAUUAGUUUCCAAGGUGACAAGUAACAGAAAAUUUCAGCACACUAUAUAAAUGUUUCCUUACCAAGUUCCACUCACCAAAAGCGCUACACUCCCCGGCAACGGCGCCAGAAAAGAGUCUUGAUGACCCACAAGUGUUGGGGAUCUAUCGUAGUCGUUUCGAUAAGUAAGAGUGUCAAACCCAACGAGCAGCAGAAGGAAAUGAUAAGCGGUUUUCAGUAAGGUUUUCUCUGCAAGCACUGAAAUUGUAGAUGAUAGAUAGUUUUGUGAUAAGAUAAAUAGUAACGAGUAACAAGUAAAUAAAGUAAACAAAGUGCAGCAAGGUGGACCAAUCCUUUAAGUAGCAAAGGAUAAGCCUGGACAAUUUCUAAUAAUGAUAAAGGAGCUCCCGAGGACACAUUGGGAAUUAGCGUCAAGCUAGUUUUCAUCACGUUCAUAUGAUUCGCAUUCGGUACUUUGAUAAUUUGAUAUGUGGGUGGACAGGUACUUGGGUACUUCCCUAACUUGGACAAGCAUCCCACUUAUGAUUAACCCCUAUUGCAAGCGUCCGCAACUACAAAAGAAGUAUUAAGGUAAACCUAACCACAACAUUAAACAUAUGGAUCCAUAUCAGUCCCUAACGAAGCAACGCAUAAACUAGGGUUUAAGCUUCUAUCACUCUAGCAACCCAUCAUCUACUUAUUACUUCCCCAUGCCUUCCUCUAGGCCCAAAUAAUGGUGAAGUGUCAUGUAGUCGACGUUCACAUAACACCACUAGAGGAAAAGACAACAUACAUCUCAUCAAAAUAUCGAACGAAUACCAAAUUCACAUGACUACUAAUAGCAAGACUUCACCCAUGUCCUCAGGAACAAACGUAACUGCUCACAAAGCAUAUUCAUGUUCAUAAUCAGAGGAGUAAUAAUAUGCAUAAAGGAUCUGAACAUAUGAUCUUCCACCAAGUAAACCAAUUAGCAUCAACUACAAGGAGUAAUCAACACGACUAGCAACCCACAGGUACCAAUUUGUGGUUUUGAUACAAUAUUGGAUACAAGAGAUGAACUAGGGUUUUGAGAGGAGAUUGUGCUGGUGAAGAUGUUGAUGGAGAUUGACCCCCUCUCGAUGAGAGGAUCGUUGGUGAUGACGUUGGUGAUGAUUUCCCCCUCCCGGAGGGAAGUGUCGCCGGCAGAACAGCUCCGCCGGAGCCCUAGCUAGAUUGAUUCCGCCAAGGUUCCGCCUCGUGGCGGCGGAGUUUCGUCCCCUAAGCUUGCCCACGAUUUUUUCCAGGGUAAAAGUGAUGAUAUAGAAGAAGAUGGACACCGGAGGCCCACCUGGGGGCUCAGGAGAUAGGGGGGCGCGCCCUAUAGGGGGGGCGCGCCCUAUAGGGGGGGCGCCCCUGUCUUCUGGACAGGGUGUGGGUCCCCUGGUGUAUUUCUUUCGCUAAAAAAUUCUUAUUAAUUCCAAAAAGUUGUUUCGUGGAGUCUCAGGACUUUUGGAGCUGUGCAGGAUAGGUUUCCAAUGUUUGGUCCUUUUCCAGCCAGAAUUCCAGCUGCCGGCAUUCCCCCUCUUCAUGGUAAACCUUGUAAAAUAAGAGGGAAUAGCCAUAAGUAUUGAGAUAUAAUGUGUAAUAACAUCCCAUAAUGCAAUAAAUAUUGAUAUAAAAGCAUGGUGCAAAAUGGACGUAUCAACUGCCACGUGUCCUCUUUGCCGUCUGCUAGCGGACGGCAAAGCUCUUUGCCUUUGGCUAGCAGACGACAAAGAGGCUAUACAUCCCCUGUUUUUAUUUAAAUCCAAUUAAUUAGACAUGGUUUCAAACACAAAUAUACAUGCAUACAUAUCCAACAGCAUGUCCAACAACAUAUUUGAUCAAAUCCAACAACAUAGUUCAACAAAGUCCAACAUAUCCAUAUAUACAUAACCGCAAACAAGUUUCCAACAACAUAUACAUAUAGACAUACAUAUCAAAACAAGUUUUCAUAAACAACAAGGAAGCACCAGAAGAAUAGUACACUCCAUGAAUCCAAGCCUUCAUGUAAAGCAAAUCUGCAAAUUGGGAAAGAUGAAAGUCAGAAGAAGAAGAAGAAGAAGAAGACUAGUUAGAAGAAGAAGAAGAAGACUAGUUAGAAGAAGAAGAAGAAGAAGAAGAAGAAGAAGAGGAAGAAGAAGAAGCAGCAGCAGCAGCAACAGCAGAAGAAGAAGAAGAAGAAGAAGAAGAAGAAGAAGAAUUUUUCUUCUCUUUCUUUUUCUCCUCUCCUCUUCAUUAUCUUCUUCUUCUAAGUAAGGUAAGUAAAAAUGCCACUUUAUUGCUAAGCUAGGUAAAAAUGCUAAGUGUAGGUCAUUUUAGAGAUAAGCUAGGUAAAUAGGUCAUUUUCGAGCUUAGUAAGGUUAUUAUGUCAUUUUCGGGGAAAAUAAGCUAAGUAUAUAUCAUUUUGGACGUAACAAAGAUUAUCAUGCCAUUUUGACCUAAGUAUGCUAAGUAUGUCAUAAAUGAACUGAAUAAGCUAAGUAUAGCUCAUUUUUUUUAUCUAACUUAGGUAAUUAUGCCAUUUAGUAGGAAAAUAAGCUAAGUAUCCAUUUGUAAAGCAAAACAUUAGAGAAAACUUACCCUCAUCACAACAAAUAUGAUGAAGAUCGUAACUAAGGUAACAAUUGAUCCAACGACAUAAUGAUACCAAGCCUCAUUAUCAUUGGCAUAUUUUCUAAUCUUCUUAAGCUUCAGGAGCAUUGCAUCCAUCUUCAAGCGCAUUGCAUUCAUCUUCAUCUUGUGAUCAUCGAUGACAUCGGCAACAUACAACUCCAAUGUCAUCUUCUCUUCUUCAAUUCUUUAAAUUUUUUCUUUCAAAUACUCAUUUUCUUUUUCAACUAAAAUUAACUUCUCGACUGAUAUGUCUCCAACGUAUCUAUAAUUUAUGAAGUAUUCAUGCUAUUAUAUUAUCCAUUGUAGAUGUUUUAUAUGCAUUUACAUGCUAUUUUAUAUGAUUUUUGGGACUAACCUAUUAACCUAGAGCCCAAUGUCAGUUUCUGUUUUCUCCUUGUUUUUGAGUUCUACAGAAAAUGGAUACCAAACAGAGUCCAAUUGACGUGCCAAUUUUUGAUGAUCUUUUGUGGACCAGAAGAAGCCCCUGGAGUGCAAGAGUUGGGCCAGAAGAGUCCUAGGCUACCCAUGAGGGUGGGGGGCCACGCCCACCCCCCUCAUGGACAGCCUAGAGACCCCCCUGAUGUGAAAUCAACGCCAACCUCUCCUAUAAUAUAGAAACCUUUGGGAAAUAACCUAGAUCGGAAGUUCCGCCAUCGCAAGCCUCUAUAUCCACGAGAAAUCAAUCUAGGCCCUCUCUGGCACCCUGCCGAAGGGGGCCAUCAUCACCGGAGGCCAUGGAGGAGGAUCCUGGAGGGGCCAUCAUUGCCAUGAAGGCCAAGGACCAGCGGGAGAACCUCUCCCCAUCCAGGGGGGAGGCCAUGGAGGAGGAAGCACAAGGGGGAGGACCUCUUCUCCUCUCUCUCUCGGUGGCGCCAGAGUGCCAUCGGAAGGGGAAUCAUCGCCACGGUGAUCGUCUUCAUCAACAUCACCAUCCUCAUCUCUUUUACACGGUCCUCUCUCCCGCACCACGCUGUAAUCCCCACUUGAACAUGGUGCUUUGUGCCACAUAUUAUGAUCUAAUGAUGUGUUGCCAUCCUAUGAUGUUUUGACUAGAUAUCUUUUGUCUUUGGGUUUAUUGAUGAUCUAGAUUGGUACGAGUUGUAUGUUUUGUUGGAAAUAUGCCCUAGAGGCAAUAAUAAAAGUAUUAUUAUAUUUCAUUAUUCAUGAUAAUUGUCUUUUAUUCAUGCUAUAACUGUAUUAUCCGGAAAUCGUAAUACACGUGUGAAUACAUAGACCACAAUAUGUCCCUAGUGAGCCUCUAGUUGACUAGCCCGUUGUGAUCAACAGAUAGUCAUGGUUUCCUGGCUAUGGACAUUGGAUGUCGUUGAUAACGGGAUCACAUCAUUAGGAGAAUGAUGUGAUGGACAAGACCCAAUCCUAAGCAUAGCAUAAGAUCGUGUAGUUCGUUUGCUAGAGCUUUUUCAAUGUCAAGUAUCUCUUCCUUAGACCAUGAGAUCGUGUAACUCCCGGAUACCGUAAGAGUGCUUUGGGUGUACCAAACGUCACAACGUAACUGGGUGACUAUAAAGGUGCACUAUAGGUAUCUCCGAAAGUGUCUGUUGGGUUGACACGGAUCGAGACUGGGAUUUGUCACUCCGUAUGACGGAGAGGUAUCUCUGGGCCCACUCGGUAAUGCAUCAUCAUAAUGAGCUCAAUGUGUCCAAGUGGUUGGUCACGGGAUCAUGCAUUACGGUACGAGUAAAGUGACUUGCCUGUAACGAGACUGAACAAGGUAUUGGGAUACCGACGAUCGAGUCUCGGGCAAGUAACGUACCGAUCACUACUAGGAAAAGGGCUAUAGAUGGAAAUGACACUAAUAGCGCACCAGACAUGUGGUGCGCCAUUAUUAUAUACUAAUGGCGCACCACCUCCUGAUGCGCCAUUAGUGUUGAAACUACUAAUGGCGCACCCUGCCCACGGUGCGCCAUUAGUAGCAAUUUUUUUUUGAACUAGUGCGCCUGUCCAAACAUACUAAUGGCGCAUCCACUGGUGGUGUGCCAUUACUAGUUGUAACUAGUAAUGGCGCACCAGCCAGGAGGUGCGCCACUAAUGUUAAUUUUUUUAUUAAUUUUUUCUUCCUUUUUUUGCAAAAGUACUAAUGGCGCACCACCAGGGGGUGCGCCAUUAGUAACCUGGAUUACUAAUGGCGCAUUUGUUGCUGGUGCGCCAUUAGUAAGUGGGCAGCAACAAGAUAUUUUGGACAGCCUCUCCUCCCACACUCACUUUCUCCCCACUUCAUUCUCUCCACCGCCUCCUCCUUGUCUCGGGUGCCUCCUCUUUUUCACCUCAUUUCCACCAUAGAUUCAUUCAAAUUAAGUGGUUAAGUUACCUUGUUUUGCUAGGUAAGUAAGGGGGAAGCUAUAUUUAUGUUGUUCUCCCUACAACAAUGUGCACAUGCACUUUUUCUGGCCUAGCUAGAUCUAUGUAUGUUCGUGGUGUUGCAUAUGUUUGUGGUGUUGCAUAUGUGUUUGUGUUUGGAGGUGUACCGGUAUUUGAAAUGCGAUAGUUGCCAAUAUUUUGCCGGAAUGUUGAUUCAUUUCCGUUUCGGCGAGAAUUUUGGCAUUAAGCAUUCUUUUUGGUCCUAUUUUUAGGGAAAGUCAUGCCAAAUUUUUUCUUGGUUCUAAAAUAUUGUUUUGCUCUACCCCGCAGGCGACCAUGGUCCGCACGAUGACCGAAGGCAUCGUGAAUAGGUUUUUGAGGUCUGCGAAGGACGAGAUGCUUCAAAAGAACGAGACGGAGAUAAGAUGUCCGUGUCGAAGAUGCAAGCUGAAUAGCCUUAUUGCGGACCCGGAUUCCGGGCAGGUGCGGGACCACCUGCUCUUGCGUGGUUUCAUGGAUGGCUAUCGGUGGCAAGGUGAUGAAGAUGACUACGAAGUCGUCCAUGGGGGCCGGGCAAGAAAUGAGGAAGGGCAGCAAGACAACCACCGCGGCUCGGGGGGGCGAGAAGACGACGAAUCCCCAGGAGAUGAUCACGACGGUGAUGCUGUACACAGUCAUCAUGUAGAAGAUGCAGAACAUGAUGAUGAUGCCGGCGGAGCAGACGACGCUGGACCAUCGAUGGGCUGGGUGCAGGACCCUCAUAUUCAAGAGCUGCUUCUCAAGCAGACGGAUAACGCAAGAGCUGCCGCCCGAGAGAAAGCCAAGAUGGAUCAACUUGAGUUAGACGCGGUUACUCCAUUGUAUGAAGGAUGCAGGCCCGAGGAUACCCGCCUGAAAGUAACGCUCAUGGCUUUGGAGAUGAAGGUAAAACACAAAAUGACCGACGCAUGCUUCGACGAGAACAUGUCAUUCUGGCACGAACGUCUUCCCAAGGGGAACAAGUGCCCGACCAGUUUGGAGGAGGCGAAGAAAAUCGUGUGUCCUCUGGAUUUACCGCACGUGAAAUACCAUGUGUGCAUGAACAAUUGCAUCAUUUAUCAGGACGAGCACGCGGAGUCUACCAUAUGUCCGGUGUGCGGUGUCACUCGAUACAAGAAGAGGAAGAAAGCUCCUCGAAAAGUGGUGUGGUACUUUCCGAUCACUCCUCGUCUGCAGCGGUAUUUCACGGACCCUAAGGUAGCAAAGCUCCUGCGUUGGCACGCGGAUAGGGAGGAGAAGAAGCGAGAAGAUGACGCAAAUGAUCCGGAGAUAGAUAAAAAAGACAAGAUGCUGAGUCACCCUAAGGAUGCGAGCCAGUGGCAAGCGUUGAACUUCGAAUACCCAGAAUUUGGGAACGAUCCAAGGAACAUCAUGCUGGGCGCGAGCACCGAUGGAGUCAAUCCGUUUGGCAGCCAGAGAAGCACACAUAGCACCUGGCCUGUGUUCGUGUGGAUGUACAACCUUCCCCCCUGGUUGUGCAUGAAGAGGAAGUACAUUCACAUGAGUAUGCUAAUUGAAGGGCCGAAACAACCAGGAAACGACAUCAAUCUGUAUCUGGGGCUGCUGAAAGAGGAGAUUGACACACUGUGGAAAACGCCAGCCAAUACGUGGGACGCCGCAGAGAAAGAAUAUUUCCCUAUGAGAGCCGCACUGCUCAUGACGGUGCACGACUAUCUCGGUUACGGAUAUCUUGCGGGGCAGGUAGUCCACGGAUUUUCUGGAUGCGUAAGGUGCAUGGAUGACACAACGUAUCGCCAGCUAGAUAGAGAUCCCGGGUCUUCGAAAACCGUGUUCAUGGGACAUCGAAGGUGGCUUCGCGACGAUGACCCAUGGAGGAAACGCAAGGAUCUGUUCGAUGGUGAAACUGAACCCCGAAAACUCCCGUGUACGAGGAGCGGCGAGGAAAUAGACAAGCUGUUGAAAAAUUGGAAAGACUGCCCACUGCCGGGAAAGAAGCAAAAGGCGCCAGAGCCGCUGCUGAAGGUAUGGAAAACGAGGUCUGUUUUCUGGGACUUGCCAUACUGGAAGAUCCACCGUGUGCCUCACAGCCUUGAUGUCAUGCAUAUCACGAAGAACGUGUGCGAGAGUCUGCUUGGUACCCUGCUCAACAUGCCAGAGAGGACCAAAGAUGGACCGAAAGCAAGGGCAGACUUGAAAUCAAUGGGCAUCAGGCAGGAGCUUCACGCUAUAUAUGAUGAUGAUGAUGAUGAUGAUGAUGAGGCGAAGCAGGACACAGAAAGUCGUCGCAAAGGCAAAAAGGCCAAGAAGACCGGAAAUGACUACCCUCCCGCGUGCUUCACUCUAAGUCAGGAGGAGAUCGAGCAGUUUUUCACCUGCCUCCUAGGAGUAAAACUUCCUUACGGUUACGCGGGGAAGAUAAGCAGAUACCUAGACCCAGCGAAGCAGAAGUUCAGCGGGAUGAAGUCUCACGACUGUCACGUGCUGAUGACGCAGAUACUUCCAGUUGCAAUCCGUGGGAUCAUGGACGCGCACGUCCGUGAAACGCUAUUUGGCCUAUGCAACCUCUUCGACGUCAUCUCUCGGAAGUCGAUUGGCGUGAGGCAACUCAGAAGGCUACAGGAAGAGAUCGUGGUGAUACUAUGCGAGCUUGAGAUGUACUUCCCGCCCGCAUUCUUCGACGUUAUGGUGCAUCUGCUGGUCCAUAUAGUGGAGGAUAUCAUCCAACUCGGGCCGACAUUCCUGCACAGCAUGAUGCCGUUCGAAAGGAUGAAUGGUGUCAUCAAAGGAUACGUUCGCAACAUGUCACGUCCAGAGGGAAGCAUAGCCAGGGGCUUUCUGACCGAAGAGUGCAUCUCCUACUGCACGAAUUAUCUAGGCAUCGAGAACCCCGUUGGUCUGCCCGUCAACAGGCACCUCGGCAGGCUCGCUGGAUGGGGUCACCGUGAGGGUCGCCGCGAAAUGCAUGUCGACUUCGAGGGUCGACUCGCCGACUUUGAAAGAGCAAACCUAGUCGCGCUACAACACAUAGACGUGGUCGAUCCUUGGGUGGUAGAGCACAAAACCUUUAUUAAGAAGACGUACAAUGACCGAGGCCAACAGAGGACAGACGGAGAUAUACUCAAAGAGCACAACUCAUGUUGCACGCGUUGGUUCAAGCAGAAGCUUCUGUCGUACCCUUUACAUGAGGAUUCUUCCGCGGAAGAACAACUCAUAUUCGCCUUGUCACAGGGCACCGAGCACAACCUGAUGACCUAUGAGGCGUACGAUAUCAACGGCUACACAUUCUACACCGAGGCCAAGGGCAUGAAGAGCGAUGGUUAUCAGAACUCCGGGGUAACGAUGGAAUCCUACACCGGUAACGACAAGGACAGAUACUACGGAAGGAUCGAGGAGAUCUGGGAGCUGAGCUACGCUGGAGAGAAGGUCCCGAUGUUCCAUGUUAGAUGGCCAAGAACGUCAUAAAAGAAGACCGGUAUUUCACCACCAUGGUUAUACCCGAAGCCAAAUCCAAGACCGCAGGCACAAACGUCACAGCGAAAAAUGAGCCAUGGGUACUGGCUUUCCAAGUGGACCAAUGCUUCUUCAUUACCGACCCGCCAAAGCCCAGUCGUGUUGUCGUGAGGAGAGGCAAAAGGAAGAUCAUCGGAAUGGAUGGAGUAGCCAAUGAGCAAGACUUCGACAAGUACGGCGACCCGAGGAUCGAACAUGACGACGAUGAUCAAGUAGCAGCAUACACCACAAGAAGAAGCAGGACCACCCUACCUAAAGGACGUCCGUUCCACAGAAGAACUCCAUUUGCGAAAAAGAAGGGCAAGAAGAUUGUGAACAGAUAGCUAGCUAAGAUCGAUUGUAUUUAAAUCGUAGACUUCAUUUCUCGAUUGUAUUUCAUGGGUACUUUUGAACUAUCAUGAAUAUUUUUAAAUUUCAUGGACACUCGAUCUCGAUCCCCCUCCAUCUCGAUCGCUAUCCUUCCUCGCCAGAUCCGGUCCCCCUCGCCGCCGAGCACCCCCCCAGUCCACCGGCCGCCGCCGCCGACCCCCCGCACCCUCGAUUCCCCUACUCAACCGCCGCCGCCGACCCCCCGCACCCCGCGCACCNNNNNNNNNNNNNNNNNNNNNNNNNNNNNNNNNNNNNNNNNNNNNNNNNNNNNNNNNNNNNNNNNNNNNNNNNNNNNNNNNNNNNNNNNNNNNNNNNNNNNNNNNNNNNNNNNNNNNNNNNNNNNNNNNNNNNNNNNNNNNNNNNNNNNNNNNNNNNNNNNNNNNNNNNNNNNNNNNNNNNNNNNNNNNNNNNNNNNNNNNNNNNNNNNNNNNNNNNNNNNNNNNNNNNNNNNNNNNNNNNNNNNNNNNNNNNNNNNNNNNNNNNNNNNNNNNNNNNNNNNNNNNNNNNNNNNNNNNNNNNNNNNNNNNNNNNNNNNNNNNNNNNNNNNNNNNNNNNNNNNNNNNNNNNNNNNNNNNNNNNNNNNNNNNNNNNNNNNNNNNNNNNNNNNNNNNNNNNNNNNNNNNNNNNNNNNNNNNNNNNNNNNNNNNNNNNNNNNNNNNNNNNNNNNNNNNNNNNNNNNNNNNNNNNNNNNNNNNNNNNNNNNNNNNNNNNNNNNNNNNNNNNNNNNNNNNNNNNNNNNNNNNNNNNNNNNNNNNNNNNNNNNNNNNNNNNNNNNNNNNNNNNNNNNNNNNNNNNNNNNNNNNNNNNNNNNNNNNNNNNNNNNNNNNNNNNNNNNNNNNNNNNNNNNNNNNNNNNNNNNNNNNNNNNNNNNNNNNNNNNNNNNNNNNNNNNNNNNNNNNNNNNNNNNNNNNNNNNNNNNNNNNNNNNNNNNNNNNNNNNNNNNNNNNNNNNNNNNNNNNNNNNNNNNNNNNNNNNNNNNNNNNNNNNNNNNNNNNNNNNNNNNNNNNNNGCCGCCCCGACGCCGCCCCGACGCCGCCUCGACCCCUCCCCGAGGCCGCUGCCCCGCCACCUCGACGCAGCCCCGCCGCCUCGACGUGACCCCGCUGCCCGGACGCCGCCCCGUCCACACCACCGUCGCCCUCUCCCCGGCAUCCUUAUCCUCUCUGACUGCCUCCUCCACCCCGGCCCGCUCCUCCAAGGUAAGCUACCGCCCGACCCCUAUCCCCUUCCCUCCUCCCAUCCCAUCUCCAUAUGAGCAUGAUAAUUUGCACUCAGCUUCAGCAGUAAUUUGACUAAUUUCCUCUUCCCUAUCAUCAUGGUUAUUGUAGUAAAUAAUCAGGGCAAAUAUCAGAGAGAAAUUUGCGAACUUCAGAAUCUAGGAAUUGUAAUACAAAUUCAAAUAGUCUCUAGAACUUUCAUGCGUUCAAAAAUAUGAAUUACAGUAAUUAUGAUUUGUAUUUUCCAGGCAGUUUUGUUAAUUGGUCAUUCAUGAUUCAUCAUGAAGAAUAUGCGAUUAUGUGCUGAAACUAAGUUUGCAUCAUGUGUUAAGUGAAUUCUGUUCUAUUUGGGGUCUCCCACCAGCUAUGUGAAAAGUUGGAGAUUGCUUUCUUGUUUUUUUUUGGUGUGGAAUUCUGAUUUGUGAAAAGAAAAACCGAACGAUGCUAAUUAAUUUUCGGUUGCAACGAAUGUGCUGGAAGAAAAAGCAGUCUUCUGGCAAGGUUAAGAUGCUUGAUUGACUGAGUUGAUGAUUCAAUUAAACAAGGUACAAUAUGUAGCAAGUAACUGUUUGAACACUAUAGAUUGCCAGAAGACUGCUUUUUCUAUCAAUCAAGCAUCUUAACCUUGCCAGAAGACUGCUACUGCUUUUUCUUAUCGUCCUGGCAGCAACUGGCUGGUUGUUGUUCAAAACUUAUUAGUCCGUCUGGUGCUUCUGAACUCAUUAGUCGGUGGCAUGUGGUACCAUAAAAAAUACUAGAAGGAAAGGAAAACAGAAUAUAAGAGAAUGAUUGCUGGAGUGGUAAUGUUCACCAGCAGACAAAAAAAAAGGGAAAAGUAAAAAACAGGAAGCAUACAUGCACAAUGAACCAGUGAUGCCUUGCUUCCACCAGAAGGAAAGUGAAGGAGAAAAAUGAACACGAUGAUCAUCAAGUCAACUGGUUAUUGGUCGAUAGUAUAGACAACUAGCUACACUGUGUGAUGAAACUAAACAAGCCUGCCUGGCCACCCGUCCAUCCUACAUGAGGGCAAUUAUGCCAGAACCAUGGAACUAUUUAAUUUUUUAUAUAACUCAUAAAACAAAAAAAUGGCUCCAUUGGGGUUUGGUGCUUCCCCAUGGCCAGGACAAGAUAACUUUAUCAUUGUGCUAUGAGAUUAAACAGGGGGAGGGAUGCUAACGCUCCUUUUGCUUGGCAGUAUAAAGUACUAGUAAGUAUAGAUAAGAGGUUGGUUUUUUGAGGAAUCAACAGUUAACGGGUGAGGCUCAGGCUGCAAUGAUGGCUGCAGUAUAAAGUAAUAUUCUUGUUUCGGUGUACAUAUGUAGGACACAAACAAUUAAGGUGUCUAUUUUGAUUUAGUGCCUUUGCCUCCACUGCCUUUAUCUGGAUUGAAGCUUGCUUGUGUUUACUUCUGAUUACAAGAUCUCCAUACUCGGAGAUUUCUUUAUAUAUGUUGUAGUAUAAAUAUAUUGUUUUGUCAUUCUGUAAUUGUUAGUGGAAUUUACACUGUAAAUGUUAGUGGGUUUACAGUGUACUUCUAGUGGAUUUUUGCUCUAUAUUUGCUAGUGGCAUUUUUACUGAAACUAAAUUGAAAAUGGGACUCUGUGCACCAAGUGCAUGCAUGCUGCUGCUACUGCUGUACUACUUGUCAAGUGAUGCUGCUGCUGCUAUCUGCGAGUUGCUGCUGCUAGUUGUGAUUUUGUCAAGUGAUGCUGCUGCUACUUGUGAUCUUCUAAAAUGACCCCUUUCUCCUGAAACGUUGAUUAAUUUCCGUUUCGGUUGAGAAAUGGGGCACUCCAAGGUCAAGAAAAUUAGCAAAGGUCAUGCCCAAUUUUCUUGACCUAGAAGGUGCCCGAUUCUCAACCGAAAUAAAAAUUAAUUUGCUUUAGUGGUUGGAUUAGUUUAGUAUUUUUUCACACACACAGACACCCUUGCUUGCCAUGUGUGUGAGAGAGAUAGUGAGAGGAGACAAGAAGAAGGGGGUUAGGAAGAUGUUGCCUGCUCAUCAAAGCUAACCAUCUCCCCCUUUUCACCCCUUUUCCUUUGUAUUUUGUGGGUUGCAAGGAAGCUACUGUCUUAGCUAGCUUAGCUUGUGCACAAAUCCCAGUGUUACAAUCUAGAAAAUUAGCCUGCAAAGAUGAGGUCCCAUGCUGGCUGUACCACUGCAUCAUGCAACAGUGCCUUCAAGAUCCAAGGCAAUAUCACAAACAUCAUAGGCACUUUGACCAAACUCACAACCUUGUAUCUUUGCAGCAACCAACUUUCUAGACACACCCCUCAAGAACUAGGUUACCCUGAGAACGUGGACUUGGACCUUAGCAACAACACACUAACAGGUUCUAUCCCAAAACACCUAGGCAAUAUCACAAACAUCUCUCAAUUGUUCCUUGACAAUAACCAACUUUUUGGCGACAUUCCUCGAGAAUUAGGUUAUUUGGUCAACUUAGAGAUCUUGUUCCUUGACAAUAACCAACUUUUUGACCAAACUUUGUUUCUAUUUAGAGAGAAACAUGGCCCACAACAAUGAGGCCGGGGGUUCGGGCGGCAAGGCAUUCUGGGAGCUAUCCCAGGAGAUGGAGGAACAACCUCACUUGUAUGAGGCCGCCGCCUUCCCCACCGAUCCUGAGACCACAGAUGGUGCCGCCGAGGAUGACCACACUGAUGCCACCACUGAUGGUGCCGCCGAGGAUGCCACCACUGAUGAUGGCGGCGCACGCACAGAUGGCAGCCAACCGAAGAGGCGACGGAAGGACCGGCGCCCGAUCGUGCUCCGCACCCUCAAGGAGGAAGUUACUGAAGUGGACUCCAACGGGAAUCCAACGGCGCCCGAACGAAUAGUCAAGGGGUACUCGCUUCAGCUCGGGUGCAUUGUUCGGAGCACCGUCUCGAUCAACACCGAGAACCUGAGGCAUCCUGACCGAGGGAAUUUGCGCAACCUCCUCUUCACGAAGCUGCACGAACGAUACAAGUUCCCCGCUGAAUUUGAAAACACAAGCCUCAAAGGGAAUAAAGUGAACAAUGCUGCCCUCACGAAGAUGAGCAAGGCCCUGUCUACUUGGAAAAGCAAUGUGAAGAGAAUGAUCGAGAAAGGUGAGAGUUAUCAGAAGAUCAAGGAGAAAAAUCCUUCAAUCACCGAAGAUGACCACAACGACUUCAAGAUCAAUUGCUCGAGCACCGCAAGCUCCCAAUCAAGUGAGUGGGGGAAACAAAUGCGGGAGCUGAACAUAGGGGAACACACACUCGGUCCCGGCGGUUACAGAGUGGCGGAGCCUAUAUGGGACAAGGAGGAGGCGGACCGUGCCGAGCAAGGCCUACCGCCCCUCUUCGAUAAAUACGGUGACAAGCAGACCAGGAACUUUGUCAGGGCCCGGUACAAGAAGGACCCGAAAACAAAGGAGCUUACCAAGGAUCCGAAGACCAGGCAGCUUGAGCUUGUUCUGGUAAGGAAUACACCCCCGCGUAAUUAGCUCCAUAUGGUUGCAUUCUAAUUAAUGAAGCCAAAUUUCUAAAUGGUUCACAUUCCUUCCGCAGGCGACUGAAAGCAGUAGCGCGGGGUCGACUAAGAGCAACCCUUGGGACACCACUCUAAAUAGGGGGUUGAAUGUAAUGAAGAACAAGGAUAAGCUCAGUAAGCCGAUGUCAGCUGGUCGUGUGGCCGACAAAGGCUUGUCAACAAAAUGGGGGUCAUACUAUUCCACUGGUGUGCGGAAGGAGAAAAAGACCAGCUCGAAAAGCCAGGCACGAGAGGUUCAAGAACUCAAGGCACAGGUGGCGCGGAUUCCGCAGAUUGUCCAAGAGCAAGUGGAACAACGACUCGGAGCGACGAUCACCGCCCUUGUGCCUAACUUGAUCUCGGGGUUGAGUGCGUGGAUUGCGGGCGGCCAACAGGGGCCGCCCCCGAUUCCUAGCUUCACGGCCAGCAACUCGCAUAAUGCGAUGGCGGGGCCAUUGGUGCCUCCGGCGGAGGCGACAUUGGUGUCUCCGACGCCGGCACGGGAGCUUAAUGCACCCGGGUGUACGCCGGCCGGCACCUCUGCAGCAAGCGGCACCUCCUCAACUGCACGCCCGCCGUUGGUGGUGCAUCGACAUUAGCCGAGCUCGACGCCAUCAUCACGGUAACUAAUUAAGCCUCUCUCGGCCGAGGACUUCAUCUCCUUGCCUUUGACGGGGCAUCCCUGACGCCCUACAUGUUUUCGCAGGGCGCCGCUGACGUUCCGUGCACUCUCCUCCACUUCGUGAACAACGAGUUGGUCGAUGUCGCCAAGGGCAAAAUGUUCAACCGGGCAACCCCUUGUUCCACGGUACCUAGAUGCCACCCAACUUGUUUAGGGUUCAACUGGUUCGGGUGCUGCCAGGCUGCGACGACUUGUUACCUCUGAUUCGACCCGUCGGGGCCGACGAUAAAGACGUGAUGACCCUCAGCGCCUGCCUGAGCUAGCCCCUGCUUUGGCCGAAGAGCCAGAUUCGUUUGGGGGCGGUGGACACCACCCCAAAGACAACACCGCCAGUCGUGCCGGCGCCAAGUCGGCCCCAUGGCAAGACCGCCGUAACGGUGCCGGACAUCCCAAUGCCACUGGAUCCAAACAUGCAUAUGGCACAGGAUCAGAACGACGACGACGACGAAGAUGAUACAUUUGGCAACGUCGAUCAGUAUUUUGCCGAACAUGGGUACGAUGGCGACUUCAUGGGGCCUCCUUCUCAAGAACCAAACCCAACAAAAGACGUGUGCGAUCUAGCUGGUACCGCGGAGAAGCCAAGUUGCAACAGGCGCCGUCUGACGUUCAGCUCUCAGGAGACGCCUCCAGCUGCCGACUUCACCGAGCCUCAGAUAGGCGAGGUGCGAAAUAUUAUCAGCCCCAACACACUCAAGAAGGCGGUCUGUGAGCAGAACUCGGUCCCAUUACAGGAGAAGAAGAAGGCACGCAAAAGAAAGACUAAGAAGGGUGCGAGCCAGCCGGCACCAAGUACGAUCCGUGCUCAGGACGGGCCACCUUCACCGCAGGAUAUCUCGAGGAGGGUGCAUGUGGCGGGUAGGGCGAUGCUACUGACAAAUAUGCUCAAUGCUGCAACCGGUGCUAUGCGGAGUCUGCAUGACAGUGUUCUUUCUUUGGAGAAGCGGCGUCUCAGGGAGAAGGAUGUGGCAUACCCAGUUUUCGCGGCCAAGGUGUCAGAGGGCAAGGGCUUUGUGGAUAACUCCAUCGGGCGUACAAUCGUCCUGUGUUUUGAUGACAUCCAUGCUAUGUUGAACCUUCAUCCGCUGCACUACACCUUCGUUCGGCUAUUUUCGCUGAGUAUGGAGAUGCAGAUCAUUCGCGACAAGACCCCGGACAUCGUGAUAGUCGACCCCUUCUACAUGCGUGCCAAGAUCUUGGGCAGCGCUGGGGACCGGCAAGUCGCGAGUUCUUACCUCGAAGGCGGCAUUCUGGCAAACCAAGAUAAGGAUAACUUCCUCGUGCCUUACUUUCCCGAGUAAGUCCUCCCCUCAACCGGCCCGUAACAUAUGAAUUCUUACAUUUUGAUCGUUUUUCUUUUAACAUUCCGUGUUUUCUGCAGUGACACACGUUGCGCUCAUCCUCCUAAGCCCCAAAUAUUCCAUGGCCACGUAUUUCGACCCGGACCGUCAGUCGAACGUAGACUACACAAAUGUCAAGAAGGUUCUUGAUGAUGUUCUCCCCGGCUACGCCAAAUCUGGAGGCACCUUCACCAGGCCUAUUCGUAAGUACGGCAAGCACGUGUUCUCCCACAAUACGACGUUCUGCUGCGUCAAGCAGCCGCCUGGCGGUCAGAAGGGUGCCUACUACGCCAUCCAUCACAUGCGGGCGAUCGUACGGGACCAUCAUCAACUUCUGCUACCGAGUAAAGUCAAAGAUUGGGCCGCGAGCGUGUCGGCAAUCCAGGACACGGACCUCCGACAAGAAUUCUUUCGCAUCCAGUCGGAGUUUGCAGAAAUCAUCCAUCAAGAUGUCCUUCAUACCUCGGGGCAGUUCUACCUCAGAAAUCAACCAUCCAACAGUGACAUCGACACAAUGCUACAAAUCCAGGCUGACAACGACCGUUAUUUCAUGACUCCCACGAUAGACGGCGGCUUCAUCCAUGCUCCGGUCCCUUGAGUCGAGUCGAAAGCAGUGAUGCUGUGUCUAGUUCUGAAACAUCGAUUGGCUCAUGUUGUAAUUAAACUUUAAUGAACUUGUAGUAUGUCUCUUUGGUUUCGAGAGUCGUUCAACUUAGAUGUAAUCGAUGCUAUUAAUGUCUUGCUUUUCUCUUCCGAUCAUUCUGUUGCAUAAUUAUAUAUUGCUUAUGUAUUGUCUGUGAAUUGGUACUACCGUUUCGUUUGGCUAGUGCAUAGCGAUGCCGACAUAUGUCGUGUACAAGGGUAAGGUUCCCAGCGUCCACGAUGACUGGGAGGAGUGUCGGAGACAGGUUCACCGAUUCAGCGGUAACAGUUACAAAGGGUACACCACUAGGGCCGAGGCCGAAUCUAGAUACGCCCGCUAUCUAGCGGGAGAGGGGAGGGAGCGUUGGAGGAACCGGAUGAAGACGAGUUUCAUCGUGAUGAUGCUCAUCGUGAUGACCGCAACUCUCUUCUAUGUGAUGGUAGUUUAGAUGAUCGAUAUCGACUUGUAAUGUGAAGACAAACUCGCUACUCGCGGUCUGAGACUUGUAAUAUAAUGUUCUAUCUUUGUUCGGUCUUUUCAAUUCGGAGACUAAUAUGAUGAAUUGUAUUCGGAGACUAAUAUGAUGAAUUGUAUUCUUCUAUUGUAUUCGAUGAAUCUGUUGUUGAUGUGUGCUGUCUAUAUUUUGUCAAAUUAUACAUUUUGUAACCUGUGCAAAAAACAGAAAAUAAAAAAAUAAAAAAAACCUAAUAUUCAUACUAAUGGCGCAUCACAUGACAGUGCGCCAUUAGUAUGACGAGGCAUACUAAUGGCGCAUCACUGGUAAGUGCGCCAUUAAUAUGCCAUGGUUACUAAUGGUGCAUCCAGUGGUGGUGCGCCAUUAGUAUGCCAAAGCACCUGGAUAUACAUGGCCCCUGGGAGGCAUACUAAUGGCGCACCCUGGCCUAUACUAAUGGCGCACCCGCGGUGCGCCGUUAGUAUACCACAUACUAAUGGCGCACCAGGUGGUGCGCCAUUAGUAAAAAUUACUAAUGGCGUGCUGUUAAUGGCGCACCACAGAUGCGCCAUUAAUGGCCAUACUAGGUGCACCAUUAGUAGGGGUUUUUCUAGUAGUGGAUUGACAAAGGGAAUUGUAUACGGGAUUGUUUAAUCCUCGACAUCGUGGUUCAUCCGAUGAAAUCAUCGAGGAGCAUGUGGGAGCCAACAUGGGUAUCCAGAUCCCGCUGUUGGUUAUUGCCCGAGAGUCGUCUCGGUCAUGUCUGCGUGUCUCCCGAACCCGUAGGGUCUACACACUUAAGGUUCGGUGACGCUAGGGUUGUAUGAAUAUGAGUAUGCAGCAAACCGAAUGUUGUUCGAAGUCCCGGAUGAGAUCCCGGACGUCACGAGGAGUUUCGGAAUGGUCAGGAGGUAAAGAAUUAUAUAUAGGAAGUGGUAUUUCGGCCAUCAGGAAAGUUUCGGGGUCACCCGGUAAUGUACCGGGACCACCGGAAGGGUCCCGGGGGUCCACCGGGUGGGGCCACCCAUCCCGGAGGGCCCCAUGGGCUGAAGUGGGAGGGGAGCCAGCCCAUAGUGGGCUGGUGCGCCCCCCUAGGCCCACCCCCUGCGCCUAGGGUUGAAACCCUAGGGUGGGGGGGGGGGGCGCACCACAUGCCUUGGGGGGCACUCCUCCACCCUUGGCCGCCGCCCCCUUGGGAGAUUCAAUCUCCCAGGGCCGGCGCCCCCCCAAGGGGCCUAUAUAAAGGAGGGCAGGGGGAGGGCAGCCGUACCCUUGUGCUUGGCGCCUCCCUCCCCCUGCUACACCUCGUCCUCCUCCCGUAGUCGCUUGGCGAAGCCCUGCUGGAGUUCUGUUGCAACCACCACCACGCCGUCGUGCUGCUGGAUCAUCAUCAACCUCUCCUUCCCCCUUGCUGGAUCAAGAAGGAGGAGACGUCUCCCGUCCCAUACGUGUGUUGAACGCGGAGGUGCUGUCCGUUCAGCACUUGGUCAUCGGUGAUCCGAAUCACGGCGAGUACGACUCCAUCAUCACCAUCCCCUUGAACGCUUCCGCACUCGAUCUACAAGUGGUAUGUAGAUGCAAUCUCUCUCCCAUGACUCGUUGCUUAGAUGAACUCAUAGAUGGAUCUUGGUGAAACCGUAGGAAAAUUUUUAAUUUUCUGCAACGUUCCCCAACAGUGGUAUCAGAGCUAGGUCUAUGCGUAGUUCUCUAUUGCACGAGUAGAACACAAUUUUGUUGUGGGCGUAGAUCUUAUCAACUUGCUUGCCGCUACUAGUCUUAUCUUGCUUCAGCGGUAUUGUGGGAUGAAGCGGCCCGGACCAACCUUACACGUACUCUUACGUGAGACCAGUUCCACCGACUGACAUGCACUAGUUGCAUAAGGUGGCUGGCGGGUGUCUGUCUCUCCCACUUUAGUUGGAGCGGAUUCGAUGAAAAGGGUCCUUAUGAACGGUAAAUAGAAGUUGACAAAAUCACGUUGUGGUUAUUCGUAGGUAAGAAAGCGUUCUUGCUAGAACCCAAUUGCGGCCACGUAAAAGAUGCAACAACAAUUAGAGGACGUCUAACUUGUUUUUGCAGCAAUUGUCAUGUGAUGUGAUAUGGCCAGAAGUUGUGAUGAAUGAUGAAUGACACAUUGUGAUGUAUGAGAUCAUGUUCUUGUAAUAGGAAUCACGACUUGCAUGUCGAUGAGUAUGACAACCGGCAGGAGCCAUAGGAGUUGUCUUUAUUUUUUGUAUGACCUGCGUGUCAUUGAAGAACGCCAUGUAACUUACUUUACUUUAUUGCUAAACACGUUAGCCAUAGAAGUAGAAGUAGUCGUUGGCGUGACAACUUCAUGAAGACACGAUGAUGGAGAUCAUGGUGUCAUGCCGGUGACAAGAUGAUCAUGGAGCCCCGAAGAUGGAGAUCAAUGGAGCUAUAUGAUAUUGGCCAUAUCAUGUCACUACUAUAUAAUUGCAUGUGAUGUUUAUUAUGUUUAUGCAUCUUGUUUACUUAGAACGACGGUAGUAAAUAAGAUGAUCCCUUACACAAUUUCAAAGAAGUGUUCUCCCCUAACUGUGCACCGUUGCUAAAGUUCGUCGCUUCUAAGCACCACGUGAUGAUCGGGUGUGAUGGAUUCUUACGUUCACAUACAACGGGUGUAAGACAGAUUUACACACGCAAAACACUUAGGGUUAACUUGACGAGCCUAGCAUGUACAUACAUGGCCUCGGAACACUGAUACCGAAAGGUCGAACACGAGUCGUAUGGAAGAUACGAUCAACAUGAGAAUGUUAACCGAUGAUGACUAGUCCGUCUCACGUGAUGAUCAGACACGGCCUAGUCGACUCGGAUCGUGUAACACUUAGAUGACUAGAGGGAUGUCUAAUAUGAGUGGGAGUUCAUUAUAAUACUUUGAUUAUAUGAACUUAAUUAUCAUGAACUUAGUCUAAAAACCUUUGCAAAUAUGUCUUGUAGAUCAAAUGGCCAACGCUCAUGUCAACAUGAACUUCAACGCAUUCCUAGAGAAAACCAAGCUGAAAGAUGAUGGCAGCAACUAUACGGACUGGGUCCGGAACCUGAGGAUCAUCCUCAUAGCUGCCAGGAAACAAUAUGUCCUAGAAGGACCGCUAGGUGACGCUCCCGUCCCAGAGAACCAAGACAUUAUGAAUGCUUGGCAGACUCGUGCUGAUGAUUACUCCCUCGUUCAGUGCGGCAUGCUUUACAGCUUAGAACCGGGGCUCCAAAAGCGUUUUGAGCAUCACGGAGCAUAUGAGAUGUUCGAGGAGCUGAGACUAGUUUUUCAAGCUCACGCCCGGGUCGAGAGAUAUGACGUCUCCGACAAGUUCUAUAGUUGUAAGAUGGAGGAAAAUAGUUCUGUCAGUGAGCACAUACUCAAGAUGUCUGGGUUGCACAACCGUAUGACCCAGCUGAAUAUUAACCUCCCUGAUGAGGCGGUCAUUGACAGAAUCCUUCAGUCGCUCCCACCAAGCUACAAGAGCUUUGUGAUGAACUACAAUAUGCAGGGAAUGGAAAAGACCAUUCCUGAAGUAUUUUCUAUGCUGAAGUCAGCAGAGGCUGAAAUCAAGAAAGAACAUCAAGUGUUGAUGGUCAAUAAGACCACUAAGUUCAAGAAGGGCAAGGGCAAUAAGAACUUCAAGAAGGACGGCAAGGAUGUUGCCGCGCCCGGUAAGCCAGUUACCGGGAAGAAGUCAAAGAAUGGACCCAGGCCUGAAACUGAGUGCUUUUAUUGCAAGGGGAAGGGUCACUGGAAGCGGAACUGCCCCAAAUACUUAGCGGAUAAGAAGGCCGGCAACACCAAAGGUAUAUUUGAUAUACAUGUAAUUGAUGUGUAUCUUACCAGUACUCGUAGUAACUCCUGGGUAUUUGAUACCGGUGCCGUUGCUCAUAUUUGUAACUCACAACAGGAGCUGCGGAAUAAGCGGAGACUGGCGAAGGACGAGGUGACGAUGCGCGUCGGGAAUGGUUCCAGAGUCGAUGUGAUCGCCGUCGGCACGCUACCUCUACAUUUACCUACGGGAUUAGUUUUGAACCUUAAUAAUUGUUAUUUGGUGCCAAGUUUGAGCAUGAACAUUGUAUUUGGAUCUCGUUUGAUACGAGAUGGCUACUCAUUUAAAUCCGAGAAUAAUGGUUGUUCUAUUUAUAUGAGAGACAUGUUUUAUGGUCAUGCUCCGAUGGUCAAUGAUUUAUUCUUAAUGAAUCUCGAGCAUAAUGUUACACAUAUUCAUAGCGUGAAUACCAAAAGAUGUAAAGUUGAUAACGAUAGUCCCACAUACUUGUGGCACUGCCGCCUUGGUCACAUUGGUGUCAAGCGCAUGAAGAAGCUCCAUGCUGAUGGACUUUUGGAGUCUCUAGAUUAUGAAUCAUUUGACACAUGCGAACCAUGCCUCAUGGGCAAGAUGACCAAGACUCCGUUCUCCGGAACAAUGGAGCGAGCAACCAACUUGUUGGAAAUCAUACAUACCGAUGUGUGCGGUCCAAUGAGCAUUGAGGCUCGCGGAGGAUAUCGUUUAUGUUAUCACUCUCACUGAUGACUUGAGUAGAUAUGGGUAUGUCUACUUAAUGAAACACAAGUCUGAAACCUUUGAAAAGUUCAAGGAAUUUCAGAAUGAGGUAGAGAAUCAACGUGACCGAAAGAUAAAGUUCCUACGAUCAAAUCGUGGAGGAGAAUACUUAAGUCAUGAAUUUGGUAUACACUUAAGGAAAUGUGGAAUCGUUUCACAACUCACGCCGCCUGGAACACCUCAGCCUAACGGUGUGUCCGAACGUCGUAAUCGCACUCUAUUAGAUAUGGUGCGGUCUAUGAUGUCUCUUACCGAUUUACCGCUAUCAUUUUGGGGAUACGCUCUAGAGACAGCUACAUUCACUUUAAAUAGGGCACCGUCUAAAUCCGUUGAGACGACACCGUACGAAUUAUGGUUUGGGAAGAAACCUAAGUUGUCGUUUCUAAAAGUUUGGGGAUGCGAUGCUUAUGUCAAGAAACUUCAACCUGAAAAGCUCGAACCCAAGUCGGAAAAAUGCGUCUUCAUAGGAUACCCUCAGGAAACCGUUGGGUAUACCUUCUACUUAAGAUCCGAGGGCAAGAUCUUUGUUGCCAAGAACGGAUGCUUUCUGGAAAAAGAGUUUCUCUCAAAAGAAGUAAGUGGGAGGAAAGUAGAACUCGAUGAAGUACUACCUCUUGAACGGGAUAGUAGUGCAGCUCAGGAAAAUGUUCCUGUGAUGCCUACACCAAGUGAAGAGGAAAAUAAUGAUGAUGAUCAAGGUACUUCGGAUCAAGUUGCUACUGAACUUCGUAGGUCCACAAGGACACGUUCCGCACCAGAGUGGUACGGCAACCCCGUCCUGGAAAUCAUGUUGUUAGACAACGGUGAACCUUCGAACUAUGAAGAAGCGAUGGCGGGCCCAGAUUCCAACAAAUGGCUUGAAGCCAUGAAAUCCGAGAUAGAAUCCAUGCAUGAAAACAAAGUAUGGACUUUGACAGACUUGCCCGAUGAUCGGCGAGCGAUAGAAAACAAAUGGAUCUUUAAGAAGAAGACGAACGCGGAUGGUAAUAUUACCGUCUAUAAAGCUCGACUUGUUGCUAAGGGUUAUCGACAAGUUCAAGGGAUUGACUACGACGAGACAUUCUCUCCCGUAGCAAAGCUGAAGCCCGUCCGAAUCAUGUUAGCAAUUGCCGCAUACUAUGAUUAUGAGAUAUGGCAAAUGGACGUCAAAACGGCUUUCCUUAACGGGCAUCUUAAGGAAGAACUGUAUAUGAUGCAGCCGGAAGGUUUUGUCGAUCCUAAGAACGCUAACAAAGUAUGCAAGCUCCAGCGAUCCAUUUAUGGGCUGGUGCAAGCAUCUCGGAGUUGGAAUAUUCGCUUUGAUGAGAUGAUCAAAGCGUUUGGGUUUAUGCAGACUUAUGGAGAAGCCUGCAUUUACAAGAAAGUGAGUGGGAGCUCUGUAGCAUUUCUCAUAUUAUAUGUAGAUGACAUACUCUUGAUGGGAAAUGAUAUAGAACUUUUGGACAGCAUUAAGGCCUACUUGAAUAAGUGUUUUUCAAUGAAGGACCUUGGAGAAGCUGCUUAUAUAUUAGGCAUUAAGAUCUAUAGAGAUAGAUCGAGACGCCUCAUAGGUCUUUCACAAAGCACAUACCUUGAUAAGAUUUUGAAGAAGUUCAAAAUGGAUCAGUCCAAGAAGGGAUUCUUGCCUGUAUUGCAAGGUGUGAGAUUGAGCUCGGCUCAAUGCCCGACCACGGCAAAAGAUAAAGAAGAGAUGAGUGUCAUCCCCUAUGCUUCAGCCAUAGGAUCUAUUAUGUAUGCCAUGCUAUGUACCAGACCUGAUGUAAACCUUGCCGUAAGUUUGGUAGGAAGGUACCAAAGUAAUCCCGGCAAGGAACACCGGACAGCGGUCAAGAAUAUCCUAAAGUACCUGAAAAGGAAAAAGGACAUGUUUCUCGUUUAUGGAGGUGACGAAGAGCUUGUCAUAAAGGGUUACGUCGACGCUAGCUUCGACACAGAUCUGGAUGACUCUAAGUCACAAACUGGAUACGUGUAUAUGUUGAAUGGUGGAGCAGUAAGCUGGUGCAGCUGCAAGCAGAGCGUAGUGGCGGGAUCUACAUGUGAAGCAGAGUACAUGGCAGUCUCGAAGGCAGCGCAUGAAGCUAUUUGGGUGAAGGAGUUCAUCACCGACCUAGGAGCCGAUCAAACUCUUCUAUGACAACACUGGAGCUAUUGCACUUGCCAAGGAGCCCAGGUUUCACAAGAAGACCAGGCACAUCAAGCAUCGUUUCAACUCCAUCCGUGAAAAUGUUCAAGAUGGAGACAUAGAUAUUUGCAAAGUACAUACGGAUCUGAAUGUCGCAGAUCUGUUGACUAAACCUCUCUCGCGAGCAAAACAUGAUCAACACCAGAACUCUAUGGGUGUUCGAUUCAUCACAAUGUAACUAGAUUAGUGACUCUAGUGCAAGUGGGAGACUGUUGGAAAUAUGCCCUAGAGGCAAUAAUAAAAGUAUUAUUAUAUUUCAUUGUUCAUGAUAAUUGUCUUUUAUUCAUGCUAUAACUGUAUUAUCCGGAAAUCGUAAUACACGUGUGAAUAAAUAGACCACAAUAUGUCCCUAGUGAGCCUCUAGUUGACUAGCCCGUUGUGAUCAACAGAUAGUCAUGGUUUCCUGGCUAUGGACAUUGGAUGUCGUUGAUAACGGGAUCACAUCAUUAGGAGAAUGAUGUGAUGGCCAAGACCCAAUCCUAAGCAUAGCACAAGAUCGUGUAGUUCGUUUGCUAGAGCUUUUUCAAUGUCAAGUAUCUCUUCCUUAGACCAUGAGAUCGUGUAACUCCCAGAUACCGUAAGAGUGCUUUGGGUGUACCAAACGUCGCAACGUAACCGGGUGACUAUAAAGGUGCACUACAGGUAUCUCCGAAAGUGUCUGUUGGGUUGACACGGAUCGAGACUGGGAUUUGUCACUCCGUAUGACGGAGAGGUAUCUCUGGGCCCACUCGGUAAUGCAUCAUCAUAAUGAGCUCAAUGUGUCCAAGUGGUUGGUCACGGGAUCAUGCAUUACGGUACGAGUAAAGUGACUUGCCGGUAACGAGACUGAACAAGGUAUUGGGAUACCGACGAUCGAGUCUCGGGCAAGUAACAUACCGAUUGACAAAGGGAAUUGUAUACGGGAUUGUUUAAUCCUCGACAUCGUGGUUCAUCCGAUGAAAUCAUCGAGGAGCAUGUGGGAGCCAACAUGGGUAUCCAGAUCCCGCUGUUGGUUAUUGCCCGAGAGUCGUCUCGGUCAUGUUUGCGUGUCUCCCGAACCCGUAGGGUCUACACACUUAAGGUUCGGUGACGCUAGGGUUGUAUGAAUAUGAGUAUGCAGCAUACCAAAUGUUGUUCGGAGUCCCGGAUGAGAUCCCGGACUUCACGAGGAGUUUCGUAAUGGUCCGGAGGUAAAGAAUUAUAUAUAGGAAGUGGUAUUUCGGCCAUCGGGAAAGUUUCGGGGUCACCCGGUAAUGUACCGGGACCACCGGAAGGGUCCCGGGGGUCCACCGGGUGGGGCCACCCAUCCCAGAGGGCCCCAUGGGCUGAAGUGGGAGGGGAGCCAGCCCAUAGUGGGCUGGUGCGCCCCCCUAGGCCCACCCCCUGCGCCUAGGGUUGAAACCCUAGGGUGGAGGGGCGCACCACAUGCCUUGGGGGGGCACUCCUCCCCCCUUAGCCGCCGCCACCUUGGGAGAUUCAAUCUCCCAGGGCCGGCGCCCCCCAAGGGGCCUAUAUAAAGGACGGCAGGGGGGAGGGCAGCCGUACCCUUGUGCUUGGCGCCUCCCUCCCCCUGCUACACCUCGUCCUCCUCCCGUAGUCACUUGGCGAAGCCCUGCUGGAGUUCUGCUGCAACCACCAACACGCCGUCGUGCUGCUGGAUCAUCAUCAACCUCUCCUUCCCCCUUGCUGGAUCAAGAAGGAGGUGACGUCUCCCGUCCCGUACGUGUGUUGAACGCGGAGGUGCUGUCCGUUCAGCACUUGGUCAUCGGUGAUCCGAAUCACGGCGAGUACGACUCCAUCAUCACCAUCCCCUUGAACGCUUCCGCACUCGAUCUACAAGUGGUAUGUAGAUGCAAUCUCUCUCCCAUGACUCGUUGCUUAGAUGAACUCAUAGAUGGAUCUUGGUGAAACCGUAGGAAAUUUUUUAAUUUUCUGCAACGUUCCCCAACAUGUUUUAUUUUAGUGCUUUCCUAUUGUGCCCUCUGUGUCGCGCAAGCGUGAAGGAUUCCCGCUGUAGGGUGUUGCAAUGCGUUGAUGAUUCGCUUAUAGUGGGUUGCUUGAGUGACAGAAGCAUAAAACCCAGUAAGGGGGUUGUGGUGUAUGGGAUAAAUGGGACUUGAUGCUUUAAUGCUAUGGUUGGGUUUUACCUUAAUGAUCUCUAGUAGUUGCGGAUGCUUGCUAGAGUUCCAAUCAUAAGUGCAUAUGAGCCAAGAAGAUAAAGUAUGUUAGCUUAUGCCUCUCCCUCAUAUGAAAUUGCAAUGACAACUACCGGUCUUGUUAACAAUUUCCUAGGAUAAUUCCGCACACGAUCCAUCAUUAUUCCACACUCGCUAUUUAUAAUAUUUAGUAAUAUAUUCUAACUCUAUGAUAAUAGUACCUACUUUUAUAUUUAGCUCUCUGAUAUCAUGCAAAGUUAUCCUCUUCAUACCCACAAUGUAGUUUUAUUUUUCGUAUCUAGUUGGAAGCAAACGUUUGGUGUACGUAGAGUCGUAUUAGUGGCAGAUAGGACUUGAGAGAAUAUUGAUCUUACCUUUAGCUCCUUGUGGGUUCGACACUCCAUACUUAUCACCUCCACCUUUGGAAAUUGCUACGAUGAUUCCCUGCACUUGGGGAUUAUCAAGCUCUUUUCUGGCACCGUUGUCAGGGAGCAAUAGCGUGGGGUUGAUAUUCUCGUGUGUGCUUGUUUGCUUUGUUCACUAAGUAGAUUUUGUUUUUCCUUUUUGUUUCUAUUUACUUGUGGGUGAAACAUACAAAAAAAAUUAAAGAAUGAAAAUGCAAAAAAUAUUACUUGCCUCUCAUGCCUAAAAAAAGUUUUUCAAAAAGAGAAGUGAUUGGAAAGUUAUGCAUUGAAGAAGUGAGGUCGACCUUGAGCACUUGUGUUCAUGCUCACGGAAACAAUGUAGAAAUUUUCAUUGAAGUUUCUCUGUAAAUAAUUAUCCCCUUGUAUAUAUCCAUUGUAUUAUAAAAAUAAUGUGCCAAACUUUGGUUUUAGGAUGAUUAGAUUGCUUGUUUACUAUGUGCAGAACAAAAAUAGAAACUUUGGCUGUAGUGCGUGAUUUCACAUUUUUUACUGGAAGGUCAAAUGGGUCUAAAACUUUUUGAAUAUUACUUCCGUACAAAUUUUUCAAAUUUUCAUAUUUAUUUCAUAAUUUUUGGAGUUACAGAGGUUUACUAAACUUUCAGAUUACUACAAACUGUCCUGUUUUCGACAGAUUCUGUUUUUCGCGUGAUGUUGGCUUAUUUUGAUGAAUCUAUGGCUAGUAUCGGGGGGUAUGAACCAUAAAGAAGUUGGAAUACAUUAGGUUUAACAACAAUAUAAAUAAAGAAUGAGUUAAAUUACAGUACCUUAAAGUGGUAGUUUGCUUUAUUACAAUAACGGAUAUCACAAAGUUUUUGUUUAAGUUUUUGUGAAUGAAGUGUUCGAAGAACGAGGAGUUACCGAUGUGACAAGAAUAAAGAGAGGCAAGAAUUCAAGCUUGGGGAUACCUAAGGCACCCCAAGUAAAUAUUUCAAAGGAUACUCAAGCAUCUAAGCUUGGGGAUGCCCCGGUUAGCAUCCCAUCUUUCUUCUGCAACAAAUUUCGGUAUACCUUGGUUUUUGUUUUGUUCACAUGAUUUGUGUCCUUUGUGUUUUUGUUUCUUUAAGAACCAUGGUAGUAUGUGAUAUCCCUUCAUUGAUUUAUAGAAUACUUCAUGUGCUUCACUUAUAUCCUUUAAGUAUGAUUUUAUGGAAUUGCUCUUUGUGCUUCACUUAAAUCGUUUGAGUAUGGUUUUAUAGAAUGCCUCGUGUGCUUCACUUACAUAUUUUGAGCUUGGAUAUUGGUUAGUCUAUAUUAAUUGUAGAAUGCUCAAUGAACUUCACUUAUAUCUUUUGGAGUAUGAAUAAUACUAUCAUCUAAAGUGGGUUUGGAAGAGUGUCAACUUUAGUAAUUAGUGAUCCCACUAUUCCGAAUGAGAAGAAUGCUUUAUGUGAUGGUUAUAUUGUUGAAUUCAUUCAUGAUGCUACUAAAAAUUAUUAUGAGGAAGGAAUUUAUUCAUCGACAUGGACGAUGCCUAUCCCGCAUCCUCGUCGUCGAGUCGGCGGAGGACGACACCUGCUUGACCAGAUCGGCCAUGUCCGGGACUGGGCUCCGCCGGGGUGGUACCUUAAAGUGGUAGUUUGCUUUAUUACAAUAACGGAUCUCACAAUGUUUUUGUUUAAGUUUUUGUGAAUGAAGUGUUCAAAGAACGAGGAGUUACCGAUGUGACAAGAAUAAAGAGAGGCAAGAAUUCAAGCUUGGGGAUGCCUAAGGCACCCCAAGUAAAUAUUUCAAAGGAUACUCAAGCAUUUAAGCUUGGGGAUGCCCCAGUUGGCAUCCCAUCUUUCCUCUGCAACAAAUUUCGGUAUACCUCGGUUUUUGUUUUGUUCACAUGAUUUGUGUCCUUUGUGUUUUUGUUUCUUUAAGAACCAUGGUAGUAUGUGAUAUCCCUUCAUUGAUUUAUAGAAUACUUCAUGUGCUUCACUUAUAUCCUUUAAGUAUGAUUUUAUAGAAUUGCUCUUUGUGCUUCACUUAAAUCGUUUGAGUAUGGUUUUAUAGAAUGCCUUGUGUGCUUCACUUACAUAUUUUGAGCUUGGAUAUUGGUUAGUCUAUAUUAAUUGUAGAAUGCUCAAUGAACUUCACUUAUAUCUUUUGGAGUAUGAAUAAUACUAUCAUCUAAAGUGGGUUUGGAAGAGUGUCAACUUUAGGAAUUAGUGAUCCCACUAUUCCGAAUGAGAAGAAUGCUUUAUGUGAUGGUUAUAUUGUUGAAUUCAUUCAUGAUGCUACUAAAAAUUAUUAUGAGGGAGGAAUUUAUUCAUUGAUGUGGACGAUGCCUAUCCCGCAUCCUCGUCGUCGAGUCGGCGGAGGUCGACACCUGCUUGACCAGAUCGGCCAUGUCCGGGACUGGGCUCCGCCGGGGUGGUACCUUAAAGUGGUAGUUUGCUUUAUUACAAUAACGGAUCUCACAAAGUUUUUGUUUAAGUUUUUGUGAAUGAAGUGUUCGAAGAACGAGGAGUUACCGAUGUGACAAGAAUAAAGAGAGGCAAGAAUUCAAGCUUGGGGAUGCCUAAGGCACCCCAAGUAAAUAUUUCAAAGGAUACUCAAGCAUCUAAGCUUGGGGAUGCCCCGGUUGGCAUCCCAUCUUUCCUCUGCAACAAAUUUCGGUAUACCUCGGUUUUUGUUUUGUUCACAUGAUUUGUGUCCUUUGUGUUUUUGUUUCUUUAAGAACCAUGGUAGUAUGUGAUAUCCCUUCAUUGAUUUAUAGAAUACUUCAUGUGCUUCACUUAUAUCCUUUAAGUAUGAUUUUAUAGAAUUGCUCUUUGUGCUUCACUUAAAUCGUUUGAGUAUGGUUUUAUAGAAUGCCUCGUGUGCUUCACUUACAUAUUUUGAGCUUGGAUAUUGGUUAGUCUAUAUUAAUUGUAGAAUGCUCAAUGAACUUCACUUAUAUCUUUUGUAGUAUGAAUAAUACUAUCAUCUAAAGUGGGUUCGGAAGAGUGUCAACUUUAGGAAUUAGUGAUCCCACUAUUCCGAAUGAGAAGAAUGCUUUAUGUGAUGGUUAUAUUGUUGAAUUCAUUCAUGAUGCUACUAAAAAUUAUUAUGAGGGAGGAAUAUAUGCUUAUAGGAGUUGCAAUAAUACCAAAUUUCCUCUCUAUGUGCUAAAAGUUUUGAAGUUAUACUUGUUUUUCCUUCCUAUGCUAGUUGACUCUUGUUCCUAUAAAUUCAUUGAAAGUUCCAUAUGCUUAUAACAUGGUGAGUAAUGACUUCACACAUAAUAAGUAUAGUUAGUAAACUCAUUGAAAGUUAGCAAACGUAGAAUUGGUCACUUGAACAAUUCAUGAAAGAAUAUUGAAGGAAGAGAGGAUUUCACAUAUAAAUAUACUAUCUUGGACAUCUUUUGUAAUUGUGAGCACUCAUUAAAUAUAAACAUGCUAAAAGUUUUAUGUUGGACAAGGAAGACAAUGUAAUGGGUUAUGUUUUCUUAUAUCCGAAAUAAAGUAUAUUAUCAUGGAUCAUCCAACAUGCUGAGCUUGCCUUUCUUCCACAUUCUAUCCAAAUUAUUUGCACCAAGUAAGAGAUAUGUCGGUGCGAGGACGACUCCUAUGGGAUCACAAGAAUCCCUACUACGGUUGCGGGGCGCGGGGUCGUGAGAAGAGCGGAUCAAACAGAUAGCACACGGGUCCUUUAUCCAGGUUCGGGCCGCGAGGUUGCAUAAAACCCUACUCCUGCUUUGGUGGUUUGUUUAUUUGUGUUCUUGGGCUAGCAAUGGGGCGUGAGGAGAUCCAAAAAGCCGAAUCCUCCUCCUGGUCGCCUUGGGCCUCCUUUUAUAGGGAAAGGGGUUGCCACAGUGGCACACAGGAGGUGGAAAGGGUACAGUGAUACGAGUUUAUCCCUCACAUUACAUGACAAGGCGCAUUUAAUGCGUCUCGCUUAGGUGUCCCUUCUUUAUCGGGGACGGGGGAGAGCCCAGUCUCGUCCGUCGCCCCUCCCUUUUGUGUCGACACGCGCCCUGGCCAGCGGUGCCCGUGGUGCCAUGUAGGCAGGCAGGCAGCUGAGGUGGCGCAGCUGUGGAUCUCCACGAGGAUUCGCUUGCCGCCACGCAGGUGCCUGCCCAAUUGGUUGGGUCGGCAGCUGCAUGCAAACGGCGGUGGAGGUUUGGAUUGGCGUGGGCCCGAUGGUGGCCCUACGGGUGUCCUUGGUAAGGGCCUUGUCGUAGCCCCGAUAAGGGUCUUGCCGGGGCCCCGGCAAGGGUCUUGCCGUCGCGCCUGCUGUCAUCCCCGACAAGGCUCUUGCUGGGGGCCUUGUGGUCCUCCUUGGCUGGGAUCCCGCCAAGGGUCGUCAUCUUCUAUAGUGUGUAUAUAAUCUUGAAUGUCUUCACAAAGAUCUGCAUGCCGCCACGGGGAUGUCUCCCGAAUCCUUGCCCCAUGGGGGCAGUGGACUCAAGGGUGAUUUGCUCCGUAGGUGUGGGGCGAGCUACCACGGCAAGGGUCUUGACGGGGUUGCUAAAACCGCCCCCGACAAGGAUCUUGCCGGGGGAGUCCGCUUCGUCCCCUUUGCUCUUUGUGGUCUUCGUCUUGGCGUCGUUCUGCUCCUUUCGAGCUUCGGCCUUACCUUGGCUCACCUCCCUCGCCUUGCUCAUUGUGGUGGUGUCCGUGGCUCAGACUGCCUGUGCACAGUUAUAGGGGUACAAAAAGUGUACCCCUCUUUUUGUACACCGACAAGAUACUACUUGUGCUUCCAAAUAUCCUUAAACCCUGUUUUGCCAUGAGAUUCCAACAUACCUACCUAUGGAUUGAGUAAGAUCCUUCAAGUAAGUUGUCACCGGUGCAUGCAAUGAAAAUUGUUCUCUAAAUAUGUAUGAUCUAUUAGUGUGGAGAAAAUAAGCUUUAUACAAUCUUGAGAUGAGGAAGCAAUAAAAGCGACGGACUGCAUAAUAAAGGUCCCUAUCACAAGUGGCAGUAUAAAGUGACGUUCUUUUGCAUUAAGAUUUUGUGCAUCCAACCUUAAAAGAGCAUGACAACCUCUACUUCCCUCUGCAAAGGGCCUAUCUUUUAUUCUUGUCUUAUACCUUAUACAAGAGUCAUGGUGAUCUUCACCUUUCCUUUUUACAUUUUAUCCUUUGGCAAGCACAUCGUGUUGGAAAGAUCCUGAUACAUAUAUCCAAUUGGAUGUAAGUUAUCAUGAACUAUUAUUGUUGACAUUACCCUUGAGGUAAAAGGUUGGGAGGCAAAACUAUAAGCCCCUAUCUUUCUCUGUGUCCGAUUAAAGCUUUGAACCCAUAAAUAUCACGUGAGUGUUAGCAAUUGUGAAAGAUUAAAUGAUAGUUGAGUAUGUGGAGUUUGCUAAAUCAAAGCUCUGACAUAGACCCUUCCUGAAAAUAAGAUGAACAGCAAUUGUUUGAUGACUAAGAGCACUGUUUGUUAGUUUUUAAGAAAGUUUAUGAUGUAUACUUUAAUAUGUAAAUAGUUUGUUACUUGACUAUGAAAAGUUUUAUGAGAUGAGCUACUGUUAUGACAUACGAUGAUGCUAGAAAAGGUGAUUGAAAUUAUCAUUGAUCAAACUUGUGCACCUGCCAGCAUUUAAACUUCAUAAAGUAUUUCUUUUAUCAUUUACCUACUCGACGACGAGCAGGAAUUAAGCUUGGCGAUGCUGAUACGUCUCCAAUGUAUCUAUAAUUUAUGAAGUAUUCAUGCUAUUAUAUUAUCCAUCGUAGAUGUUUUAUAUGCAUUUACAUUCUAUUUUAUAUGAUUUUUGGGACUAACCUAUUGCUACGUCUUGAGCUUGCGUUGGUUUUCCUCGAAGAGGAGAGGGUGAUGCAGCAAGUGUAGCGUAAGUAUUUCCCUCAGUUUUGAGAACCAAGGUAUCAAUCCAGUAGAAGGCUCCUCAAAAGUCCCACGCACCUACACAAACAAACUGAGAACUCGCAACCAACGCAAUAAAGGGGUUGUCAAUCCCUUCACGGCCACUUGCGAAAGUGAGAUCUAAUAAAGAUAGUAUGAUAAGAUAAAUAUAUUUUUGGUAUUUUAUAAUAUAGAUGCAAAAAGUAAAGAUGCAAAUAAAAGUAGAUUGAAAGCAAAUAUGAUAAGAGAUAGACCCCGGGGCCAUAGGUUUCACUAGUGGCUUCUCUCAACAUAGCAUAAGUAUUACGGUGGGUGAACAAAUUACUGUCGAGCAAUUGAUAGAAAAGCGCAUAGUUAUGAGAUUAUCUAGGCAUGAUCAUGUAUAUAGGCAUCACGUCCAUAACAAGUAGACCGACUCCUGCCUGCAUCUACUACUACUACUCCACACAUCGACCGCUAUCCGGCAUGCAUCUAGAGUAUUAAGUUCAUAGGAACAGAGUAAUGCAUUAAGCAAGAUGACAUGAUUUAGAGGGAUAAACUCAUGUAAUAUGAUAUAAACCCCAUCUUGUUAUCCUCGAUGGCAACAAUACAAUACGUGCCUUUCAACCCUUUCUGUCACUAGGUAAGGACACCGCAAGAUUGAACCCAAAGCUAAGCACUUCUCCCAUGGCAAGAAAGACCAAUCUAGUAGGACAAACCAAACUGAUAAUUCGAAGAGACUUGCAAAGAUAACUCAAUCAUACAUAAAAGAAUUCAGAGAAGAUUCAAAUAUUAUUCAUGGAUAAACUUGAUCAUAAACCCACAAUUCAUCGGAUCUCGACAAACACACCGCAAAAAGAGUUUACAUCGAAUAGAUCUCCACAAGAGAGGGGGAGAACAUUGUAUUUAGAUCCAAAAAGAGAGAAGAAGCCAUCUAGCUAAUAACUAUGGACCCGUAGGUCUGUGGUAAAGUACUCACAACUCAUCGGAGGGGCAAGGAUGUUGAUGUAGAGGCCCUCCAUGGUCGAUUCCCCCUCCGGCAGAGUGCCGGCAAAGGCUACAAGAUGGGAUCUCGCGGAUACAGAAGGUUACGGUGGUGGAAAUUGUGUUUCGUGGUGCCCCUGAAUGUUUUCGGGGUACGUAGGUAUAUAUAGGAGGAAGAAGUACGUCGGUGGCUGCCCGAGGGGCCCAUGAGACAGGGGGCGCGCCCUACAGGGGGGCGGCCUCCUAUCUCGUGGAGCCCUCGGCUGCUUCUUGACUUGCACUCCAAGCUCUCCAGAUCACGUUGGUUCCAAAAAUCACGCUCUCGAAGGUUUUAUUCCAUUUGGACUCCGUUUGAUAUUCCUUUUUUCGAAAUACUGAAAUAGGCAAAAAAAACAGCAAUAUGGGUUGGGCCUCCGGUUAGUAGGUUAGUCCCAAAAAUGAUAUAAAUGUGUAAAAUAAAGCCCAUAAACAUCCAAAAGAGGUAAUAUAAUAGCAUGGGACAAUAAAAAUUGUAGAUACGUUGGAGACGUAUCAAGCAUCCUCAAGCUUAAUUCCUGCUCGUCCUCGAGUAGGUAAAUGAUAAAAAAGAAAUUUCUGAUGUGGGAUGCUACCUAGCAUAAUUCUCAAUGUAAUUUUCUUUAUUGUGGCUUGAAUGUUCAGAUCCAAAUGAUUAAAAAUAAAAGUUUAUAAAACAUAAAAAUAAUAAUGCUUCAAAGCAUACUAACAAAUAAUCAUGUCCUAUCAAAAUAACAUAGCCAAAGAAAGCUUAUCCCUACAAAAUCAUAUGGUUAGGGCAUGCUUCAUUUUCAUUACACAAAAUACUCCCAUCAUGCACAACUCCGAUGACGUGCCGAGCAAUUGUUUCAUACUUUUUAACGCGCUUCAGCUUUUUCAACUCUUACGCAAUACAUGAGCGUAAGCCAUGGACAUAACACUAUGGUGGUAUAUGGUGGUGGUUGUGAGGACAAAAAGGGAGAAGAUAGUCUCACAUCAACUAGGCAUAUCAAUGGGCUAUAUAGAGAUGCCCAUCAAUAGAUAUCAAUGUGAGUGAAUAGGGAUUGCCAUGCAACGGAUGCACUAGAGCUAUAAAUAUAUGAAAGCUCAACAAAAGAAACUAAGUGGGUGUGCAUCCAACUUGCUUGCUCACGAAGACCUAGGGCAUUUUGAGGAAGCCCAUCAUUGGAAUAUACAAGCCAAGUUCUAUAAUGAAAAAUUCCCACUUAGUAUAUGAAAGUGACAACAUAGGAGACUCUCUAUCAUGAAGAUCAUGGUGCUACUUUGAAGCACAAGUGUGGAAAAAGACAUAGUAGCAUUGUCCCUUAUCUCUUUUUCUCUCAUUUUUUUCUUUUUUUCUUUGGCCUUUCUUUUUUUCCUUUUUUUUUCUUUGGCCUUUCUUUUUUUUCUUUUUGGCCUUUCUCUUCUUUUUUCUCAUUUUUUCUUUUUGUAAAGUCCAAAGUCUCAUCCCGACUUGUGGGGGAAUCAUAGCCUUCAUCAUCCUUUCCUCACUAGGACAAUGCUCUAAUAAUGAAGAUCAUCACACUUCUUUGGAUUUACAACUCAAGAAUUACAACUCAAAGCUAGAACACGAUAUGACUCUAUAUGAAUGCCUCCGGCGGUGUACCGGGAUAUGCAAUGAAUCAAGAGCGACACGUAUGAAAAUUAUGAAGGUGGCCUUGCCACAAAUACGAUGUCAACUACAUGAUCAUGCAAAGAGCAAUAUGACAAUGAUGGAAUGUGUCAUAAUAAAUGAAAUGGUGGAAAGUUGCAUAGCAAUAUAUCUCGGAAUGGCUAUAGAAAUGCCAUAAUAGGUAGGUAUGGUGGCUUUUUUGAGUAAGGUAAAUAAGGGGUUUAUGAUAACGAUGAAAGUUGCGCGGUAAUAAUAAAGGCUAGCAACGUAAAAAGGAUGAGUGUGCCUAUGUCCAUGGACUAACAUUAGUCAAAAGAGAACUUAUAUACUUAUUGCAAAAGCCUACUUAGCCCUCAAAGCAAAGUACUACUACGCAUGCCCCAAGAGGGAUAGAUUGGUAGGAAAAUACCAUCGCUCGUCCCCGACUGCCACUCAUAAGGAAGACACUCAAAAGCGCACCUCAUGUAACAAAUUUGUCACACAACUUUUACCAUAUGUGCAUGCUACGGGGCUUGCCAACUUCAACAAAAGUAUUUCUCAAUUUCAUAAUUAUGCACUAGCAUGACCGUAACAUUACUACCUUUAUAUCUCAAAACAAUUAUCAAGCAUCAAGUUGAUCAUAGCAUCCAAUUCUUAUUCUAUGAUAGUUUUUAUUAUACCCAACUUGGAUGCUCAUCAUUCUAGGACCAACUUUAUGACCAUAGCAAAUACCACGCUGUUCUAAAAGACUCUCAAAAAGAUAUAAGUGAAGCAUGAGAGACUAGCAAUUUCUUCAAAAUUAAGACACCACCAUGCUCUAAAAGAUAUAAGUGAAGCACUAGAGCAAAAACUAUGAAGCUCAAAAGAUAUAAGUGAACCACAUAGAGUAUUCUAGCAAAUUCUAAUCAAAUAGGCUUCUCCCAAAAGGUGUGUACAGCAAGGAUGAUUGUGAUAAACUAAAAAGCAAAGACUAAUAUAAUACAAGACGCUCCAAGCAAAACACAUAUCAUGUAGCGAAUAAAAAUAUAGCUCCAAGUAAAGCUACCUAUGGAUGAAGACGAAAGAGGGGAUGCCUUCCCGGGGCAUCCCCAAGCUUAGGCUUUUGGCUAUUAUUGAAUAUCUUGGGGUGCCUUGGGCAUCCCCAAGCUUAGGCUCUUGCCACCCUUUAUUCCAUAGUCCAUAAAAGAUUUACCCAAAACUUGAAAACUUCACAACACAAAACUCAACAGGAAAUCUUAUAAGCUCCGUUAGUGAAAGAAAAUAAAACCACCACAUAAGGUACUGCAAUGAACUCAUUCUUUAUUUAUUUUGGUGUUAAACCUACUGUAUUACAACUUCCUUAUGGUUUAUAAACUAAUUUACUAGCCAUAGAUGCAUUGAAAUAAGCAAACAACACACGGAAAACAGAAUCUGUCAAAAACAGAACAGUCUGUAGCAAUCUGUAACUAACGCAAACUUCUGGAACUCUAAAAAUCCUACCAAAAUAGUAAGUCCUGGAAAAUUUGUUUAUUGAACAUAAGCAAAAAGAAUCAACACAAAAGCACGUUCCUGUGAUUUAACAAAAUUAUAUUCGUGCAUGCAAAGUUUCUGUUUUUCAGCAGAAUCAAAUCAACGAUCAUCGUUGGUUAUCCUAUAGGUUCUACUUGGCACAAACACUAGUUAAAAGUAAAAACACAUCUAAACAGAAGGUAGAUGCAAGAUUUAUUACUAAACAGGAGAAAAAACAAAAAACAUAAAAAAAUUGGGUUGCCUCCCAACUAGCACUAUCGUUUAACGCCCCUAGCUAGGCAUAAAAGCAAAGAUAGAUCUAAGGAGUGCCAUCUUUGGCACUAGAUUCGUAAGUAGCACACAUGAUAGAUUCAUAAGGUAAUUUGAAUUUCUUUCUUGGAAAGUGCUCCAUGCCUUUCUUUAAUGGAAACUGGAAUCUAAUAUUCCCUUCCUUCAUAUCAAUAAUCGCACCAAUCGUCCUAAGGAAAGGUCUACCAAGAAUAAUAGGGCAAGAAAGAUUGCAAUCUAUAUCAAGAACGAUAAAAUCACUACUAGGAAAAGGCCUACUAAUGGCGCACCGGUUUUGCCUACUAAUGGCGCACUACCGGUGCGCCAUUAGUACGACGCCACUAGUAUUUUUUUACUAAUGGCGCACCACUGGUGCGCCAUUAGUAUCUGGUAUACUAAUGGCGCACCAGGCAGUGCGCCAUUAGUAUGUAACACCAUGCGCCAUUAGUAUGCCUCCCGGGGGCCAUAUGUAACCAUCUGCUUUGUCAUACUAAUGGCGCACUCUGCCUUGAUGCGCCAUUAGUAUCCUUUGGCAUACUAAUGGCGCACCCUGUGGUAACGCGCCGUUAGUAUGAAUAUUUGUUUUUUUUUUACUUUUCUGGUUUUUGCACAGGUUACAAAAUAUAUUAUUGGACAGAAUAUAGACAGCAGCACAUAGCAACAGCAGAUUCAUCGAAUACAAUAGAAGAUUAGUCUCCGAAUACAAUUCACCAUAUUAGUCUCCGAAUUCAAAAGACCGAACAAAGAUAAAACAUUACAAGUCUCAAGACCGCGAGUAUCGAGUUUGUCUUCACACUACAAGUCGAUAUCGAUCAUCUAAACUACCAUCACAUAAAAGAGAGAUGCGGUCAUCACGAUGAGCAUCAUCGCAAUCAAACUGGUCUUCAUCCGGUUCCUCCAAUGCUCCCUCCUCUCUCCCGCUAGAUAGCGGGCGUAUCUAGAUUCGGCCUCCGCCCUAGUGGUGUACCCUUUGUAACUAUUACCGCUAAAUGGUGAACCUGUCUCCGACACUCCUCCCAAUCAUCGUAGACUCCGGGAACCUUACCCUUGUACACGACAUACGACGACAUCUCUAUGCACAAGCCAAACAACAGACAAUACAUAAGCAAUAUGUAAGUAUGCAACAAAAGGAUCGGAAGAGAAAAGCAAGACAUUAAUAGCACGAUUCAUGGUCCUACUAAUAAAUAGCAUCGAUUACAUCUAAGUUGAACGACUGUCCAAACCAAAGAGACAUACGAAUUCAUUAAAGUUUAAUUACAACAUGAGCCAAUCAAUGUUUCAGAACUACACAUCACUACUUUCGUCUCGACUCAUCGGACAGGAGCGUGGAUGAAGCCACCAUCUGUCGUGAUGGUCAUGAAAUCGCGGUCGUUGUCACCCUGCAUUUGUAGCGUUCCAUCUCUAUCUCAUUGUUGGACGGUUGAUAUCUGAGGUAGAACUGCCCCGAGGAAUGAAGGACAUCUUGAUGGAUGAUGUCCGCAAACUCUGACUGGAUGCGAAAGAAUUAUUGUCUGAGGUCCGCGUCCUGGAUUGCCAACAAGUUCGCGGCGCAAUCUUUGAGAUUAUCUGGUAGCAGAAGGUGAUGAUGGUCCCUUACGAUCGCCCGCAUGUGAUGGAGGGCGUAGUAGGCAUCCUUCUGACUGCCAGGCGGCUGCUUGACAUAGCAGAACUUCGUAUUGUGUGAGAAGGUGUGCUUGCCGUACUUACGAACUGCCCUGGUGAAGGUGCCUCCAGAUUUGGCGUAGCCGGGGAGAACAUCAUCAAGAACUUUCUUGACAUUUGUGUAGUCUAUCUUGGAGUUACGGUUUGGGUCGAAAUACGUGGCUAUGGAAUAUUUCAGGCUUAAGAGGAUGAGUGUGCAGUGCGUGUCACUGCACAGAACACGGAAUGUUAGAAAAAGAAAUGAUCGAAAUCUAAGAAAUCAUAUGUUACGGGGCGAUUAAGGGAUGACUUACUCGGGAAAGUAAGCCGAAAGGAAGUUAUCCUUAUCUGGGUUUCCCAGAAUGACGCCUUCGAGGUGUGAACUCGCAACUUGGCGGUCGCCAGCGCUGCUCAAGUGCUUGGCACGCAUUUAGAAGGGGUCGACUAUCACGAUGUCCGGGGUCUUGUCUCUAAUGAUCCACAUCUCCAUACUCAGCGAAAACAGCCGAACGAAGGUGUAGUGCAGCGGAUGAAGGUUAAACAUAGCAAAGAUGUCAUCAAACCGCAGGACGAUCGUACCCCCGAUGUUGCCAUCCACAAAGCCCUUGCCCUCUAGCACCUUGGCCACGAAAACCGGGUAUGCCACAUCAUUCUCUUUGAGAUGCCGCUUCUCCAAAGAAAGAACACUGUCGUGCAGACUCCGCAUAGCACCGGUUGCAGCAUUGAGCAUAUUUGGCGGUAGCAUCGCCCUACCCGCCACAUGCACCCUCCUCGAGAUAUCCUUAGGAGAAGGUGGCCCGUCCUGAGCACGGAUUGAACUCGCUGCCGGCUGGCUCGCACCGGCGCCCUUGUUAGUCUUUCGUUUCCGUCCCUUCUUCUUAAUCUUCUGUAAUGGGAGCGAGUUCUGCUCACAGGCCGCCUUCUUGAGCGUGUUGGGGCUGAUAAUAUUUCACACCUCAGCUAUCUAAGGCUCGGUGAAGGCGGGAGCUGGAGGCGUCUCCUGAGAACUGAAUGCCAGACGAUGCCUGUUGCAAUUGGAUUUCUCCGCCGUACCAGCUAGAUUGCGGUUGUCUUGGUUGGGUUCUUGAGAAAGAGCCCGCAGAACUCGUCAUCGUACCCAUGUUCGGCAAAGUACUUAUCGACUUUGGUAAAUGUACCAUCGUCGUUGUUGUCGUCGUCCGGAUCCUGUGCCAUAGGGAUGUCCGUAUCCUGUGCCAUAGGGAUGUCCGGCACAGGGAUGUCCGGCAGGUCCGGUAGCGUUGCGGCGUUCUUGCCAUGGCUUGGCACCGGCACGACUGGCGGUCUUGUCCGUGGGGUGGUGUCCCCCGCCCCCAAACGAAUCUGGCUCUUCGGCCAAAGCAGGGGCCAGUAUACGCAGGCGGCGCUGAGGGUCAUCUCAUCUUCUUCGUCGGCCCCAGCGGGUCGAAUCGGAGGUAACAGCUCGUCGCAGCCUGGCAGCACCUGAACCACUUUAACCCUAUACACUGUGGGUGGCAUCGGAUUACCGUGGAACAUGGGGUUACCCGGUUGAAUGAUUCUGCCCUUGGCGACAUCGACCAACUCGGCGCCCACGAAGUGCAGAAGAGUGCAAGGAACGUCGGCGGCGCCCUGCGAAAACAUGUACAGGGCGUCAGAGAUGCCCAGUCAAAGGCAAGGAGAUGAAGUCAUUGGCCGAGAGGCUUAGUUAUCAUGAUGCCGUCGAGCUCGGCUAAUGUCGAGGCACCGCCAACGGCGGGCGUGCAACUGACGGAGGGGGCGCUUGUUGGCGAGGUGCCGGCCGACGUACACCCGGGUGCAUUAAGCUCCAAUGCCCGUGCCAGCGCCGGCGACACGAAUACCGCCUCCGCCAGAGACACUAAUGGAACCGCCGCCGGAGACACCAAUGGCGCCACCGGAGACACCAAUGGCGCCGCCUGCGCGCUGUGCGAGUUGCUGGCCGUGAAGCUGGGAACCGGGGGAGGCCCCUGUUGGCCGUCCGCAAUCCACGUCGUCAGCCCAUGAAUCAGCGUAGGCACCGUGGCGUUGAGCUUCGUUCCCAGUUGUUGUUCCACUUGCUCUUGGACAAGCUCCGGAAUCCGCGCCAAUUGUGCCUUGAGUGCUUCAACCUCGCGCGUCUGGCUUUCCGAGCUGGUCUUUUUCUCCUUCCGCACACCAGCGGUAUAGUCUGACCCCCAUUUUGUGGACAAGCCUUUGCUGGCCACACGACCAGCUGAUGUCGGCUUAGUGAGCUUAUCCUUGUUUUUCAUUACAUUCAACGCCCUAUUUAAAGGGGUGUCGAAAGGGGAGCUCUGAGACGACCCGCGGUACGGCUUUCAGUGUCCUGCAAAAGGAACAUGAACCAUUUAGAAAUAUUGGGGAUUAAUUAGAGUGCAACCAUAUGGAGCUAAUUAUGCGGGGGUGUAUUCCUUACCAGAACAAGCUCAAGCGCCCUCGUCUUCGAAUCCGUGGUAAGCUCCUUUGUUAUCGGGUCCUCCUUGUACCGGGCACUCACAAAGUUCCUGGUCUGCUUGUCACUGCUGUAUUUCUCGAAGCGGGGCGGUAGGCCUUGCUCGGCACGCUCCGCGUUCUCCUUGUCCCAUAUAGGCUCCGCCACUCUGUAACCGCCGGGACCGAGUUUGUGUUCCCCUAAGUUCAACUCCCGCAUUUCUUUCCCCCACUGAUUUGAUUCGGAGGUUGCACUGCUCUCGCACUUGAUCUUGAACUCCUUGUACUCAUCUUCGCUCAUCAAAGGAUAUUUCGCCUUGAUAUUCUCAUAACUAUCACCUUUAUCAAUCAUUCUCUUCAUCGCGCUUCUACAAGUAGACAUGGUCGUGCUCAUCCUCGUGAGGGUGGCACUGUUGACUUUAUUCCCUGAGAGGCGUGUGUUUUCAAAUUUGGCGGGGAACUUGUAUCGUUCGUGCAGCUUCGUGAAGAGGAGGUUGUGCAAAUUCCCGUGGUCCUUAUGCCUAAGGUUCUCGGUGUUGAUCGAGACGGUGCUCCGGAGAAUGCACCCGAGCUGAAGCGAGUACCCCUUGACUAUAUGUUUGGGCUCCGUUAGAUGCCCGUCGGAGUCCACUUGAGUGAAUUCCUCCUUGAGGGUGCAGAGCGCAUUCGGGCGCCGGUCCUUCCUUUGCUUCUUCGGUUGGCUGCCAUCUAUGUGUGCGCCGCCAUCAUCAGUGGUGGCAUCCUCGGCGGCACCAUCAGUGGUGUCAUCCCUGACGCCACUAGGGGUUGUGUAGUCAGGAUCGGUGUCUUCCGCAGCGUCCUCAUAGCGGUGAGGUUGUUCCUCCAUCUCCUGGGACAGCUCCCAGAAUUGCUUGCUGCCCGAACCGCCGGCCUCAUCGUGGUUGGCCAUGUUUCGCUCUAAAUAGGAAAACAGUUUGGUCAAAAAGUUGGUUAUUGUCAAGGAACAAGAUCAUGGUCUCAUCAUUUAGGGUUUGUCGACACCGAGGCAUCCUAAAAGUUAAGUUUUCAUCAUUUAGGGUUUAUCGAUGCCGAGGCACCCUAGGUUGGGCCUAAUCACUUGGCACUAAUCACUUGGCUCUAUUGCCAGAUACGUUGGGUUUAUCAUCUAGGGUUUAUCGAUGCUGAGGAGAAUUCUAAGUUGGGCCUGAUCACUUGGCUCUAUUGCUACCUAUGGUUUAAUGCAACAAGAAUAAAGGGGCAAUUGAUCCUACUUAAUUAAGUACUAAGAUACCCCGGCCCAUGCAUUAGUAGCAAGUACCCCAUAUGUCCGAUUUUUAGCAAAGUCAUGCUAAAAUUCACGGAAAAUUUCAGCAUGACCUUUGCCGAAAAUAGGACAUAUGGAGUACCCGAAUUUGCCGGAACGGAAGUUAAUCGACAUUCCGGCAAACUCAAGGGCCUCUCGGGGUACAACAGCAGCAUCACAAGUUGAAAAAAUUCCCAAGUAGUACAGCAGCAGCAUCACAAGUAGUACCAAUGAACAUAUAGUCCAGCACAUUCUGAAUUUCGAUAAAUGACAGCAAGUUAACUCAUGCUGACAGCAAUAAACUUAUAACAACAUAAAUGAAAUUGCAGUUCCAAGUGGGUAUGGGAAAUAAUAAAACCAGAUAAAUGAUAGUGUUUGCUCCACUUAACAAAAAUAAAGAAAUGAUUUUGUUCAAUACAUCUGGUAAGCUGCACACUGUCUAAUAUGUGUCAUAAAUGACAAAGCUGCACACUGUCUAAUAUGUGUCAUAAAUGACACUAAGAUCUCAUUACACUCUACAUAUGCAACAUCUAUAGAAAGAGACCAUCAUUAAUAUUCGGGUACUAUCACAAAAAUCAGUGUUAGGCGUGCAAAGAUCCCCCACCACAUCCUCGAGAGGUUUUGCAGUGUGGACUAGUCAUAUUUUUCCUUGAAAUCUAAGUGCAAUAUGUCUGUCUUGUUGCUAACUGAAUUUACAGUAUCUAAGUGGUCCCUAAAUUCUACAGUAUUUAUGUUCAUGACUUUACUAAACUAUGGUAUCUUUCUUAACAGUGCCUUGAUCUAAUUAGUUGUACUUUAGCUCCAUAUAGUUAUGUGUAAUUUGUUCCUUGAUUUUCUGUCAUCUCUGAAUUUUGCUGUUCCUGUGCUUGCUGCUCCUUGAUUCACACAUGUAUAGGAGGUACAAGAGGUUAAAUUGAAUCCAAUGUUAUAUGUUUUGAUCUCCUUUCUGAAUUCCCUUUGUUAUUUUUAACUCAAACAAGUACCCAGAUUUAUCAAGACCUAGUGAGCAUUGUCAGUGUUGGAGAGGGAGUGAUCUGACUAGGUUUAUGUGACUGAUCUUCAUUAACUUUUCUCUCUAACCUUUUUUACAGUCCAAAUGAUAACGAUUUACAGAUUGUAGUAGUUGUCUUUAACACGAUGGAAUCAGCAUCUAGUUUAACCAACCCAAACAAUGCACUAUGCAAUUAUUUUAAAAGCAAUGUUACAAAGUCCUCAAAUGUCUGAAAUUGGAGGCAACACCUUUUACCAUCAGUGUUAGAACAUCUAACAAACUAUCAGAAUUUCUAUAACAGACGCGGAUACUCGUCAAUUAUAGUGUUAUGGACAUGUAUAAAACCUAAAUUUUGUUCACAUGUUAUUCAGAUGAUAGGUGCAUUAGCAUCUUUUGUUUCAGUUUUCUGCUUUCAGUUGAGUAAGCAUAGGUACAUUAGCAUCGCCAUGUUCAGAACUAUAGGUGCUAACAAAAAUGGACUGAAACUUAUAGGAAGAGUGUCCGAGCGCAUUAGGGUCACCAUAUUCAAAAUUCGAUCAUUGUCGAAUCAGAAAUUUAUUUUCUGCUGGUGGACUGAAACUUUUAGCAGAAUAACAAAACUCUAGUGUUCAACUCACUGCAAGAACCACCACCUCUGUGUCAACACAACACCUAAGAGAAAUGCAGCUGGCAACACUGAAGUAGUGGCCAUUGUCAAACGCGUUACAGACUAAUGUCACCACACCGUUGUUCAAACAGUUUCAAAAUUUUCGAACCGUGAUGCCAGCACAAAUAGGUUUCCUAUAUACUGUCAGGGAGAACAAAUCAAUUUUAGCUAGCAGAAAAACAACAACUGCAAGGUUCUCCUGAACCCAUGUCUCACCAUGGAGGGGUGGAGGAGUGGGCACUUGGGCGGUGGCUUCGGGACGGAGGCGCCAUGGGCAGCCGGUGCAGAGGGGCGCGGCGGCGGCUUCCUGUUGUCCCUGCUGCGGCAGAGGGCAGAGGGGCAGCCGGUGCAGAGGGGCGCGGCGGCGUCCGAUGCGUGUGUGCAACCUGCGUGAGGAAGGAAAAUCAAAUGGCGUGAGGGAGGGGAAGGGAGGGGAGGGAAGAAGAGGAAAUCGAAGAUGGUACCUUGGUCCGACGGAGAUGGCAUCACAGUAGUAGAGGAAUAAGGUGAAAUCGAUGUUGGUGGUGGUGACGCCGGUGGUCUGGACGGCCGGGAACACCAGCGCGAAGGGGUCCUGCGGGCGGAGGGGGGACGGCGAGGGAGGCGGCGCUCGGCUCGGCGUCGCGNNNNNNNNNNNNNNNNNNNNNNNNNNNNNNNNNNNNNNNNNNNNNNNNNNNNNNNNNNNNNNNNNNNNNNNNNNNNNNNNNNNNNNNNNNNNNNNNNNNNNNNNNNNNNNNNNNNNNNNNNNNNNNNNNNNNNNNNNNNNNNNNNNNNNNNNNNNNNNNNNNNNNNNNNNNNNNNNNNNNNNNNNNNNNNNNNNNNGGCUCCGAGGUUUCUAGGGUUUCGAGGGGGGAGGCAGGGCUCGGGGGGUAGGCAGCGCUUGAGAGGGGGAGGAAGGGGAGAGGGAGGCGGCGGGGGCGCGUGGGCAGCUGUGGCGCAGUGGGUCGGGGCAGCGGCGGCAGCGACGCGGUGGAGGGAGGGACGAGGGAAGGAGUGGCGCCGUGGAUCGAGGGAGAGGGAUCUGGCGAGGGAGAGGGAAGGGGGAUCGGGCGAAGGGGUAUCCAGCUAGACACUAUAGCAAUGGCGCACCACCCUCUGGUGCGCCAUUAGUAGUUUUUUUUGUGAUAGCAAUGGCGCACCCUCCUCUGGUGCGCCAUUAGUAACUUUUUUUUUCUGACAGCAAUGGAGCACCCACCUAGGGUGCACCAUUAGUAACUUUUUUUUCAUUAUUUCUUGUUGCAUCUAAUAAUUUGUUUUUUAUCAAAUUUGUUAUUUUCAUGAGGACUAGAACAGAAGAUAUCAUCAAAUAUCAUCAAUUUGUUUUUGAAAAUAUCAUCAAUUUUUGUUAAUUGAAAAUAUCAUCAAAUUUGUUAUUUGAAAAUAUCAUCAAAAAGUGGGGGAGGGUGCGGGGUGUCGGCGGCGGCGGUGGAGCGGGGGAGGGUGCGGAGGGUGCUCGGCGGUGGUGGAGCGGGGGAGGGUGCGGGGGGUGCUCGGCGGCGAGGGGGGUCUGGCGAGGGGGAUCGGAUAGCUAUCGAGAGGGAGGGGGAUCGAGAUCGAGUGUCCUCAUGAAUAUUCAAUAUUUUUUCAUAUUGAAUAUGAAAAAAUAUCAUCCAAUUUGAAAAAAUAUUCAUGAAUUCAAAAAGUGCCCAUGAAAUUUGAAAAUAUUCAUGAUACCAAAAAGUGCCCGAGAAAUGAAGACUACGCUUUAAAUACAAUCGAUCUUAGCUAGCUAUCUGUUCACAAUCUUCUUGCCCUUCUUUUUCGCAAAUGGAGUUCUUCUGUGGAACGGACGUCCUUUAGGUAGGGUGGUCCUACUUCUUCUUGUGGUGUGUGCUGCUACUUCAUCGUCGUCGUCAUUUUCGAUCUUCGGGUCGCCAUACUUGUCGAAGUCUUGCUCAUUGGCUACUCCAUCCAUUCCGAUGAUCUUCCUUUUGCCUCUCCUCACGACAACACAACUGGGCUUUGGUGGGUCGGUAAUGAAGAAGCAUUGGUCCACUUGGGAAGCCAGUACCAUGGCUCAUUUUUCGCGGUGACGUUUGCGCCCGCGGUCUUGGAUUUGGCUUCGGGUAUAACCAUGGUGGUGAAAUACCGGUCUUCUUUUAGGACGCUCUUUGCCCAUCUGACACGGAACAUCGGGACCUUCUCUCCAGUGUAGCUCAGCUCCCAGAUCUCCUCGAUCCUUCCGUAGUAUUUGUCCUUGUCGUUACCGGUGUAGGAUUCCAUUGUUACCCCGGAGUUCUGAUAACCAUCGCUCUUCAUGUCCUUGUUCUCGGUGUAGAAUGUGUAGCCGUUGAUAUCGUACGCCUCAUAGGUCAUCAGGUUGUGCUCGGCGCCCUGUGACAAGGCGAAUAUGAGUUGUUCUUCCGCGGAAGAAUCCUCAUGUAAAGGGUACGAUAGAAGCUUCUGCUUCAACCAACGCGUGAAACAUGAGUUGUGCUCUUUGAUUAUAUCUCCGUCCGUCCUCUGUUGGCCUCGGUCAUUGUACGUCUUCUCAAUAAAGGUUUUCUGCUCUACCACCCAAGGAUCGACCACGUCUAUGUGUUGUAGCGCGACUAGGUUUGCUCUUUCAAAGUCGGCGAGUCGACCCUCGAAGUCGACUUGCAUUUCGCGGCGACCCUCACGGUGACCCCAUCCAGCGAGCCUGCCGAGGUGCCUGUUGACGGGCAGACCAACAGGGUUCUCGAUGCCUAGAUAAUUCAUGCAGUAGGAGAUGUACUCUUUGGUCAGAAAGCCCCUGGCUAUACUUCCCUCUGGACGUGACAUGUUGCGAACGUAUCCUUUAAUGACACCAUUCAUCCUUUCAAACGGCAUCAUGCUGUGCAGGAACAUCGGCCCGAGUUGGAUGAUAUCCUACACGAUAUGGACCAAUAGAUGCACCAUAACGUCGAAGAAUGCGGGCGGGAAGUAUAUCUCAAGCUCGCAUAGUAUCACCACGAUCUCUUCCUGUAGCCUUCUGAGUUGCCUCACGCCAAUCAACUUCCAAGAGAUGAUGUCGAAAAAGUUACAUAGGACAAAUAGCAUUUCACGUACGUGCGCGUCCAUGAUCCCACGGAUUGCAACUGGAAGUAUCUGCGUCAUCAGCACGUGACAGUCGUGAGACUUAAUCCCGCUGAACUUCUGCAUCGCUAGGUCUAGGUAUCUGCUUAUCUUCCCCGCGUAACCGUAAGGAAGUUUUACUCCUUCGAGGCAGUUGAAAAACUGCUCGAUCUCCUCCUGACUUAGAGUGAAGCACGCGGGAGGGUAGUCAUUUCCGGUCUUCUUGGCCUUUUUGCCUUUGCGACGAGUUUCUGUGUCCUGCUUCGCCUCGUCAUCAUCAUCAUCAUCAUCAUUAGCGUGAAGCUCCUGCCUGAUGCCCAUUGAUUUCAAGUCUGCCCUUGCUUUCGGCCCAUAUUUGGUCCUCUCUGGCAUGUUGAGCAGGGUACCAAGCAGACUCUCGCACACGUUCUUCGUGAUAUGCAUGGCAUCAAGGCUGUGAGGCACAUGGUGGAUCUUCCAAUACGGCAAGUCCCAGAAAACAGAUCUCGUUUUCCAUACCUUCAGCAGCGGCUCUGGCGCCUUUCGCUUCUUUCCCGGCUCUAGCGCCUUUUGCUUCAUUCCCGGCAGUGGGCAAUCUUUCCAAUUUUUCAACAGCUCAUCUAUUUCCUCGCCGCUCCUCGUACACGGGCGUUUUUGGGGUUCGGUUUCACCAUCGAACAGAUCCUUGCGUUUCCUCCACUGGUCAUCAUCGCGAAGCCACCUUCGAUGUCCCAUGAACACGGUUUUCAAAGACCCGGGAUCUCUAUCUAGCUGGCGAUAUGUUGUGUCAUCCAUGCACCUUACGCAUCCAGAAAAUCCGUGGACUACCUGCCCCGCGAGAUAUCCAUAACCGAGAUAGUCGUGCACCGUCGUGAGCAGUGCGGCUCUCAUUGGGAAAUAAUCUUUAUCUGCGACGUCCCACGUAUUGGCUGGCGUUUUCCACAGCGUGUCUAGCUCCUCCUUCAGCAGCCCCAGAUACAGAUUGAUGUCGUUCCCUGGUUGUUUCGGCCCUUCAAUUAGCAUACUCAUGUGAAUGUACUUCCUCUUCAUGCACAACGAGGGGGGAAGGUUAUUCAUCCACACAAACACAGGCCAGGUGCUAUGUGUGCUUCUCUGGCUGCCAAACGGAUUGACUCCAUCGGUGCUCGCGCCCAGCAUGAUGUUCCUUGGAUCCUUCCCAAAUGCUGGGUAUUCGAAGUUCAACGCUUGCCACUGGCUCGCAUCCUUAGGGUGACUCAGCAUCUUGUCUAUUUUAUUUAUCUCCGGAUCAUUUCCGUCAUCUUCCCGCUUCUUCUCCUCCCUAUCCGCGUGCCAACGCAGGAGCUUUGCUACCUUAGGGUCCACGAAAUACCGCUGCAGACGAGGAGUGAUCGGAAAGUACCACACCGAUUUUCAAGGAGCUUUCUUCCUCUUCUUGUAUCGAGUGACGCCGCACACCGGACAUUUGGUAGACUCCUUGUGCUCGUCCCGAUAAAUGAUGCAAUUUUUAAUGCACACAUGGUAUUUCACGUGCGGUAAAUCCAGAGGACACACGAUUUUCUUCGCCUCCUUGAAACUGGUCGGGCACUUGUUCCCCUUGGGAAGACGUUCAUGCCAGAAUGACAUGUUCUUGUCGAAGCAUGCGUCGGUCAUUUUGUGUUUUACCUUCAUCUCCAGAGCCAUGAGCGUUACUUUCAGGCGGGUAUCCUCGGGCCUGCAUCCUUCAUACAAUGGAGUAACCGCGUCUAUCUCCAGUUGAUCCAGCUUGGCUUUCUCUUGGGCGGCAGCUCUUGCGUUAUCCGUCUGCUUGCGAAGCAGCUCUUGAAUAUGAGGGUCCUGCACCCAGCCUCCAUCGUCGUCUGCUCCGGCAUCUUAAUCUUCAUGAUCAUGCCCUUCGUCUUGAUCUUCCUCAUCAUCAUGUAUGAAAUCUUCUACAUGAUGACUGUGUACAUCAUCACCGUCAUGAUCAUGUCCUGGAGAUUCUUCGUCUUCUCGCCCGCCCUCGCCGCGGUGGUUGUCUUGUUGCCCUUCCUCAUUUCUUGCCCAGCCCCCAUGGACGACUUCAUAGUCAUCUUCGUCACCUUGCCACCGAUAGCCAUCCAUGAAACCACGCAAGAGCAGAUGGUCCCGCACCUGCCCAGAAUCCGGGUCUACAAUAAGGCUCUUCAGCUUGCAUCUUCGACACGGGCAUCUUAUCUCCGUCUCGUUCUUUUGAAGCAUCUCGGCCUUCGCGGAGCUAGAAAACCUAUUCAUGAUGCCUUCGGUCAUCGUGCGGACCAUGGUCGCCUGCGAGGUAGAGCAAAACGAUAUUUUAGAACCAAGAAAAAAAUUGGCAUGACCUUCCCUAAAAAUAGGACCAAAAAGAAUGCAUAGUGCCAAAAUUCUCGCCGAAACGGAAAUGAAUCAACAUUCCGGCAAAAUAUUGGCAACUAUCGCAUUUCAAAUACCGGUACCUGCAAACACAAACAUAUAUGCAACACCACAAUCAUAUGCAACAUCACAAACAUACAUAGAUCUAGCUAGGCCACAAAAAGUGCAUGUGCAUGUUGUUGGAGCGAGCUAGGGAGAAAAAAGUAGAUCUACAACAUGAAGAUAGCUUUCCCCUUACUUACCUAUCAAAAAAAGGUAAUUUCACCACUUAAUUUUGAUGAAUCUAUGGUGCAAAUGAGGUGAGGAGGAGGAGGCAGCCGAAAGCUUGGAGAAGGAGGUGGAGGGAAUGAAGNNNNNNNNNNNNNNNNNNNNNNNNNNNNNNNNNNNNNNNNNNNNNNNNNNNNNNNNNNNNNNNNNNNNNNNNNNNNNNNNNNNNNNNNNNNNNNNNNNNNNNNNNNNNNNNNNNNNNNNNNNNNNNNNNNNNNNNNNNNNNNNNNNNNNNNNNNNNNNNNNNNNNNNNNNNNNNNNNNNNNNNNNNNNNNNNNNNNNNNNNNNNNNNNNNNNNNNNNNNNNNNNNNNNNNNNNNNNNNNNNNNNNNNNNNNNNNNNNNNNNNNNNNNNNNNNNNNNNNNNNNNNNNNNNNNNNNNNNNNNNNNNNNNNNNNNNNNNNNNNNNNNNNNNNNNNNNNNNNNNNNNNNNNNNNNNNNNNNNNNNNNNNNNNNNNNNNNNNNNNNNNNNNNNNNNNNNNNNNNNNNNNNCUUUGACACGGUGCGCCAUUAGUAGUUUUGCAAAAAAAGAAUAAAAAAAAUUCAGUACUGGCGCACUCCUAGUCUGGUGUGCCAUUACUAGUUAGAACUAGUAAUGGCACACUUCGGCCGGAUGCGCCAUUAGUAUGUAUGUAAAAAUGAAAAAAAAAAUUAUCACUAGUGGCGCACCUUUUGUCUGGUGCGCCAUUAGUGUCUUCCAUACUAAUGGCGCAUCACCAACUGGUGCGCCAUUAGUAUAUAGUAGUGGCGCACUACUUCCCAGGUGCGCCAUUAGUGUCGAUCCUAUCUAUAGCCCUUUUCCUACUAGUGAAUCUACGGGCACCAAAUUUCUAUUUGGAACAAUAAGAACAUCAUUGAUCCUUCCCAUAGGCUUUUUAAUGGUGGAAUCCGCAAGCUGCAAAUUUAAAGAGCAAUCAUCAAGAUCAUGGAAACCUAGAAUAUCACAUAAAGUUUUCGGAAUCGUGGAAACACUAGCACCCAAGUCACACAAAACAAAACACUCAUAAUCUUUAAUUCUAAUCUUUAUAGUAGGUUCCCACUCAUCAUUAAGUUUUCUAGGUAUAGAAACUUCCAAAUUAAGUUUUUCAUCAUAAGAUUGCAUCAAGGCAUCAAUAAUAUGUUUGGUAAAAGGUUUAUUUUGACUAUAAGCAUGAGGAGAAUUAACAACGGAUUGCAACAAGGAAAUACAACCUUUUAAAGAACAAUUAUCAUAGUCAAAUUCCUUGAAAUCCGAGAUAGUAGGUUCAAUAUUAUUGGAAGUUGAGGAUUCUCCAAUCUCACUUUUACCAAAUUUAGCAUUAAGAUCUAAAGACUCCGAAUUCUUGGGACACCUUCUAGGCAAAGUUGAUUCGUCAUCAGUGCCAUAAUCAUCAAAAUUCGUAUUGCAAAACAUAGAUCUAAUAGGAGACGCAUCAAUAACUUUAAGAUCCUCAUCAUUAUUUUCCUCUAACUUUUCUGGUUUAGCGGCCAUCUUAUUGACUAAGGUGGCUUGCUUAUCAGAAAUUUUGGCUAUAGCAUUCUCAAGACGGGUAAUUUGAGCAUUAAAACCAUAAAAUUCUUUAUUCAAAUCAUCAAGCUCUUUGUUCAAAAACCCCAAAAAACCUUUUUGUUCCUUAAGCUCUUUUCUAAAGAAAUUAUUAUGCUCAAAUUGCAAAUUCAUAAAGCUUCUAAUAUUUGAUUCAAUCUCAUCCAUCCUUCUGAGAAGGUGGUCAGGACCCUUAGGUGAAGCCAUAAGGUCAAACAAGCACACAAGCACACAGAAAAAGACAAGAGAAAAGAGAGGAGGAGAUUGGGAAAGAGAGGGCGAAUAAAACAGCAAGGGUGAAGUGGGGGAGAGGAAAACGAGAGGCAAAUGGCAAAUAAUGUAAAUGCGAGGGAGAUGAGUUUGUGAUGGGUACUUGGUAUGUUGACUUGAGCGAAGACCUCCCUGGCAAACGGCGCCAGAAAUCCUUCUUGCUACGUCUUGAGCUUGCGUUGGUUUUCCUCGAACAGGAGAGGGUGAUGCAGCAAGUGUAGCAUAAGUAUUUCCCUCAGUUUUGAGAACCAAGGUAUCAAUCCAGUAGGAGGCUCCUCAAAAGUUCCACACACCUACACAAACAAACUGAGAACUCGCAACAAACGCAAUAAAGGGAUUGUCAAUCCCUUCACGGCCACUUGCGAAAGUGAGAUCUAAUAAGAUAGUAUGAUAAGAUAAAUAUAUUUUUGGUAUUUUAUAAUAUAGAUGCAAAAAGUAAAGAUGCAAAUAAAAGUAGAUUGAAAGCAAAUAUGAUAAGAGAUAGACCUGGGGGCCAUAGGUUUCACUAGUUGCUUCUCUCAAGAUAGCAUAAGUAUUACGGUGGGUGAACAAAUUACUGUCGAGCAAUUGAUAGAAAAGCGCAUAGUUAUGAUAUUAUCUAGGCAUGAUCAUGUAUAUAGGCAUCACGUCCAUAACAAGUAGACCGACUCCUGCCUGCAUCUACUACUAUUACUCCACACAUCGACCGCUAUCCAGCAUGCAUCUAGAGUAUUAAGUUCAUAGGAACAUAGUAACACAUUAAGCAAGAUGACAUGAUGUAGAGGUAUAAACUCAUGCAAUAUGAUAUAAACCCCAUCUUGUUAUCCUCGAUGGCAACAAUACAAUACGUGCCUUGCAACCCUUUAUGUCACUGGGUAAGGACACCGCAAGAUUGAACCCAAAGCUAAGCACUUCUCCAAUGGCAAGAAAGACCAAUCUAGUAGGCCAAACCAAACUGAUAAUUCGAAGAGACUUGCAAAGAUAACUCAAUCAUACAUAAAAGAAUUCAGAGAAGAUUCAAAUAUUAUUCAGAGAUAAACUUGAUCAUAAACCCACAAUUCAUCGGAUCUCGACAAACACACCGCAAAAAGAGUUUACAUCGAAUAGAUCUCUACAAGAGAGGGGAAGAACAUUGUAUUGAGAUCCAAAAAGAGAGAAGAAGCCAUCUAGCUAAUAACUAUGGACUCAUAGGUCUAUGGUAAACUACUCACACCUCAUCGGAGGGGCAAGGAUGUUGAUGUAGAGGCCCUCCAUGGUUGAUUCCCCCUCCGGCAGAGUGCCGGCGAAGGCUCCAAGAUGGGACCUGGCAGAUACAAAAGGUUACGGUGGUGGAAAUUGUGUUUCGUGGUGCCCCUGGAUGUUUUCGGGGUACGUAGGUAUAUAUAGGAGGAAGAAGUACGUCGGUGGCCGCCCGAGGGGCCCACGAGACAGGGGGCGCGCCCUACAGGGGGGGCGCGGCCUCCUAUCUCGUGGAGCCCUUGGCUACUUCUUGACUUGCACUCCAAGCUCUCCGGAUCACGUUCGUUCCAAAAAUCACGCUCCCAAAGGUUUCAUUCUGUUUGGACUCCGUUUGAUAUUCCUUUUCUUCAAAAUACUGAAAUAGGCAAAAAAACAGCAAUAUGGGUUGGGCCUCCGGUUAGUUGGUUAGUCCCAAAAAUGAUAUAAAUGUGUAAAAUAAAGCCCAUAAACUUCCAAAAGAGGUCAUAUAAUAGCAUGGAACAAUCAAAAAUUAUAGAUACAUUGGAGACGUAUCACCUAUUAACCUAGAGCCCAGUGCCAGUUUCUGUUUUCUCCUUGUUUUUGAGUUUUACAGAAAAUGGAUACCAAACAGAGUCCAAUUGACGUGCCAAUUUUUGAUGAAUUUUUGUGGACCAAAAGAAGCCCCUGGAGUGCAAGAGUUGGGCCAGAAGAGUCCCGGGCUACCCACGAGGGUGGGGGCGCGCCCACCCCCCCAGGGCGCGCCCCCUACCUUGUGGACAGCCCGGAGACCCCCCGGACGUGAAAUAAACGCCAACCUGUCCUAUAAAUACAGAAACCUUAGGGAAAUAACCUAGAUCGGAAGUUCCACCGCCGUAAGCCUCUAGAGCCACGAGAAAUCAAUCUAGGCCCUCUCUGACACCCUGCCGGAGGGGGCCAUCAUCACCGGAGGUCAUGGAGGAGGAUCCCGGAGGGGCCAUCAUCGCCAUGAAGGCCAAGGACCAGAGGGAGAUCCUCUCCCCAUCCAGGGGGAGGCCAUGGAGGAGGAAGCACAAGGGGGAGGACCUCUCCUCCUCUCUCUCGGUGGCGUCGGAGUGCCAUCAGGAGGGGAAUCAUCGCCGCAGUGAUCGUCUUCAUCACCAUCAUCAUCACCAUCCUCAUCUCUUUUACGCAGUCCACUCUCCCGCUCCCCGUUGUAAUCCCUACUUGAACAUGGUGCUUUAUGCCACAUAUUGUGAUCCAAUGAUGUGUUGCCAUCCUAUGAUGUUUUGAGUAGAUAUCUUUUGUCUUUGGGUUGAUUGAUGAUCUAGAUUGGUACGAGUUGUAUGUUUUCUUUUGGUGCUGUCCUAUUGUGCCCUCCGUGUCGCGCAAGCGUGAGGGAUUCCCGCUGUAGGGUAUUGCAAUACAUUCAUGAUUCGCUUAUAGUGGGUUGCUUGAGUGAUAGAAGCAUAAACUUGAGUAAGGGGGUUGUGGCGUAUGGGAUAAAGGGGACUUGAUGCUUUAAUGCUAUGGUUGGGUUUUACCUUAAUGAUCUUUAGUAGUUGCGGAUGCUUGCUUGAGUUCCAAUCAUAAGUGCAUAUGAUCCAAGAAGAGAAAGUAUGUUAGCUUAUGCCUCUCCCUCAUAUGAAAUUGCAAUGACAACUACCGGUCAUGUUAACAAUUGCCUAGGAUUAUUCCGCACACCGAUCCAUCAUUAUUCCACACUCGCUAUUUAUAAUAUUUAGUAAUAUAUUCUAACUUUAUGAUAACAACACCUACUUUUAUAUUUAGCUCUCCGAUAUCAUGCAAAGUUAUCCUCUUCAUACCCACAAUGUAGUUUUAUUUCUUGUAUCUAGUUGGAAGCAAACCUUCGGUGUACGUAGAGUCGUAUCAGUGGCAGAUAGGACUUGAGAGAAUAUUGAUCUUACCUUUAGCUCCUUGUGGGUUCGACACUCCAUACUUAUCACCUCCACCUUUGGAAAUUGAUACUAUGAUUCCCUGCACUUGGGGAUUAUCAUCGACAAGAGGGUCGGUUUCAAAUUCCGGUUCACAUACCUCCUAGAUUAAAAUAUCUCUAUGUCAACUUGAUGGCCAUAAUUGUCAUAAAUGUGAAAUGCAACAAAUAGUUAUGAAAGAGAAUUUACCACAUCCGAAUCAUAAAACGGGUGAGGGCCGACGGGGACGGACAUCAAGACCAUGGCACUAUGUAUAAGAAACAAUCAUACAAAGUAAGAAAAUUAUACAUACCAACUAUAUAAAUCGUACAAGUACAACAUAAAAAUUUGAAUACCUAAUAAUCACUAUCAAUAAUGACGUGCUCAUCAUCAUCAUUAAUAAAUUCAUCAUCAUGAUCACUAUCGGUAAUGACGUGCUCAUCAUCAUCAUUAAUAAAUGCAUAAGCAUGUGGAAGGCCACUACGUAAUCGUUCAAGCAUUGACAGGUCAUCUGCAGCAGUAACUUCUUCUUCUUCUGGCUCUUCUGGUUCCGACUCGGGGUCGGAUUCACUAUCGUUGUCUACUUCAAUGUUCUGGGGUGGAGUAGAGCGUUUCUUGAAAAGUUUUUUGGCAAGAGGUGUUUCUUGGAAGAAUUCUUCUUCGUCAUAUGUGUCUUGGUUAAUGUGACAUUCAUAAUCCUCUUCAUUGGGGGGAGGUGGUCUAACACUUGGCGGCACUUCAUAAACGACAUCCCAACCACUGAGAUUUGGAUCACUUUGACAGGCCCACGGUAGAUAAAAAACUUGGGUUGCCUGUUGAGCCGUAAUAUAGACAUCGGGAACAUCCAAAUGGGUGCUUUGGUUGAUUUCGACUAGCCCUAUAUGUUCAUGAGUCCUUCUAGUCUCCCUGGGCUGGAACCAAUAACAUCUGAAGACUACGACGUUUGGUGGGUUUUCACCAUAGAAUUAAAGUUCAUAAAUUGCUUCAACUCUUCCAUAAUACUUGACACCUCCUUCGCCGAUAGCAGAGACACAACAAUUUGUAGACUUUCGGUCGGCCAUAGAUAGCUCUUUGCCAUAGGUACGAAAGCGAUACCCGUUGAUGUCAUAAUUGUCAAAUGAACGGGCCUUAUAGUCAAAACCAUUAGCUACUUGUCUCAAUUCGGCAUCCAUAAUCUCUAAAUUAGCCUACAAGUUUAAUACGAAAGGAAUAUUGCAUUAGUCGCAAAUUAGCCAAAGAAAUGAAAGGGUCUAAUGGAAAUUACCCUUUUUCUGAACCAAGAGAUGAAACCGGGAUAUUUGCCUCCUUGCUUUGCCAGAAGCUCAUACUCUUCGACGGAAUCCUAUUGGUCACCGCUCCAUAUGAGAAUAUGACGACGCAUCGACUGCAUCAAAUAUCCAGGAAUAAGAGCAGUUCAAAGAAAUUAGUAGUUGCAAAAUAAUGUAACAAGAUCUUACUCGAUGUACGGCCGCACUUCUGUUAGGUUGUUAAAGAGAUACAGCAAAAUGGUCCGCCAUUCUUCAACAUCCAACGAUACUGGUUUCCAAGCACUGGAUGGUGCGAGAUUCCCUUUGAAUAGGCUGAGGUUGGAUUGACCCUUUUUAGGCUCGUCAGCAUUGUAUCGUGGCUUCGGAUUAUACAAAUGACGAUUUUUGGCUUCGUAGUGUGUUGUCAUGAAGUUUGACGCCUCCUCAGUGAUGAAUGCCUCAGCCAUCGAUGCUUCUAUUCUACGUUUAUUUUUACAUUUUGCUCGAAUCGUCUUCUACAUCCUCUCAGUUGAGUAGCANNNNNNNNNNNNNNNNNNNNNNNNNNNNNNNNNNNNNNNNNNNNNNNNNNNNNNNNNNNNNNNNNNNNNNNNNNNNNNNNNNNNNNNNNNNNNNNNNNNNNNNNNNNNNNNNNNNNNNNNNNNNNNNNNNNNNNNNNNNNNNNNNNNNNNNNNNNNNNNNNNNNNNNNNNNNNNNNNNNNNNNNNNNNNNNNNNNNNNNNNNNNNNNNNNNNNNNNNNNNNNNNNNNNNNNNNNNNNNNNNNNNNNNNNNNNNNNNNNNNNNNNNNNNNNNNNNNNNNNNNNAAAUAAGCUUGGCGGAAAGAUCAUCUCUAACUUGCAGAUCAACUCCGGCGCCAACUGUUCCAUUUCUUCUAGGAGGCCAGGCGAUAGUUCUUUCGCACAAAGAACACGGAAGAAAUAGCUCAGCUCUGCCAGUACUAGCCUUCAUCCUCAGGGAUGAAGCCACGCAACAUCACCGGCAUUAUCCGCUCUAUCCAUAUGUGCCAAUCAUGACUUUUUAGACCAAAUAUUUUCAAUUUAUCAAGACUCGCUCCCCUCGAGUAUGUGUAGAUCGCGUUUGUUUUCCCAUGCUUUGCUCCGGAUCCGAUGCAAAAUUUUGGCAGCACCUCCCCGCUGUUCUCCUGAUACACGUCUCGGAAAUAAGCAGAGAGGAUGUGUACCCGGAGAACAACAGGGAGACAAUGACAAAAUUCUGCAUCAGAUCCGGAGCUGAGCAUAUGGGAAAACGAACCCAAAUCUACACAUACUCGGGUUGUCCAUGGAUAACAUUGGGCAAUUCGAAAGAAUCAUGAUUAUAAAAAUGCAAAUGCAUGCAUAUUUAUAGAUGUAACCCUUUCGAACGGGAGACGCAUAGUGGUUAUGCAUACUGAUGAUUCAAACCUAUAGCUAGCAAGUUUCAUCGGCACGAAGACCGGAAUAGAGCAAAUGAAGGGGGGAGGAGGAGAUGUCAUUUGUGCUCACCAACGAACGUAGGGGCGGAGCUCGUCGAACACUAGACCCUCGCAACGACGAAAUUACUGCAUUUAAAUCGAAAGAUGGGUAACAUAGCAAGUAUUCGACACCGACGGCCACAUGUACCUCGCAGUGACGAUACUUGCUAUUUACGGUACCAUCGACACCGAGGAACCCUCUAACUCGCUCGUCCUCGGAUAAACUAAAUAGCAACUACCAUCGGUGCAAGGUACAUGAGGCGGUCGGCGUUGAACACUAGAUCCACAUCCCACAAGUGAAGCCGGCCCCCGGCGUCCCGCAACAAUAGUUCUGGUGGCCGAUGACGGUCAAACACCUUGGGGAAUAUGUCUGGCAGCCUCUGCGAUGAGGAUUAAAACCAACUUUUGAAAUUUCAAACAACCAAACCGACUUAGUUAGUUUGGGUGUUUCGAGUUUCAACACUUAGCUUUCAAUCGUCAUCUCUGAGGCUGCCAGACAAAUUCGCAAUGGUGUUCGACCGCCAUCGACACCGAGAACUGUUGUUGCUGGACGCAGGACCCCUGUGUCACUUGUGGGACGUGGAUGUAGUAUUCGACACCGACAGCCACAUGUACCUCGCACUGACGAUACUUGCUAUUUAGGGUACCAUUUACACCGAGAACCACCUAAUUAACCCCCAAAUUCGCAAUGGUUUUCGACCGCCUAACUAUCCCCUCGGCAACCCUCUUCCUUUUUCUCUUUUUCCUCUUCUUCUACUUCGUCUUUUUUUCAAUUUUCUUCUUCUUCUAAUUAUCUAAACCUAAAUCUGGUAGUAAACUAAUUCUACCACUAUAACCUAAUUAAACCUAAACAGAAAAAACAGUAAAAGAAAUCACCUUGGCUCGGCGGUGGUGGAGCAGGCGGUGGGCGCCGGGGCGGGGNNNNNNNNNNNNNNNNNNNNNNNNNNNNNNNNNNNNNNNNNNNNNNNNNNNNNNNNNNNNNNNNNNNNNNNNNNNNNNNNNNNNNNNNNNNNNNNNNNNNNNNNNNNNNNNNNNNNNNNNNNNNNNNNNNNNNNNNNNNNNNNNNNNNNNNNNNNNNNNNNNNNNNNNNNNNNNNNNNNNNNNNNNNNNNNNNNNNNNNNNNNNNNNNNNNNNNNNNNNNNNNNNNNNNNNNNNNNNNNNNNNNNNNNNNNNNNNNNNNNNNNNNNNNNNNNNNNNNNNNNNNNNNNNNNNNNNNNNNNNNNNNNNNNNNNNNNNNNNNNNNNNNNNNNNNNNNNNNNNNNNNNNNNNNNNNNNNNNNNNNNNNNNNNNNNNNNNNNNNNNNNNNNNNNNNNNNNNNNNNNNNNNNNNNNNNNNNNNNNNNNNNNNNNNNNNNNNNNNNNNNNNNNNNNNNNNNNNNNNNNNNNNNNNNNNNNNNNNNNNNNNNNNNNNCGCGGGUGGUGAAGGAGGAGGAGAUCGAGAGAGAGAGAGAGAGAGAGAGAGAGAGAGAGAGAGGCGUGGGGGCGUGGGCGCGGCCCGACCCUAUUUAGUAGGUCACAGUUCUUUGCCAUCUGCUAGCAGACGGCAAAGUGCGUACCUAGUGGGGUGGGGCAGGGGGGAAACGGAUGACCUAACGGCCAUUUUCUUUGCCGACAGUUGGCAGACGGCAAAGAAGUUUUGCCGUCAGCCAGCAGACGGCAAAGAAAAUGGCCGUUAGGGCACCCUCGUAAGCCCGCCACCCACCCUCUUUGCCGUCAGCUAGCUGACGGCAAAGAUAUGCUGAUGGCAAAGCCUUCCGUUGACGUCCGCUGCCUUUUUGCCGUCCGUUUUCUUGUGGCUGAUGGCAAAGACCUUCUUGCCGUCAGCCAGCGGACGGCAAAGAGUUAGCAGACGACAAAUAAGCUAAUAACAUUAGUGGUACUUUAAAAAAACAUAGACAUAUUUUUUUAAAAUUCUUCAAAUUUGUUAAUAUUGAUUAAAUUUGUGGAUAUUUUUAAGCUUAUGGUCAUUUAAAGUUUGUGAACAUUUUUAAAAUUUGAAAACAAUUUUUUGUGACCAUUUUUUUAAACCAUGAAUAUAUUUAAAAAUCAUGAUUUUUUCCUAAAAUUCAUGAUUUUUUUAAAGUCAUAAUAUUUUUAAAGUUCCUUAAGCAUCAUUUAAUUUAACUAACCUUUUCAAAUAAAAAGAGAUAGGUGAUUUUUUCUGAGCUAGCAGUGGGGUGAGUGAAAAAAAAACUAAACGAGCGAGAGGAGUUGAGAGCCAAGUUGAGCGAGCAAGAGCUUCGUGUGCUGAACUAGGACUUUCUGUUCCUAGGACUUUCCUGUUCCUAUCUAUAAGGGAGAAGUGCUCCUGCCUGUCCGUCGUGCUCUUUGUAGAACACCCUGUUAUUUUCUGAAAUCAACCCGUGGUCCAGAUUUAAGUAAGUUCAGAAAAUAUAUUUUGCUUUUUGCAAUUGUUUUAUAAAAAUCAACCCGUGGUCCAGAUUUGAGAUUGUCUAGAAAAACCUUUUGCUUUUUGUAGAAAACCACUGAUAUUUGGGUUAAUCAAGGACAAAUUCAAAUGCUUUAAAAAAUAUGUGUAAUGCCAAUUUUACAUGUUAUAUAUGGAAUAUGAUAAGAAAAAUGUGUACAAUCUAAAUCUGAUAUUAUUUUACAUGUUAACAAUUCUAAAAACACUAUUUAGGAUGCAAACUUAAUCAAUAGCUCACAAGCCGUCUUUCUUUCUUAUCGUUGCCGAUCUGGAUUGGAAAUGAACACCUCAGUAAAACCAGAUUGGUGACGAAAGAAACCAUCUAUAUCACGCAUGCAUGCCUCGGCAAAACCUCGCAGGGGAGAAAGAAUGCAGAUUUCUCAUCUUAUGUAGUGUGAGAGACAAGCCUUAGGAUUGACCAUAUUCAAACGUGUUGUAAUUGUGUGAGCCCUGAUGCCACCGUCGACGGGGGUGAAAGAAGUAUAAGUGGCACCACAGAUGUGAUGCCAUGUUAAAAUAAAGGACAUAGAUCUAUUGGGGUUUUGAGUCAUGAUAACUGGGUUAGCGACACGUUUUUUUUUCUCCUGUUGCAUCGCAUAGACACUUUUGCUAGUGAUAUCCUAGGAACAAAGGAGGCCUUAAUAAAAGUAACCAAAGUGACAAAAUAAGACAUUGCCGAUGCAUGUGCUUGGGCUCCUGAAUUACCUAGUUACUAAGAAUUAAUAGAUUUACUAAUAUCGAUCAGUCGAUUUCGGAAAAUGCAAACUCAGUUUCUUAGUACAAAAAAUGCAACUUGCACGUUUUUCAGAAAACUAUAGCCGCAUGUUAAAAAGUGCAAGUUGUACUUUCCAUAUGGAGGGAAAACCUCAAUCAACUGGUGGACCUAAUUAUAAAUGCAUAUUGCUGGUAUGCCCAUUGUGGUUAGAACAGUGCAAGCAUUGAUAUGCUAGCCGCUCUGUAAUCCACGCCCACUUUUCACAAUCUUUUGCUGAUGUAUAAAUAUGUGCUCAGCAAUCUAAACACGAAAUAUAAGCCCUCCACUUCCUCUUGUUGAUUCAUCUACUAGCUGGUCGCAGUGAAGACGUUCACACUCUUUUCAUAUCCGUCCCGCCACCACCGCCAUGGUACUACUCCUAGACAAUCGAUUUUUCAUUUGGCAUGGUUCUUCCGCAGAAUUCCACCUCUUCUUACUUUUUCUAUGUGUAUCUACUGUGACCACCCUCCUAUACCUCAUGAGCCGUUCGCGCACAGUAUACGUUGUUGAUUAUGCGUGCUUCCGGCCAAACUCGAACUACCGCAUCAGCAAGGCCGCAUGGAUUGAGAAUAUUCACCAUUCCCGGUCCUACGAUGACAGCGGCCACCUUCGCUUCUUGACCCGUAUUUCUGAGCGGUCAGGCCUUGGUGAUGAGACCUACCUUCCUCCUUACCUUCAUCAUAUCCCGCCAUAUUAUUGUUUAAGUGAAGCCCGUGCUGAGGUGGAGUUGUCCAUCUUCACGACCAUAGAUGACCUGCUCCUGAAGACGUCUAUCAACCUUGAUGCAAUCGCCAUACUCAUCGUGAACUGCAGCAUCUUCAGCCCAACUCCGUCCCUUGCUGACAUGAUCAUCAGAAGAUAUAAGCUUCGAGAUAAUAUUUGCAACGUGCAACUGUCUGGGAUGGGCUGCAGCGCAGGGCUAAUCGCCAUGGGUCUGGCGAAGAACCUUCUGCAGAACUCUCCCUCUAGUGCGCAUGCGCUGGUUGUGUCCACAGAGAUCUUGACUGGGACCUACUACACCGGGAGGAAGCGCGAAAUGCAGCUGACCAACAUGUUGUUCCGCAUGGGUGGCUCGGCGGUGCUCCUCUCAACAUCGACUAACAAAGCUCGUUUUGAGCUGGCACACGUAGUUCGGAAUUGUACCAGCUCCCAAGACAAUGCAUACCGAUGUGUAUCUUAUGAGGAAGAUGGUGAGGGAAUUCUUGGUCUCAAUUUAUCCAAGGACCUUGUGGACGUCGCUGGCAAGGCUCUCGGGGCUAACAUCACCACAGUUGGACGGCUUAUUCUCCCGUUGUCAGUCAAGAUUUUGCAUUUUUGCUCUCGUUCAUCUUACGGAAGGUGCUAAGUGGAACCACGAAGCCAUAUGUGCCUGAUUUCUGCAAAGCUUUCGAGCAUAUGUGCAUACAUGCAGGUGGUCGAGCGGUAAUCGAUGCUGUGCAGUGUAGCCUCAGCCUGCUUGAUGAGCAUGUUGAGCCAUCAAGGAUGACACUUCACAAGUUUGGGAACACAUCGAGUAGCUCGGUAUGGUACGAGCUGGCAUACAGUGAGGCCAAGGGUCGAAUGAGGAAAGGGGACCGAGUUUGGAUGAUUGGAUUUGGCUCUGGAUACAAGUGUAAUAGUGCAGUGUUAAAGUGCAUCCAGCCAGCAAAAAGUGCUGAUAAGGCAUGGCAAGAUUGCAUCAAUCGCUACCCAAUAGAUGUUCCUAAGGAGGUGUAGAAUAUGAUGUUAUUUUGGUCAUCUAGGACUAUAUUUGCUUCUGUGGGUUUUGUGCUACCUGCUUGGCGUACCGCAUGAUGUAUGCAGUGAGUAAUUUUAGCUCGGGGUUUGUCGGUUGGUG
rnacentral:lncRNA from 1 species